ACCGAAUAAUCUUAUCCACUAGAUUAUGAUGAACUGACGGCAUGUAUGUAUGCAACUUGGUGGACGGUUCUUCUUGGUCACUGAGAAAUAGCAGCUGUUCCAACAAGUUACAAGAACGGUUCCUUUUGCCAUCUAUAGGUAGGUACACACACGCGAUCGAAAUGAGAUUUAUUUCACUAACCAUGCAUGCAUCCAUACAUGGUACUACUACUCCCUUAGUUGCACUGAAUGCUGCUCCUGUGUGGUUGCAGAGACGACGACAUGCCACAGUUCUGUGUGCAGCAGCAGUAGGUCAUGAAGGGGAAGGGGGCGCAGUAGCCCGCGUCAUACCCUUCCGCCCGGCACGGCUUGUUGCAGGUGCCGCGCUUGGCGCACAGCCCCCCGUGCCACGUCUCGCUGAUCUCGCCGCAGAUGAUGUAUCCGGCUGCACCCCAUCACCAUCACCAGUUGCCACGAUUAGCCAAGAAUUAUGAUCAAUCAAUCGAAAGAAUGAAUGAAGAAAAGAAAUUAUUACUACGUACGAGGGUGCUCAGCAACCGAGUCAGGGAUGUCCCGAGCGCAGUUAGCCAUGGCGAUGAUCAGCAGACACACACUCAGCUUCAUUAAUAAGCUCUUCUUCAUCGCCGACCACGCUCCCAUGGCCAUGGCCUAUGCCUAUGCCUAUGCUUUGGUUGCUCCUCCCCCCUUCCAAUAUCCGCAUAUAUAGUCUAGGGGUUCAGAGGUGCAAUAAUGUGUUAGAUUUAUCCCACCAUAUAGCUCUUUCCUUAUGGCUACAACAUUAGCCUUCUCAAAUCACACGUUGUCAUAGCCAAAUUUAUUUCAUAAGAUAUCUAUGGCUUACGUACUACUCCCUCCCUUCCUAAAUGUAAGUCUUUGUAGGGAUUCUACUAAAUGGACUAAAUACGGAGCAAAAUGAAUGAAUCCACAUUUAAAAUGCAUCUAUAUACAUCCGUACAUAGUUUAUAGUGAAAUCUCUAUAAAGACUUAUAUUUAGGAACGGAGGGAGUACAUCAUUCCCUUAGGAUAUAUUCACAUGUCCCGUUUCUUGUUUCUUGCAGACUACAAAGACGUGUAUGAUGUUUGACAAGGUCAAACAUUGUACGAUGUAUCCCGAGCAUUCAUCUUAUAGGUACGAGAUAUAUGUUUGUCGGAUAGUGUGGGUAACAUCUAUCUAUCUAUCUAUCUAUCUAUCCGUCCGUCCGACGGUCGGUCUGUCUAUCUAUGUCUAUCUAUUCUAUCCUUUAUCUAUUCUGUCUGUCUAUCUAUCUAUUUAUUUAUUUAUCAUUAUAUACUAAAAGCAAAAUACAGUGUCUCAUAGAGGUAUCACAUUAAGUCACACCAUCCAAAUUAACCUAAUCAUUGAUUCUUAAAUUUGUGGCUAGACUUUCAUGUAGAACUAUUAGUCAUCUAACCAUGUCAAUGUAAUCAGCUUCAUGAUUUAUAUUGAUCUACUGUAUAUACUAAAAGCAAAAUACAGAGUAUCAUUGAGGUACCAAGUUAAGCCACAUCAUCCAAAUUAACUUAAUCAUUGGAUCUAAAUUUAUGGUUAGAUUUACUGCAAGAUUAUUAGUCAUCUAACUGUAUCGGUGCAAACAUGUUCACGAUUUGUAUUGAGAAGGUUAUAUUCAUAUAUGGAUGUGGUUGAUCAGGUGUGGAAACGGCUUACCCGAAAGACGUAUCUAUUUAGUAAAAUAUAAAUCUAAUUAUAUUGUAAAAGAAAAAUACAGGGUCUGAUAGAGCACUAGUGUAGAACCAGGCUAUACCACCGGUUCGUAAGGCCUUUAGUGCCGGUUCUGUAACCGGCACUAAAGGGUGGGGACUAAAGGUCCCCCCCUUUAGUACCGGUUCUGAACGAACCGCUGCUAAAGGGCCACCACGUGGCACAAGCCAGCGCGGGGGGCGGGGAGACCUUUAGUACCGGCUGGUAACACCAACCAGUACUAAAAGUUUUGGGGGGUUUUAGGUUCAGGAUUUCUUGUUCCUUUAAUUUUGUGUUUUCCAUUUAAUUCUUUUUCAUUUGCAGGUAUUUUACGAUACUACAUAUUGCACACGUUAUGCAUAUAUAUAAAUAGAAUUUCUCGUAGAACCGAUCAUAUAUAUAGGAGUAGGAUUUUCUACAAGUGCUUGCCACAGAACUAGUUAAGGGUUUCAACUGUGCAAAAGUUCUCAAAAAUUCUGAAAAAAAUACUGAACCAACACACCUAUAAUAUAACAUGAUCCAACGAAGGGAUUAAAAAAAUACGACUGUAUGUGUCCUGGACAAAAAAACAAAUAGUUCAGUAUAUAUUUAUGUCGUAGUGAGCUGAAAUGCUUAUUAUUUUUGCCGAGGACACAUAGAUGCAUAUUUUGACAAUCCCUCCGUUGGAUCAUCUUAUUACAUUAGAGAGAUGCUCCCAUAUUUAUUUCAUAUUUUUUGAUAACUUUUAAUCCGUUAAAAGUUUAGCGACCCUUAACUAGUUCUGUGGCAAGGGUUUUGGGUUCAGGAUUUCUUGUUCCUUUAAUUUUGUGUUUUUCAUUUAAUUCUUUUUCAUUUGCAGGUAUUUUACAAUACUACAUAUUGUACACGUUAUGCAUAUAUAUAAAUAGAUUUUCUCGUAGAACCGAUCAUAUGAUCGGUUCUACGAGACCGUAAUAAUAGUUAUUCUUCACCCCCCUCUAUUUUACCAUCAAUGCACUGUAAUUUUACGUUCCGUAAGUUUUGUCUUAUUUCCGACAUAAAAAGAGACCGUAAUAAUAUAUAUAAUCAUCGUAAAAAAUAUUUCAUGUUAUGUAAAAUUACAAACGUAAAAACAUAGUGUAAAAUACACAUAAACUGCAAAUUUUCUUGCCUUAUGACCUAUAUUUUUAUUUUUUAUGCCAAAUUUUACGUAGUGAAUCAAUAGGAAUGUAACUAUUUGAAUACUAAACGUAAUUUAAUUAUGAUAUGAUCGUAAGAUUACCUCGGGUGAAGAAUAACUUAUUCUGCACCCUGGAUGAUGAAUAGUAACACUAUAUAUAUAUAUAUAGGUAAAAUGUUUGGGACACCUAGUUCGGAUCUGACCCGCUAAUUCAUUUUUUGCUUACAAAUAAUCAAUACUACCUUUCAAAUAAUUCACUUUCCUUUUGUACUUGCAUGCACUGCCAUUGAUUGUUGAUUGGUUUUCAGAAAAUGGCAUGUUAUUGAUUCCCACAUAAACAAUUUCUUUCCUUAAAUACUAUAGUAUCGUUAAAAAAGGCGAAAAACUCAUAUUUGGGUACGUAAAUAUAUACCCUAUGAUUUUUUUCAUUUGGGUACGUGUAUAUAUACCCUAUGAUUUCCCUUAAAUACUAUGGUUUUUAUUUGGGUACGUAUAUAUAUACCCUAUGAUUUUUUUGCGGAUACUCUAUGAUUUAUUCUAGGUAUUAGAUGUCUUUCCUUAAAUACUAUAGUAUAUACCCUAUGAUUUAUUGUAGGUAUUUGAUACCUACAAGCGUAUCCGAUAUAUUUGUAAGUGAAUACUUAAGUUUUCGCCAAAAACAAACAGUGCAUACUCAAGAUAUAUCUGUAAAUACUCAAUGUGAAAUUUGUUUAUGUCCUUUUUAUGAGUGAAUUCAUGUACGUAAACUAAAUACCUCGACAAAUGAUACUUACAUUCGUAUCGUUAAAAUCAUCCAUACAACAUACCUGAUGGUGAUGUAUCUGAUGUAUGAUAAUAGAGGAAUCAUAACCACAAAAAAUACGGCUACAUACGAAAAAUAAUAUGUAUUAUCCUAACAUAAUUUGUGGGUAUAUACCGUAACACAACUAGGUAUCAUAGAAAGAGAAACCACUUUUCGUACAUUCACAACAGAGAGAGAAAGUGGCAAAAUCCACAAAUCUUUUUAAACGACACAAUGGCAAUAUGCGUAAAGUGUACAGCGUCUAGUGUUUCACAUGUACAUGGAUCUUCUAAAGGAAGUGUUGGUGCAUGCAUCCUAAUUAAUGCCUACGUCCAAAUUAGAGCAAGUAACCGCUAAUUAACAUAUAGUUAAAUGGAAUUAAUUAGUACGUUGCAAUAACUUUCCAAAUGAAAUACUGCAAACGGUUAACGGUUAUACCCGUUAGUGUCUAUACCUGUUACAACGGCACACAUCCUAAUGCAAUCCAAAGGUAGACAAAUAAGGAGCCUGGGCACCUAGGUGUCUCAAAUGGCCGUCCUAUAUACAAUGUCUCGCACCAUCCAUUCACACAUACACAUGUAUACAUAUACAAUUUGGUAUAUACAAUUUCUCCUACAUGGAGGCAUUACUUUGGUAGCGGGUAAUGAUAUUCUCCUUUGGGAUCUACGACCUGGUCGAGCAAAAAUCCCGCUAUUUCCUCUUGAAUUGCUCGUACGCGAUCCUCCGGUAGGAGCUGAUCCCGCACCUCAUCAACUUUUAAGAAGAAGAUCAAUAUGCAUAUAUUUGUUGUGUGAUUAGAUAUUGGUGAUGAUGUAAAAAUUAUGAAUAGUGUUCUAGCAAACGUACCUAUAGCUGUCUAUCAGAUGUGCUCCUUUCGGACCCCAUCAUGCGAAUGUUCUCGUAAACGUAGUACGCACGUAAAUCAUUCCCCAGCGCCUGCCUCAUGGCCUUUACGAGAAUAGAAUUUCAAUCAGAUAAUACUUAAUCAAGCAUGAUAAUUAAUGGUAUUGAAACUAGAAUCAAAGAGAUGGUAGUUAGUUAGUACUACUUAAUUACUUACCCUGGAUCGAUACCAAAACAACUUUUGUUUCCAUUUGCCUGGAACCAUUUUGAUGUACUUUUGCCAAGCCCUGCCCGCCGGCAAACAAAAUAAAUAAAGGAGUUAUUAAUUAGUUGAUAUCAGGAAAUGACGAACUAAAGAGGCCGACAUAUACUUCAAUAAUGAUUGAAAUUACCUGUCGAUUAUCCCCUUCACGGUUGCGUAGUCACUAGAUUCUUUAAGUAGUGAGUCUAGUACUUCAACUUUUCCUUCGUCAACUCGAAUGUCUAACAAGAUCCAGUGGUAACUGCAUGCGCAUAUGUUUGCAUGUAUAAAAUAAGCGGGCAUGUGCAUAACACUCAUCAACUACCCUAAACCCUAUACAAUUAUUAAUAUCUAGCUAGUAAUUAAACAAAAAUAGAAUUUAUAGUAUAAUACAGUGUGACUCACCGGAAGUUGUAAGGAAGUAGUAUAUCUGCAUUGGUAUUGAGGCGCUUCAAGAACUCUAGCAUGUUUUUCUCUACGUCGGCUUGAUACCAUUCAUAUGACCACGUGUCUUCAUUAAUGGUAUUUGGGUCAAUGAACCUAAUGCCAUAGCGUCCAACUUUUUUCAUUUCAUAGAUCUUCAUCCUGUGCAUAAUACCAAAAAAUAAUAUAGUGAGGAUAAUUACAGGUAAUAUAAUGAUCAACAAGAGCACUACAGCUAGCUUCAGACUUAAAUUACAGAAAAAAUCACUUACAGACAAUAGCAACUGACGAUAGAUUUGUCGAGUGCGUCUUGAUUGAAUAACUAAAACAGUUCUGAAUACUCAACAGACAGAGCUAGCUGAUGGAAGUAAUGUUCUUCCUUGACUUCCACCAUGCGGGAGUCUCGAUUGUUGGUCUUGGUAAUUUUCAUGUACCAUUGAUGCAAUUCAUACAUUCUUGUUGGGAGCUUCUUGACCUCCUCAGGCUUGACCAGAGGUUCACCGCGGACAUAUUUCUGUUUUAGCUCCUCCUCUUUAAAAGUUUCCAUGGGCUCCAAGCCUAGGAGUUGUUCUACAGUGCAUCCGAUCUCUUUAGCAUGCCUUAUAUGGUUGUCGGUUAUUACCAACUGAUCAGCGCCGGUACUCGCAUGUGUUGGCUGACGCGGUGGCGGACUUCGAGGAGGAGUCGGCUGACGCGGUGUCGGUAGCCUUGGAAAGAUGAUGCAAUCCUUUCUCCAUAGGAUGAUACGAUGUUUGGCCUCUCCCAGUGUGUGCUCAUCGUCACCUUCAGGAAUGUCAAGCUCUAGCCCCGAAUAUUGGUCCACCACUUCAUCAACCACAACACGAGCAUAACCAGCUGUAAUCGGGUUACAAUGGAAGGUUGCUUCGGGGGAAUUUGCAUAAGCAACAGCGUCCGCCACCUUCAUGGAUAUGUUCUUUAUUUUGAAGUGUAGCUCACAAUUAGUGUUCUCCAUGAUGUCAUCCACAGGGUAUCUAUCCAGCAGCUGUGCCUCGCCUGGGGCAGAACCCAUGCCGCUUCUCAGCAUGGAUGGGACGGUGCUAUCCAAUGCUGGAUCAUGCGCUAGCUGCUGCUACUGCUGAGACCCCCUUUCUUGGCUAACUGAGUCGAUUUGCUGCUGCUGCCACCGGAAUUGGAGUGCCAACUCCGCGUGCUUUGAUUCUAGGCCUUUAAGGCGUUCCGCUUCCUGCUUCCUGCUGUCUACUCCUCCUCCAGCUUCCUCUUCUUCUCCUCCUCCAUAUUCCUUCUCGCACGGCUUCUGUAGUCGAUGUUCCAGUCCGCAAACCUCUCAUACCACGGAACAAUGCCUUUGCCUCAUGUUCUUCCCGGGUGUUCAGGAUUUCCCAAGGCGCGCGUAAGCUCGUCGUUCUCUCUGUUGGGCGUGAACACCCCCUUUCGAGCCUCUUCUAUUGCAACAAGUAUCUUAUCUUCGACUCCUUUAAGACUUGCCCUCUUCGAAACCUUGCUUGUCUUCGGGUCCAACGCCCCCCAUGCGCAUAGAACCAAGUCCUGACCCUGGGGGGCCAGCUCUUAGUAACUGGAGUGACCCCUGCAUCCACCAUCUCUUGCUCAGACUUAUACCACUUAGGCAUUGCCACCGCGUAGCCACGUGGCCCCAACUUAUGAACUGCUCCUUUUUUGCGGCAUUGGCCUUGUUUACUCUCGAGCGUUCCUUAGAUAAUUCCGAUUCCUUGAAUUUCACGAAAUCGGGCUAGUGCUCUCUUUGCUUUUCCAGUGUUCCCGUGAAUUCUGGAGUCUUCUUCCUCCUUCGACGUACUUGGCCCAUAUAGUUUUCUUGUGGUUGUUGAAUGCAACUGCCAUCUUCCUAAGAGCAGCGGCCUUCACUUUCUGCACAUCUGCAUCUGUAAAAUGAUUUGGUAGGGUGAUGACCCACAAGUGUAGGGGAUCUGUUGUAGCCUUUUCGAUAAGUAAGAGUGUCGAACCCAACGAGGAGCAGAAGGAAAUGAUAAGCAGUUUUCAGUAAGGUAUUCUCUGCAAGCACUGAAAUUAUCGGUAACAGAUAGUUUUGUGAUAAGGUAAUUUGUAACGAGUAGCAAGUAAUAAAAGUAAAUAAGGUGCAGCAAGAUGGCCCAAUCCUUUUUGUAGCAAAGGACAAGCCUGGACAAACUCUUAUAUAAAGUAAAGCGCUCCCGAGGACACAUGGGAAUUAUCGUCAAGCUAGUUUUCAUCACGUUCAUAUGAUUCGCGUUCGGUACUUUGAUAAUUUGAUAUGUGGUUGGACCGGUGCUUGGGUACUGUCCUUCCUUGGACAAGCAUCCCACUUAUGAUUAACCCCUAUUGUGUAACAGCCUGAUUUUUGGCCCUUUUCUUUUUCUUUUAAUUUAAUUAGUUUUUGCUCUGUUUUUCUUUUUGGAGUGGUUCCGUGGCCUUGCCACCCGGGAAACCAUCUUCAUUUCCUCUCCGAAGUGGCUCAUCAUCCUUAAAACUUUGCCAAGAUCAUGUCACUCCACUCCAUGACCAAACCCUAAUUUCUUUUUCUAGGGAAAAUUUCUUUUCCUAUUAAAGGAAUAACCCUGUCUGCCCUAGGUUGUGAAGCAACCUAUAUUUAUGCCCAUCCAAAAAUCCCCAAAUAAUUCUUAUAAAUUGUUUGGGUCAUAUUUUCCUCAAAUAUGGCAAAACAUUUCAUUGGCCAUAUUUCUCAUCAUGCUCAAUAAAUUCAUUUCCUAUUCUGUCCUAAAUGGCACAUUGUGAAGCAAGUGCUAUUUAUCUUUGCCCAUUUGACCCCAAACUCUUUGGACAUCUUUUCCUGUCCAACUAAUUGACCUGUGCCAAAAUUCAACUUUAUUUGCCUAGUCAAACUUCCUCAGUGAUUUUUCAAAGUUCCUGUAUGAGGGAAGCCUUUGUAAAGGAAGUGCUAGCUAGGGUUAUCCAAAUGGGUUGAAAUUUUGCACACUCCUUCAUGUGGUCAUAUUAUCCCACUCCUCCAAAUUUCAGCUCCAUCCCUUGAUCUAUGUGAGCACAUGACCAAAUCUUUUCUUCUGUUAAUAUUUUCAGGUUGUGAAGCAAGUAUAAUGUAUAUUGCUUCAAAAAUCAUGAUAAAUUACCAGAUGGUUCUCCUACCCAAAUAACUUCUCUCCACCAAAUUUGGCACCAUUUCACUUAGCAAAUAUUUCUCUAGAAUUAUUGCAAGAUUCUGGUUAGUGAAGAUAGCUGUGAAGGAAGUACCAUUUUGGUAAAUCCAUUUGGUAUGAAACUUUUACAGCAUCUUAAUAUGAUAAAAUCAUUUGGCCUUGCCAAAUUUCAGCUCAACUUGCCUCUCCAUGUGAGUGCAUCAUCCAAAUCCUUAAUUCUGGCCAUUGUAGUGGUUUCUACAGCAACCCUCAUCUAAACUCCUCCUCUUAGUCUGAUUUUUGGUGCUCAACAUCACCUUAGUGUGUGAUCAUCACUGGACAAACUAUUUACUGCGUUACCAAGCUGGUGUCACCACUGCACAGCACAAACACUUGGCUGCUGGCUUGCUUUGGGGCCAUUGGCAAAUCUUUUCUUUGCCCCUGGACCCAAUUCUUUAUUCACUUUGACUUAGGACACGACGAUCUAUCUAUUGGACAUGGCCGGUCCGGCCAGAACGCGCCGGUUGCACCAGUGCCCGUGGUGAUCACUCUGGCGUCACAAAUAGUGCAAGCUCUGGCUCGGUCCGGCCACAGUGCUCGUCUCCUCCCUCCUCGUCUCGACCUCAAACGUUGUCCAGGAGCUCGCCCAUGCUCGACUGCAUCGGCCUGCAUCGCUGCUUCGUCGUCGUCCGCCAUCAAUGCGCCGCUAGAGCCGCGCCCGUGCCGCGUCCAGCCUCUGCCCGCCAUUAAAGCUUGGUCGGGAGCUCGUCCGUGAGCUCUAGACCCCUCCUCCGCGCCUAUAUAAGGACCCCCGAACCCCUAAGCACUUCACCAGCCUCUCCCCAAGCCUCCUCGACCACCAGAGUGCUCCGAUCUCGCCGUUGGUCGCUGUCAUCCUCCGUGGCCGCCUCGGCCUCGGCAUGAUUCCAGCCAACCCGAGCCUCCUCUCCUCCUCCCACCACGUCCACCGAGUCCCCCUCGUUCCACUCAGCCGCCCCACCCACUUGCCCCCUCGCCGGAGUGCCUGCUUCGCGGGAGAGCACCACCGCCCGCCCGUCCCGGUCCUCCUCCUGGCGCCACCUCUCCCCUCCACCCCUCUCCUCCCCGGAGGCCGUGCUCCCUCUGAACGGGACCCCCUCGCUGCCCCGGUCCCUCCGGUGCCCUCGGCUCGGCCAGAGAUGGCCGGAGCUGGCCGGCCCCCUCGCCGCUUCCUCCCCUGCUCCUCCUCUGUCCUGCACGGGAGCACAGGAGCGGGAGGAAGGAGACGAACUCCCGUGCCCCCUCCCCCUGCGCCCGGGCCCCGCCUGGAAGUGGCUCCAGCCACGGGUCCACGUGGAUAAGUGGAGACGGGUUUCUCCAGACACGCUUUCCUUUUUCGAAAACGUAUUUCCCCUUAUUCGCUUUCAGUUUUUCCUCCCAGGGACCCGUUGGUGAUGAAAAUAUUCAUAGAUUGGUCCCUGAUCUUCAACUCCUCACAACUUUUCAAGCGUAACUCCGAUCGAGGUGAAACCAACGCUCACUUCUUCGUCUCGUCGAGCUCUAUCUUUUGGUAACAUUUUCACUAGGUGGUAUCACAGUGAAAAUGACCAUUUUACCCUUGUCUCCAAUCAGCCCCUUUGAGAAAGAACCGCCCGGCGUUUCGUUCCGCAGCUUCACCACAUUUCUUCCCGGUGAUUUCUUCCACCCCAGGCAAGCCACAACCACCAUUUUCAUGAUAGCCAUGCAGUAGCAUUGGUUUUUCAACUGGACUCUUUAAUAAUUGUAUGAUUGUUUUGCUACUGCUGUCAUUAUUUCGGUUAUGCUUGUGGAUCGGUGAUUACCGUCAUGCUAUGCUUUCUUGCACUCUGUUAUCAUGAACUACUUGCUAGUAUUCCUUUCAUAUUGCCAUGCUUGAUAGUAGUACAUGUUGGGUUGGUCAUGUUCUUCGGUACAUGACUAACGUCGGUCACUGAGUACUGUUAAUAUGCAUUGUUCCUUUGCUGCUAGUUGGUUAAGUGUUUACUCGGUAAUGUUAUUAAUGUGUUCUUGCAUGGUAUUUAUUGUUGAUGCUAGUGGUCAUGUUAUGCUAUGAGUAGUGUUGUACUUGUAAUAUUCAUGCUCGUCAUUAUGCCAUGCUAAGUUGGAGAUGAUUCAUUGUUGAUAUGGUGGAUAGUUAUGUUGCACCCGUGCUUAUGUUGAUAUCAUGCUCAUGCAUUGUAAUUGCAUCAUGUUAUUUUAUCAUGGCUCAGCAUAUUGCAUUCAAGUUUAACCGGAUUAAAUUGAACUUGAACAACUGUUGGCUGAGUCAUGGUGCCACCAUAUCGAACUGACCAGUGCAACCACGCUUACCUUUAUGGGAAGGUCCUAACUGGGUCUAUUGUCGUGCCUCUCGCCGGUGCCUCCAACGAGGGAAGGUUAUGGGCGCGCGCUACCCUGAUCAGGUUGGCGGACAUAAGCCUUGUGUGCCCGUUGUUGUUGUUAUGGAUCCGGGUCCCCGUUUGGGACCGUUUAUGUUUGGCCACGACGGUGGCCGUUGGUGUCUUUGGUAGACACGGGGCCACCCAGGACUAGCCCAGUGGGGAGUGAGUUGGAGUUUUCGGGAGAGUGUCAUGGCAGUAGGACAAUUUUGUCGGAACGCCGUUGGUCCACCCGAAUGGGAGUGCAAGGCCAUGGGUUCCGUGGUGUGGGUACAGUGUACUAACCUCUGCAGAGUGUAUAUUAAACCUAUCAAUAGCCGCGCCCGCGGAUAAGGGCCCAGUUCGUAGUUGGUCACACUGUGAGUCAAUAGUAAUUAAUAAUAAUGCGCUUAAUAACAACCAUGGUUCGAUGAUGAGAUAAGUUGGUUGUGAUCGCCGGAAAGAUCACCGUUUGAGACCAAGUGUUGGUCAUGGUUGUGAUCGCCGGAAUGAUCACCGUUUAGUUACGAGGUAACCCGUUGAACCAAGAGUGGUACCGUUCGUGAUCAUGAGAUGAUCACCGUGGUAUCGAGGAUACCGAGUUGUCGGAUAUUCGUGAUGUUGUGCGAGAAUCAUGGGUAAAGAUCAAGCUCCUUGUGGUCAUUUAAUGAUUACUACGGUAUUGUUUAUACCAAGCUUGAUUUGAUCCUGAGAUGAUCGUGUGAUGUCCGAGGUUGGUAAGUGCUGCAUGUGAUGGUUACGAGAUAACCCGAGCAGAAGAUGGUGCAUAUAGUGUCAUCAUGUUGCAUGCUAGUAUCGUCAGAUUUAUAUGUUCAUGCCAUGUUCAUAUUGUUCUAGCUGUAUCAUGUUCAGGUUGUUCAUGCCAUGUUAUCCUGAUGAUCUCAUGAUAAUUCCUGCUUAACUUGUAAUUGCCAUGUUGUUGUAUGUCUUGAACGCUUUUGGUAAUUGUGAGCUUGCAAGUACAUUCAAUGUACUGACCUGGCGUGUCAUGCUAGUUUGCAGGUCAUGCCGGAUUUGAUUGCUUGCUUGUCAUGGCUUCCGUUCGUGCGAGCUAGGAUAAGCGUUCCAGCCAGAGUCCCUGCGGAGUGGAGUUCACCACCGUCGUCGUUGUUCCGCUGCUAGAAGUUUUUCCGCUGCAUCGUGUUGUUCUGCUGCUUGCAUGGAGCAACCGUGGCAGGCGUAGUGUCGCCGUGCCGAUGUUAUUCACUGUAAUAUCGGAGACCUUGUAUUCAUAUUCGUGUAAUAAUAGAAAGCUGGUUUGUUCUAUGCUAAGCAGUGCCGUAUUCCAGAAGACUUCUCCUCGAUCUCUGGGCUGGAAUACGGGGCGUUCCGGUUUCUCUGAGCCGGGGUGCCACAUAUUGCAAGCAUCCGCAACUACAACAGAAGUAUUAAGGUAAACCUAACCAUAGCAUGAAACAUAUGGAUCCAAAUCAGCCCCUUACGAAGCAACGCAUAAACUAGGGUUUAAGCUUCUGUCACUCUAGCAACCCAUCAUCUACUUAUUACUUCCCAAUGCCUUCCUCUAGGCCCAAACAAUGGUGAAGUGUCAUGUAGUUGACGUUCACAUGACACCACUAGAGGAGAGACAACAUACAUCUCAUCAAAAUAUCGAACGAAUACCAAAUUCACAUGACUACUUAUAGCAAGACUUCUCCCACGUCCUUAGGAACAAACGUAACUACUCACAAAUCAUAUUCGUGUUCAUAAUCAGAGGGGUAUUAAUAUGCAUAAUGGAUCUGAACAUAUGAUCUUCCACCAAGUAAACCAACUAGCAUCAACUACAAGGAGUAAUCAACACUACUAGCAACCCACAGGUACCAAUCUGAGGUUUUGGGACAAAGAUUGGAUACAAGAGAUGAACUAGGGUUUGAGAUGAGACGGUGCUGGUGAAGAUAUUGAUGGAGAUUGACCCCCUCCCGAUGAGAGGAUCGUUGGUGAUGACGAUGGUGAUGAUUUCCCCCUCCCGGAGGGAAGUUUCCCCGGCAGAACAGCUCCGCCGGAGCCCUAGAUUGGUUCCUCCAAGGUUCCGCCUCGUGGCGGCGGAGUUUCGUCCUGUAAGCUUGCUUAUGAUUUUGUCCUCGACGAAAGACUCCAUAUAGCCAAAGAUGGGCAUCAGAGGGCUGCCAGGGGGCCCACGAGGAAGGGGGGCGCGCCCCCACCCUCGUGGACGGUGGGUGGCCCCCCUCUGGUACUUCUUUCGCCCAAUAUUUUAUAUAUAUAUUCUAAAACGUGCUCCCGUGAAGUUUCAGGACUUUUGGAGUUGUGCAGAUUAGGUCUCUAAUAUUUGCUCCUCUUUCAGCCCAGAAUUCCAGGUGGCGGCAUUCCCCCUCUUCAUGUAAACCUUGUAAAAUAAGAGAGAAUAUGCAUAAGUAUUGUGACAUAAUGUGUAAUAACAGCCCAUAAUGCUAUAAAUAUCGAUAUAAAAGCAUGAUGCAAAAUGGACGUAUCAACUCCCCCAAGCUUAGACCUCGCUUGUCCUCAAGCGAAAGCCGAAAUCGAAAAAUAUGUCCACAUGUUUAGAGAUAGAGGUGUCGAUAAAAUAAAAUACGGAGAUGAGGGCAUCAUGAUCAUUCUUAGAACAGCAAUAUAUAUAUAUAUAUAUAUAUAAUCAUAUGAUUUCUUAUGCUAAAGUAACAAUUCAAUCACAAUUUCAAGUAUGAAUCAUAAACUUCAUUGAGAACUAACAAACUAUAAUCUCAGUCAUUGAGGCAAUUGCAAUUUGUCAUAACAUCAGAAAGAGUCAAUAAGAGCUUUUCAGCAAGUCCACAUACUCAACCAUCAUUUAGUCUUUCACAGUUUCUAACACUAAUGCGAUAUUUAUGGUUAUGAAGUUUUAAUCGGACACAGAGAAAGAUAGGGGCUUAUAGUUUUGCCUCCCAACCUUUUACCUCAAGGGUAAUGUCAACAAUAAUAGUUCAUGAAAACUCACAUCCAAUUAGCUAUAUAUAUCAGGAUCUUUCCAACACACUGUGCUUGCCAAAGGAUAAAAUGUAAAAAGGAAAGGUGAAGAUCACCGUGACUCUUUGCAUUAAGUAUAAGACAAGAAUAAAACAUAGACCCUUCGCAGAGGGAAGCAGAGGUUUUCAUGUGCUUUUAUGGUUGGAUGCACAAAAUCUUAAUGCGAAAGAACGUCACUUUAUAUUGCCACUUGUGAUAUGGACCUUUAUUAUGCAGUUCGUCCCUGUUAUUUCUUCCACAUCACAAGAUCGUACAAAGCUUAUUUUCUCCACACUAAUAAAUCAUACAUAUUUAGAGAGCAAUUUUUAUUGCUUGGAACGAUGACAACUUAUUUGAAGGAUCUUACUCAAUCCAUAGGUAGAUAUGGUGGACUGUCAUGGCAAAACUAGGUUUAAGGAUAUUAGGAAGCACAAGUAGUAUCUCUACUUGGUGCAAAGAAUUUGGCUAGCAUGAGAGGGAAAGGCAAGCUCAACAUGUUGGAUGAUCCAUGACAAUAUAAUUUAUCUUAGAUGUAGGAAAACAUAACCCAUUACGUUGUCUUCCUUGUCCAACGUCAACUCUUUAGCAUGUCAUAUUUUAAUGAGUGCUCACAAUCAUAAAAGAUGUCCAAGAUAGUAUAUUUAUAUGUGAAAACCUCUCUUUCUUUAUUACUUCCUAUUAAUUGCAACGAUGACCAAAACUAUGUUUGUCAACUCUCAAUAACUUUUAUUCUUCAUACUCUUUAUAUGUGAAGUCAUUACUCUACAUAAGAUCCAUAUGAUCCAUUUAUUUCUUUUUACUUCUUCUCUUUUAUUUUAUUCCCUCAAGAUCAUAGUAAGAUAAUCAAGCCCUUGACUCAACACUAAUCUUUAUUAUAUAUAGCUCACGGACUCGAUUACAUAGAAGGAUCAUAAAGCAAAACUCAAAACUAGAUCAUACUAAAACUUUAUUCUACUAGAUCAAGAUAUUACCAAAAGGAUCGAACUAAGAAAAAUGGUAAAGAUAAAAGUGUGAUGGUGAUACGAUACCGGGGCACUCCCCCAAGCUUGGCAGUUGCCAAGGGGAGUGUCCGUACCCAUGUGUUUAUGUCUCCUUCUUCGGGGGUGGUGAUGUGAUAUUCUUGGCGAUGAUGCCCGUCAGGAUACGAUUCUCUUCCUCGAGCUUAUUGACUUGCUGCUUGAGGUCCAUUAUUUCCUUACGGAGCUUGCCUGUGACUGCUAAAGCUCCUUUCACCCAAGGAUGUUGCAUAGCUGCGGGAGAACAAGUAACACUCCUUUUCAUAUUUUCAUAAGAAAGAAAUCUAACAUUGGAAGGGAUGACCGAGUUUGGAAUAGCUGAGCUCUGUAGUUCCCCCAUCGUGAAUCCAGCUCGGAAACGAGAAGUAACUUCUUCAUCCUCCUCCAUGGCAUCUAUCCUUUUCAAGUCAGCCUCCAUCUCUUCCUCAGUUGAUGGCCCAAAGUGGUCAGCAUUGCUGUUUGCUCUUGGCCCCGGUGUCGGAUGAGACACCCGACUCUCCCCGACUGACUCUUGAGAAGACAUCUUGCUCUAAAUCUGCAGCAGAAAUAGCUCGAAACAAAAACAGGAGAUAUUUGCGUGGUACGGUGGUCAAAACCUUCGGGAGAUUAUAUAAUAAAUUUUUACUGACCAAAAGAAGUAUCAUGCAAGAAAACGGAGUCCGGAGAGCACAUGAGGUGCCCACGAGGCAGGGGGGCACGCCCAGGGAGGCAGGGCGCGCCCUCCACCCUCGUGGAAGCCUCGUGUCCUUCCCGGACUGCUUCUUAUUUUCCUAUUUUCUUAAAUAUUGCAAAACAGAGAAAAAUUGCCAUUAGAACUGUUUUGGAGUCGGUUUACUUACCGUACCACGUACCUAUUCCUUUCCGGAGUCUGAAAUGUUCUAGAAAGUGUCCCUUAUGUAUUCCUCCGGGGUUAUGGUUUCAAUAACAUUAGUUUCAACAUUUAUGGGAUUAACUGAGAUAUAAUGUUUGAUUCUUUGACCGUUCACCACCCUCGGAUUUGUGCCUUCGAAGUUGUUGAUUUUUAUAGCACCGGAAUGAUAGACCUCCUCGAUGACGCAAGGACCUUCCCAUUUAGAGAGAAGUUUUCCUGCAAAAAAUAUUAAAUGGGAUUUGUAUAACAAUACAUAGUCACCUACAUUUUUGUAUCCUUUUGUCAUGCCAUCUUUUAACCUUUUCUUUAAACAGUUUGACAUUCUCAUAAGCCUGGGUUCUCCAUUCAUCAAGUGAGCUAAUGUCAAAAAGCCUCUUCUCACCGGCAAGUUUGAAAUCAUAAUUGAGCUCUUUAAUUGCCCAAUAUUCCUUAUGUUCUAGUUCAAGAGGUAAGUGACAUGCUUUACCAUAAACCAUUUUAUACGGAGACAUACCCAUAGGAUUUUUGUAUGCAGUUCUAUAAGCCCAUAAUGCACCAUCAAGUUUCUUGGACCAAUUCUUUCUAGAUCUAUUAACAGUCUUUUGCAAAAUUAAUUUAAGCUCUCUAUUACUUAAUUCUACUUGACCACUAGACUGUGGAUGAUAUGGAGAUGCAAUUCUAUGAUUAACAUCAUACUUAGCAAGCAUUUUACGAAAAGCACCAUGAAUAAAAUGUGAACCACCAUCAGUCAUUAAGUAUCUAGGGACUCCAAACCUCAGAAAAAUAACUUCUUUAAGCAUCUUAAUAGAGGUGUUAUGAUCAGCACUACUAGUUGGAAUAGCUUCUACCCACUUAGUAACGUUACCAACAACAACUAAAAUAUGAGUAUACCCAUUAGAGGAAGGAAACAGUCCCAUAUAAUCGAAGCCCCAAACAUCAAAUGGUUCAAUAACAAGUGAAUAAUUCAUAGGCAUUUCUUGACGUCUACUAAUAUUACAAAUUCUUUGACAUUCAUCACAAGACAAGACUAACUUACGGGCAUCCUUGAAGAGAGUAGGCCAAUAAAAACCGGAUUGCAAUACCUUAUGUGCAGUUCUGUCUCCAGCACGGUGUCCUCCAUAAGCCUCAGAGUGACACUUGCGUAGGAUCUGUUCCUGUUCAUGCUCAGUACACAACGUCUAAUAACACCAUCUACUCCUUCUUUAUAGAGGUGUGGGUCAUCCCAAAAGUAAUGUCUUAAAUCAUAGAAGAACUUUUUCUUUUGCUGGUACGUGAAACUAGGUGGUAUAAACUUAGCAACAAUAUAAUCAGCAUACCAUGGAGCAGUACGAGAAGCAUUUAUCACAACUAAUUGUUCAUCAGGAAAGCUAUCAUCAAUAGGUAGUGGGUCAUCAAGAACAUUCUCUAACCUAGACAAGUUGUUUGCAACGGGGUUCUCAGCUCCCUUUCUAUCAAUAAUAUGCAAAUCAAAUUCUUGUAGCAAGAGAACCCAUCUAAUAAGUCUAGGUUUAGCAUCUUUUUUUCCAUAAGGUAUUUAAUAGCAGCAUGAUCAGUGUGAACAGUUACUUUAGAAUCAACUAUAUAAGGUCUGAACUUAUCACAAGCAAAUACAACUGCUAAAAAUUCUUUUUCAGUAGUAGCAUAGUUUCUCUAGGCACUGUCUAGAGUUUUACUAGCAUAUUCAAUAACAUUUAAUUUCUUAUCAACUCUUUGUCCUAGAACAGCCCCUAUAGCAUAAUCACUAGCAUCACACAUAAUUUCAAAUGGUAAAUUCCAAUCAGGGGGCUGAACAAUAGGUGCAGAAACCAAAGCUUUCUUAAGUAUUUCAAAUGCUUCUACAUAGUCAUCAUAAAAAACAAAAGGAACAUCUUUUUGUAAGAGAUUAGUCAGAGGCCGAGAAAUUUUAGAGAAGUCCUUAAUGAACCUCCUAUAAAAACCGGCAUGACCAAGGAAGCUUCUUAUACCUUUAAUGUCCUUAGGACAUGACAUCUUUUCAAUAGCAUCAACUUUAGCCUUAUCAACUUCAAUACCUCUUUCAGAAAUUUUAUGCCCCAAGACAAUACCUUCAUUAACCAUAAAGUGGCACUUCUCCAAAUUCAAGACAAGAUUAGUUUCUUCACAUCUCUGCAAAACUCGAUCAAGGUUGCUUAAGCAAUCAUCAAAAGAAGUUCCGUAAACGGAGAAAUCAUCCAUGAAAACCUCAACAAUCUUUUCACAAAAGUCAGAGAAUAUAGCAGUCAUACAUCUUUGAAAAUUAGCAGGCGCAUUGCAUAAACCAAAAGGCAUACGUCUAUAAGCAAAGGUACCGAAAGGGCAAGUAAAAGUUGUCUUUUCUUGAUCCUCUUUUGACACAGGUAUUUGAGAGAAACCAGAAUAACCAUCUAGAAAGCAAAAAUGUGUAUGUUUGGAUAAUCUUUCUAGCAUUUGAUCUAUAAAAGGUAAAGGGUAAUGAUCCUUUUUAGUGGCUUUAUUUAAUUUGCGAAAAUCAAUUACCAUUCUAUAACCUGUAACAAUUCUUUGUGGGAUCAGUUCAUCUUUAUCAUUAGGAACUACAGUGAUACCUCCCUUCUUAGGGACACAAUGGACAUGACUUACCCAGUGACUAUCAGCAACAUGAUAAAUUAUACAUGCCUCCAGAAGCUUUAGUAUUUCUUUUCUUACCACUUCUUUCACCUUAGGAUUUAACCGUCGUUGGUAAUCAACAACCGGUUUCGCGUCUUUCUCCAAUUUUAUUUUGUGUUGGCAUAGAGUGGGACUAAUGCCCUUAAGAUCAUCAAGAGUAUAUCCAAUAGCAGCACGGUGCUUCUUGAGGGUUUUCAAUAAUUUCUUUUCUUCAUGCUCUGAAAGGUUAGCACUAAUAAUAACAGGAUAUAUCUCUUUCUCAUCAAUAUAAGCAUAUUUAAGAGUAUCGGGCAAAGGUUUAAGCUCAAACACGGGAUCAUCCUUGGGUGGAGGAGGAUCCCCUAGGAUUUCAACAUGCAAGUUGUGUUUCAAAAUAGGUCCCUAUUUAAAGAAUACUUCAUCUAUUUCCCUUCUUUCAUUCAUAAACAUAUCAUUUUCAUGGUCUAGCAAAUAUUGUUCUAAAGGAUCAGUAGGAGGCACGGCAAUAGAAGCAAGACCAAUAAUUUCAUCUUUACUAGGCGAUUCUUUAUCAUGGGGUGUUGGAAAUAUGCCCUAGAGGCAAUAAUAAAAUGGUUAUUAUUAUAUUUCCUUGUUCAUGAUAAUUGUCUAUUGUUCAUGCUAUAAUUGUGUUAUCCGGAAAUCGCAAUACAUGUGUGAACACAUAGACCAUAACGUGUUCCUAGUGAGCCUCUAGUUGACUAGCUCGUUGAUCAAUAGAUGGUUACGGUUUCCUGACCAUGGACAUUGGAUGUCAUUGAUAAUGGGAUCACAUCAUUAGGAGAAUGAUGUGAUGGACAAGACCCAAUCCUAAGCAUAGCACUAGAUCGUGUAGUUCGUUUGCUAAAGCUUUUCUAAUGUCAAGUAUCAUUUCCUUAGACCAUGAGAUCGUGCACCUCCCGGAUGCCGUAGGAAUGCUUUGGGUGUACCAAACGUCACAACGUGACUGGGUGGCUAUAAAGGGGCACUACAGGUAUCUCCGAAAGUGUCUAUUGGGUUGGCACAGAUCGAGACUGGGAUUUGUCACUCCGUAUGACGGAGAGGUAUCUCUGGACCCACUCGGUAAUGCAUCAUCAUAAUGAGCUCAAUGUGACCAAGUAGUUGGUCACGGGAUCAUGCAUUACGGAACGAGUAAAGUGACUUGCCGGUAACGAGAUUGAACGAGGUAUUGGGAUACCGACGAUCGAAUCUCGGGCAAGUAACGUACCGAUUGACAAAGGGAAUUGUACACGGGAUUGCUUGAAUCCUCGACAUCGUGGUUCAUCUGAUGAGAUCAUCGUGGAACAUGUGGGAGCCAACAUGGGUAUCCAGAUCCCGCUGUUGGUUAUUGGCUAGAGAGCGGUCUCGGUCAUGUCUGCAUGAUUCCCGAACCCGUAGGGUCUACACACUUAAGGUUCGAUGAUGCUAGGGUUAUAAGGAAGGUUUGUAUGUGAUUACCGAAUGUUGUUCGGAGUCCCGGAUGAGAUCCCGGACGUCACGAGGAGUUCCGGAUUGGUUCGGAGGUGAAGAUUUAUAUAUGCGAAGUCAUCAUACGGUCACCGGAAAUAUUCGGGGGUAUACCGGUAUUGUACCGGGACCACCAGAGGGGUUCCGGGGGUCCACCGGGAGGGUCCACCUGCCCCGGAGGGCCUUAUGGGCUGUAGUCGGAAGGGAACCAGCCCCUAAGUGGGCUGGGCGCCAUCCCCCCUUGGGCCCAUGCGCCUAGGGUUGGGGGGAACCCUAAAGGGGGGCGCCCCCCUUGCUUGGGGGGCAAGCCCCCUCCCCCUUGGCCGCCGCCCCCUCUAGAUCUCAUCUAGAGGGGCCGACCCCCUUCCCCCUUCUCCCUAUAAAUAGAGGGGUAGAGGGAGGGCUGCAGCACCACAUCCAAGGCGCAGCCCCUCCCCUCCCCAACACCUCUCCUCCUCCACGUGAGCUUGGCGAAGCCCUGCCGGAGAACUGCCACUCCACCACCACCACGCCGUCGUGCUGCUGUUGGAGCCUUCUUCCUCAACCUCUCCCUCCUCCUUGCUGGAUCAAGGCGCGGGAGACGUCACCGGGGUGCACGUGUGUUGAACGCAGAGGCACCGUUGUUCGGUGCUUGGAUCGGAUUCUGCCGUGAUCUGAAUCGCUACGUGUAUGACUCCUCCAACCGCGUUCUUGCAACGCUUCCGCAUCGCGAUCUUCAAAGGUAUGCAGAUGCACUACCCUCUCGUUGCUAGUAAACUCCAUAGAUUGAUCUUGGUGAUGCGUAGAAUUUUUUUAAUUUCUGCAACGAUCCCCAACAUGGGGUUGUCUACGAAACUUAGCAAAAUUAAACUCAUGAGAGAUAUCCCCUAAACCAACAGAAACAAUAUCCUUAUUGCAGUCUAUCUUAGCAUUAACAGUAUUCAAGAAGGGUCUACCAAAUAUAAUGGGACAAAAGUCAUCUUGUGGGGAACCGAGAACAAGAAAAUCAGCAGGAUAUUUAACUUUCCCACACAAGACUUCAACAUCUCUAACAAUCCCAACUGGUGAAAUAGUGCCUCUAUUGGCAAGUUUAAUUGUAACAUCAAUUUCUUGUAACUCAGCAUGUGCAAUAUCAUGCAUAAUUUCUUUGUAUAAGGAAUAAGGUAUUGCACUUACACUAGCACCCAUAUCACAUAAGCCAUGAUAGCAAUGAUCUCAUAUUUUAACAGAAAUAACAGGCAUGACUACAACAGGUCUAUGUUUAUUUUUAGUAUCAGGUCUAGCAAUUCUAGCAGCUUCAUUACAGAAGUAAAUAACAUGCCUAUCAAUAUUAUCUGCCAAGAGAUCUUUAACCAUAGCAACACUAGGUUCAACUUUAAUUUGCUCAGAGGGAGUAGGUGUUCUAGUAUUACUCUUACGAACCACAGUUGAAUCUUUAGCAUGAUCCUUUAUUCUAACAGGGAAAGGUGGUUUCUCAAUAUAAGCAGCGGGAACAAUAGGAUCAUUAUAAGUGACAAUCUUUUCUUCAACUUUAAUAGGUGCAACUACUUUUACUUCAAUGGGAGGAUUAUAUUUAAACCACUUCUCCUUAGGGAGAUCAACAUGAGUAGCAAAGGAUUCAUAGAAAGAAGCUACUAUCUCAGAGUCUAGUCCAUAUUUAGUGCUAAAUUCACGGAAAACAUCGGUAUCCAUAAAAGAUUUAACACAAUCAAACUUAGGUGUUAUACCUGACUCCUUACCUUUGUCAAGGUCCCAAUCUUCAUAGUUGCAUUUAAUUCUUUCCAAUAAAUCCCAUUUGAAUUCAAUAGUCUUCAUCAUAAAAGAUCCUGUACAAGAAGUAUCGAGCAUGGAGCGAUUACUGAGAGAAAGCCGAGCAUAAAUUUUUUGAAUAAUCAUUUCUUUUGAGAGCUCAUGAUUGGGGCAUGAAUAUAACAUUGACUUCAGCCUCCCCCAAGCUUGAGCGAUGCUUUCUCCUUCGUGAGGCCAAAAAUUAUAUAUAUAAUUACGAUCACGAUGAACAAGAUGCAUAGGGUAAAACUUCUGAUGAAAUUCCAAUUUCAAUCGGUUGUAGUUCCAUGAUCCCAUAUCAUCACAUAGCCUAAACCAUGUCAAUGCCUCUCCCUUCAAAGAUAAAUGGAAUACCUUCUUCUCGGGCAUACCUGCAAGCUUAAAUAAUCCACGAACUUCAUCCACAUAGAUUAGGUGCAAAUUGGAAUGCAAUGUUCCAUCUCAGGAUUAGCUAGCAGUUUCUCUAUCAUACCCGAAGGAAUUUCAAAGUAAACAUUUUCAGUAGGUUCAGUAGGUUGAGGAGGAACUCUUUGCUCUACUGGUCGGGGUGAAGAUACCCCGAACAAGCCCCUCAAAGGAUUAUGUUCCAUAGUAACAAGUGACAGUAAAUUUCAGCACACUAUAUAAAUUUUUCCUUACCAAAUUCCACCUACCAAAGGCGCUUCACUCCCCGGCAACGGCGCCAGAAAAGAGUCUUGAUGACCACAAGUGUAGGGGAUCUAUCGUAGCCUUUUCGAUAAGUAAGAGUGUCGAACCCAACGAGGAGCAGAAGGAAAUGAUAAGCAGUUUUCAGUAAGGUAUUCUCUGCAAGCACUGAAAUUAUCGGUAACAGAUAGUUUUGUGAUAAGGUAAUUUGUAAUGAGUAGCAAGUAAUAAAAGUAAAUAAGGUGCAGCAAGAUGGCCCAAUCCUUUUUGUAGCAAAGGACAAGCCUGGACAAACUCUUAUAUAAAGUAAAGCGCUCCCGAGGACACAUGGGAAUUAUCGUCAAGCUAGUUUUCAUCACGUUCAUAUGAUUCGCGUUCGGUACUUUGAUAAUUUGAUAUGUGGGUGGACCGAUGCUUGGGUACUGUCCUUCCUUGGACAAGCAUCCCACUUAUGAUUAACCCCUAUUGCAAGCAUCCGCAACUACAACAGAAGUAUUAAGGUAAACCUAACCAUAACAUGAAACAUAUGGAUCCAAAUCAGCCCCUUACGAAGCAAUGCAUAAACUAGGGUUUAAGCUUCUGUCACUCUAGCAACCCAUCAUCUACUUAUUACUUCCCAAUGCCUUCCUCUAGGCCCAAACAAUGGUGAAGUGUCAUGUAGUCGACGUUCACAUGACACCACUAGAGGAGAGACAACAUACAUCUCAUCAAAAUAUCGAACGAAUACCAAAUUCACAUGACUACUUAUAGCAAGACUUCUCCCAUGUCCUAUAUGAUCUUCCACCAAGUAAACCAACUAGCAUCAACUACAAGGAGUAAUCAACACUACUAGCAACCCACAGGUACCAAUCUGAGGUUUUGGGACAAAGAUUGGAUACAAGAGAUGAACUAGGGUUUGAGAUGAGACGGUGCUGGUGAAGAUGUUGAUGGAGAUUGACCCCCUCCCGAUGAGAGGAUCAUUGGUGAAUGACGAUGGUGAUGAUUUCCCCCUCCCGGAGAGAAGUUUCCCCGGCAGAACAGCUCCGCCGGAGCCCUAGAUUGGUUCCGCCAAGGUUCCGCCUCGUGGCGGCAGAGUUUCGUCCCGUAAGGUUGCUUAUGAUUUUUUCCUCGAUGAAAAGACUCCAUAUAGCCAAAGAGGGCAUCAGAGGGCUGCCAGGGGGCCCACGAGGCAGGGGGCGCGCCUAGGGGGGUAGGGUGCGCUCCCACCCUCGUGGACGGUGGGUGGCCCCCCUCUGGUACUUCUUUCGCCCAAUAUUUUUUAUAUAUUCUGAAACGUGCUCUCGUGAAGUUUCAGGACUUUUGGAGUUGUGCAGAUUAGGUCUCUAAUAUUUGCUCCUCUUUCAGCCCAGAAUUCCAGCUGCCGGCAUUCCCCCUCUUCAUGUAAGCCCUGUAAAAUAAGAGAGAAUAGGCAUAAGUAUUGUGACAUAAUGUGUAAUAACAGCCCAUAAUGCAAUAAAUAUUGAUAUAAAAGCAUGAUGCAAAAUGGACGUAUCAUAGGGUGAAAUGUUCCAUGAGAGAUUCCCAAAGCAGAUCUUUUGCUCUGUCGUCGACCCAAGUAAGAUCUGGGCGUUCCUUUGCUGGCUUUUUUCCAUUCUUGCAUGGAGAUCGGGAGUUGGUCCUUCACAAGAACUCCGCACUGACGAACAAACUUGUUCGCAUUCUUCUUAGGCAAGAUUGGUUCGCCGUUAGUUUUGAUGGCAUCGAUGUUGUACUUUACGCUCUGCUUCAACUUUUUGCCCAGGCCUCGCACUGUCCUGCGUGUAGAAGAUUUGCUCGAUCCGGAGGGCUGAAAGAAGAAAGAUCGAUUGGUUAAAAUAUGUUCAAAUCAUUUAAAACAUGUGAUGAUCACCAGAUGCCUGCUUAUAUAAAUAUACCUCGCCGGUCUCUAUUCUAAUUUGAAGAUCAACAUUUUCUUCAUCAUCAUAAUCAUAGUUCUGGACUUCAUCAAUUCGGUCGUCACGAUCGAAUAUCAUAUCACCCUCCCCGGUAUUGUUCAGAUAUCGGGAGCCGUCAUCUUAUUCAUUCUGAUCAUCUCGCCCGCCAGGGGAGCGUAUGAGCUCGAACAGGGCCUCUUCUCCUUCUCUGCCGGUAUUGUCCGCCAUAGCUUUUAUUUAACUAAUCCAGAAGAAAUAUAAAACAAUUUAGUAUUCAAAUUACAAUGCAUGCCUGCAAUCAACAUUAAGGAUUCAUCGUCUCGAAUUUUAUCGAAUAAUAUAUAUAAUCUCGAAUACAUCGUCUCGAAUAAUAUAUAUAAUCUCGGAUACAUCAUCUCGAAUAUUAUAUAUCGAAUACAUCACUAGCUAGCUAGCUAAUAAAGAUCGAAUACUAUAGAAUAAUCUAGUUCAUUCGCGGUUCCUGAGGUGCGGGCGGUGGACACCCAAAGAGAAGGAACCAUCACAGGAUCAUAGCUCGGGUGAGAUCCCCGAAGAACCUGCCAGGUAUUGGAGAACCUGACGUCCAUAGCAGCCAUGUACCGACUGACGUGCUCGUCCUCCUCCCUGACACGACGACGUACCACCUCCGGCGGGGCUGGCUCCCUCCGCACCGAAAGUGGCCCACGCGAACGCCACCAAAGGAAAUCAGGGUCGACGACGGGACCCGGGGCCGGGUUCCUCACCAAGCGGCGCGCCCUUGAAGGUAGCACCUCCCAGUACCAGCCCGGUGGAGCCCAGUAUCGGACAUGGGUCCUCUGAAGCAGGACGUCGUCGCGAACGGGACGACGACGAGGAUGCGGGCCGGGCAUCGUUGACGUCGAUAACAAAUUCUUAUGGAAAAAUUCCUAUAUAUGCAAUGUCAUUUUAUUAGGAAAUUUUGAGCAACUUUUUCCUAUGAAACUUCUCCUAGUCCUUCGUCUAACAAAUAUAUAUGGUCAACUUUUUCCUAUGCAACUUUUUUAUAUGCAAUUUUUUCUAUACUAGGAUAUACAACAUCGUAUAAAAUUAAAAACAGAAAAAGAAACACUAAUUAAGCAUCUAACACUAAAAACAGAAAAACAACUUCUAUACAUCCAUUAAAAAAUAGAAAAACAACAUUAUAUACAAAAAUUCCAUACUAAUUAAACACUAAUUAUAUCCAUCUAACAUGCAUUCAUACAUAUAUACNNNNNNNNNNNNNNNNNNNNNNNNNNNNNNNNNNNNNNNNNNNNNNNNNNNNNNNNNNNNNNNNNNNNNNNNNNNNNNNNNNNNNNNNNNNNNNNNNNNNNNNNNNNNNNNNNNNNNNNNNNNNNNNNNNNNNNNNNNNNNNNNNNNNNNNNNNNNNNNNNNNNNNNNNNNNNNNNNNNNNNNNNNNNNNNNNNNNNNNNNNNNNNNNNNNNNNNNNNNNNNNNNNNNNNNNNNNNNNNNNNNNNNNNNNNNNNNNNNNNNNNNNNNNNNNNNNNNNNNNNNNNNNNNNNNNNNNNNNNNNNNNNNNNNNNNNNNNNNNNNNNNNNNNNNNNNNNNNNNNNNNNNNNNNNNNNNNNNNNNNNNNNNNNNNNNNNNNNNNNNNNNNNNNNNNNNNNNNNNNNNNNNNNNNNNNNNNNNNNNNNNNNNNNNNNNNNNNNNNNNNNNNNNNNNNNNNNNNNNNNNNNNNNNNNNNNNNNNNNNNNNNNNNNNNNNNNNNNNNNNNNNNNNNNNNNNNNNNNNNNNNNNNNNNNNNNNNNNNNNNNNNNNNNNNNNNNNNNNNNNNNNNNNNNNNNNNNNNNNNNNNNNNGGGGAUGGGCCGGGGGCGGCGACGGAGACGAGGGCGGUGACGGGGACAGGGACGAGGGCGGCGACGACAACGGCGCGCGACGGGGGCGGCGACGGGGACGGCGCGGGGCAGGCGGUGCGUCGCCGAUGGAGAAAUAGAGGAAGAAUGAAAUUUUUUCAAGUGUUGUUUAUAUAGGAGGGACCUUUAGUCCCGGUUGGUGGCUCCAACCGGGACUAAAGGUUAAAUUUUGCCAGGCCAAGCGGCGGGAACGGCACCCCUUUAGUACCGGGUGGUGGCUCCAACCGGUACUAAAGACCCCCCUUUAGUACCGGUUGGAGCCACGACCCGGUACUAAAGGGGGUGAGCUCGCACAGGUGCGGUGCGGCAAGUUUAGUCCCACCUCGCUAGUCGAGGAGCCCCAGGACCUGGUUAUAAGCCCCGACGCGAGCAUUACAUUGAGCUCCUCUCUAAUGCAGGCCUUCUGGGCCUAACUGUUCUACUCUACCAUGUGGGGCCUACUGGGGUUGCGGGCCUGCGUCCUGGCCCAACUACAGGUUGGGUUUCUAGUCGUAUGCAGGCCGCUUUGGCCAAGUAGGUGGGCUUUUUUAUUUAGUUUUUUCUAUUUUCUGCUUUAUUUAAAUUCUUUUAUUUAUUUUUGAGUUGUUUUUUUGCUGUAUUUAGAGUUUCUUUGUGAAUAUUUUUGCUUUAGGUACAAAAAAUUACAAACUUUCUGUUAGUGCGAGUAGUUUUCAAAUUUGAAUUAUUUGAAAUUUUUGUGAAUAACUUAACUUUAAAAAUAGAUUUUAGUGAUUCUUUGUUCUUAUGUUUAAUAUUAGUGUGUUUUAUCAUUAUAUUCAAUUUGGUAAUACUUAGGUUAUUUACAAAAUGAGAUGCCUUUGUAACAGAUGAGUUUUCGUCCGAAACCCUGAUACUUCGAAAGAGAUUGUCCAUUUUGUACACGAAGUGCAUCCAAUUUUUGCCGUAACCCUCUCUACUUUUUUGUACAUGCUAUGUGGGUGAAAUGAUGAUACCAUGCCAACUUUCAACCUUUUCAGAGUUCAUUUAUAGUGCUUUUCAAUUUCAGGGUCAUUUAGCUCAAAAAAUUCAGUAAAUGCAUGAAAAAUAGCAAAUGAUGUCAGAAAGUUACACGUUUGUCCGAAGCACAAAAGUACACAUUUCAAGUGCCAAAACACAUAAGCACCCUAACUAUUACAAACAUAUACAAGUCCGGAAACUCACUAGAGAAGAAAGUGAUGACAGUGAAGCCGAUCACAUCCCAGAGUGGGAUCUUUGUGCCGUGUGAAACUUUUUCUUCGCGUGUGUCCCUUUGCGCCGUAACCAUGGACAAUCUUCAUCAUUUAACAGUAUGCUCUGGUCAAUAUUCACUCUGAAUGGAGCAUUUUCAUCAAACUUUUCAUAAUCUUCUGAUAUGUCUGUCUUGUCAUCCACUCCCAUGAUGUUUCUUUUCCCUGAAAGAACUAUGUGGCGCUUUGGCUCAUCGUAUGAUGUAUUCGCUUCCUUAUCUUUUCUUUUUCUCGGCUUGGUAGACAUGUCCUUCACAUAGAAAACCUGCACCACAUCAUUGGCUAGGACGAAUGGUUCGUCUGCGUACGCAAGAUUCUUGAGAUCCACUAUUGUCAUUCCGUACUGCGGGUCUUCCGUUACCCCCCUCGUGUCAUAUUGACCCAUUUGCACCGAAACAAAGGGACGUUCAAACCACGUCCAUAGUCAAGUUCCCAUAUGUCCUCUAUGUAACCAUAAUAUGUGUCCUGUCCCAUCUUGGUUGCUGCAUCAAAGCGGACACCACUGUUUUGGUAGGUGCUCUUCUUAUCUUGGGCGAUCAUGUAAAAUGUAUUCCCAUUUAUCUCGUACCCUUUGAAAGUCAUUAUAUUCGAAGAUGGUAACUUGGACAGCAAGUACAUGUCAUAUUCAAUAGCGGCGUCAUGCAUGGCACGUGUCUGCAACCAACCGGCGAAAGUCCCCGUUUGUUCACGUGUAAUCCAGUCGUCAGACUGCUCCGGGUGUUUGGAGCGUAGAAAAUUCUUGUGUUCCUCCAUAUACGGAGCCACCAAGGCGGAAUUCUGUAGAACUGUGUAGUGUGCUUGAGUGAGAGAAUGCCCGUCCAUACAUAUUAUUUGUUUCCCUCCUAGCGUGCCUUUUCCAUCUAGUCUUCCCUUAUGCCGCGAUUCAGGAAGACCAAUCGGCUUAAGGUCAGGAAUAAAGUCAAUACAAAACUCAAUGACCUCCUCAUUUUCAUGGCCCUUGGAGAUGCUUCCUUCUGGCCUAGCACGGUUAAGAACAUAUUUCUUUAAGACUCCCAUGAACCUCUCAAAGGGGAACAUAUUGUGUAGAAAUACAAGACCAAGAACGUUAAUCUCUUCGCAUAGGUGAACUAGGACGUGCAUCAUGAUGUUGAAGAAGGAUGGUGGGAACACCAUCUCGAAACUGACAAGACAUUGCACCAAAUCAUUCUCUAACCUUGGUAUGAUUUCUGGAUUGAUUACCUUCUGAGAGAUUGCAUUGAGGAAUGCACAUAGCUUCACAAUGGCUAAUCGAACGUUUUCCGGUAGAAGCCCCCUCAAUGCAACCAGAAGCAGUUGCGUCAUAAUCACAUGGCAGUCAUGAGACUUUAGGUUCUGGAACUUUUUCUCUGCCAUAUUUAUUAUUCCCUUUAUAUUCGACGAGAAGCCAGAUGGUUCCUUCAUACUGAGCAGGCAUUCAAAGAAGAUUUCCUUCUCUUCUUUGGUAAGAGCAUAGCUGGCAUGACCCUGAUGUAUGCCGUCUUUUCCGUGCAUACGUUGCUGGUCCUCCUGUGCCUCUGGUGUAUCUUUUGUCUUCCCAUACACACCCAAGAAGCCAAGCAGGGGCAUGCAAAGAUUCUUCGUCACGUGCAUCACAUCGAUUGCAGAGCGGACCUCUAGGUCUUUCCAAUAGGGCAGGUCCCAAAAUAUAGAUAUCUUAUUCCACAUGGGUGCGCGUCCGUCAGCGUCAUUCAGAACAGGUUGUCCGCCAGGACCCUUUCCAAAGAUUACCUUCAAAUCCUUGACCAUAUCAUGUACAUCAGCACGAGUACGGUGGCGAGGCUUUGUCCGGUGAUCCGCCUCACCUUUGAAAUGCUUGCCUUUCUUUCUUACGAGAUACCUGCUCGGAAGAAAUCAACGAUGUCCCAGGUACACAUUCUUCUUACAAUUAUUCAAAUAUAUAGUGUCGGUAUCUUCCAAACAGUGUGUGCAUGCGCGGUAUCCCUUGUUUGUCUGUCCUGAAAGGUUACUGAGAGCAGGCCAAUCAUUGAUGGUCACGAACAACAAUGCCUUUAGGUCAAAUUUUUCCUGUCUGUGCUCAUCCCACGCACGUACACCUGUUCCAUUCCACAGCUGUAAGAGUUCUUCAACUAAUGGCCUUAGGUACACAUCAAUGUCGUUGCCGAGUUGCUUAGGGCCUUGUAUGAGCACUGGCAUUAUAAUGAACUUCCGCUUCAUGCACAACCAAGGAGGAAGGUUAUACAUACAUAGAGUCAUAGGCCACGUGCUAUGGUUGCUGCUUUGCUCCCCAAAAGGAUUAAUGCCAUUUGCGCUUAGACCAAACCAUACGUUCCUUGCAUCACCUGCAAACUCCUUCCUGUACUUUCUCUCGAUUUUUCUCCACUGCGACCCGUCAGCGAGUACUCUCAACUUCCCGUGUUUCUUAUGGUCUUCUCUGUGCCAUCGCAUCGCCUUGGAAUGCUCUUUGUUUAGUAACAAAUGUUUCAACCGUGGUAUUAUAAGAGCAUACCACAUCACCUUGGCAGGAAUCUGCUUCUUCCUGGGGCACUCACCCUCGACAUCACCAGGGUCAUCGCGGCUGAUCUUAUACGGCAAUGCACCACAUACCGGGCACGCGUUCAAAUCCACGUACUCACCGCGGUAGAGGAUGCAGUCAUUAGGGCAUGCAUGUAUCUUUUGCACCUCUAACCCUAGAGGGCAGACAACCUUAUUUCCUUCAUACGCACUCUCGGGCAAUUCGUUGUCCUUUGGAAGCAUCUUCUUUAACUUUACCAUCAACUUUCCAAAUGCCUUGUCAGAUACACCAUUCUCUGCCUUCCAUUGCAGUAAUUCCAGUUGGUGCCCAGCUUUUUCUUGUCAGCUUCGCAAUUCGAGUACAACAAUUUCUUGUGAUCCUCUAACAUGUGCUGCAACUUCUUCUUCUCCUUUUCACUUGCGCAGUUUCUCUCUGCAUCGGCAAUGGCCCGACCUAGAUCAUCAGUUGGCUCAUCUGAUGCCUCUUCUUCAGCUUCUUUCCGCAUUGCCGGCUCAGCUUCUUCCCCCAUUGUUGUAUCAUCGUAUUCAGGGAACACUACUAGGGAAAAGCCUAGCAGUAGCGCGGGUAAAAUGCUUAUCAGUAGCUCGGGCAGCCGCGCUACUGAUACGGCGCUACAGCUAAUGCUUAGCAGUAGCGCGUGUUGACCCGCACUACUGCUAUCUAGGGAUAGUAGUAGCGGUCAUCGCAAAAACGCUGCUGCUAAUAUCUAUAGCGCCCUAGUAUAAAAGGCGCUACUGCUAAGACCUCGCUGCUACUAAAGCCAUACCCCGUGCUACUGUUAUUAGUUUCUGAAUUUUUUCUGCUCCAUAUUUUGUGCUGCUAAAUUUUGUUUAGUGUUUUAUACAAUAGUCUCUAGCAUAUCAUACACAUACAAAUCUGAUCAUAUCAUACACAUACAAAUAGUCUCAUCAAAUUGAUCAUGUCAUCACCAUAAUCUUCAUCCAACACAAAAUGAUGUCUCUCGUCAUCAUCUUGAAAUAGCGAUACAAGUUAUGAGAUGUCUUGAAUACUUGCAACUACAUCGUCAUCCAUCUAAACAAUGAUAUAGGCAAGAAGAGCUAUCACUAUAUGAGUGAGAGCGAAACUAUGCAGUACAUGAGGUGGCGGUUAUGAGUCCUCUCUCACGUUAGCGUGAACCUCAAGUAACUAGCUUCUGCUUCUUGUCUGCUUUUGAACCAUUUAUGGCUGGCGCCCGAGAACCGCUCAGAUCAUUUACCCUGCACAUAAUCAUCAUUUUCCAAAUAUAACAUGUCCAAAACAUCACAUGUCCAAAUUCCAAAUAUGACAUCUCCAAAUCACAUGUCCACAUAUUACAUGUCCACUUCAAAUUGGCAUAUAACAAGAAGAAAAAUAUAGAACUUGAAGAAAAAUGCAAGAAGUUUUUUUAAAUAGCAACAAUUGCUUAAACUAAAAAUAGCAAUAGUUUGAAACCUAUGGUUCAUACUAACUACCACUAAAGAAUAGCCACUAAUCUGUCCUAGGUUUUUUUAACUAGGGUUCAUACUACUUAAUUGAAUAGAGUUCAUACUAAUUGUAAUGAACUAACUAGCACUAAAAAUAGCCUAGGGUUCAUACUAACUAGCACUAAAUAGCUAGGGUUCAUACUAACAGAGAGAGAGAGAGAGAGCAGAGAGCAGAGAGGAGGGGAGGGGAGAGUGCUUACAGAGGGCAGAGAGAGAGAUGGGGUCGGGGGAGACGGCGGCACUGAGGCGCGGUCGGGGAAGACGGCGGCGAGGCGGGGNNNNNNNNNNNNNNNNNNNNNNNNNNNNNNNNNNNNNNNNNNNNNNNNNNNNNNNNNNNNNNNNNNNNNNNNNNNNNNNNNNNNNNNNNNNNNNNNNNNNNNNNNNNNNNNNNNNNNNNNNNNNNNNNNNNNNNNNNNNNNNNNNNNNNNNNNNNNNNNNNNNNNNNNNNNNNNNNNNNNNNNNNNNNNNNNNNNNNNNNNNNNNNNNNNNNNNNNNNNNNNNNNNNNNNNNNNNNNNNNNNNNNNNNNNNNNNNNNNNNGGGAGACGGUGGUGAGGCGGGGACGAGGAAGACGACGGCGGAGAGCGAGGGUAGGGGCUAUGGCGAGGUCGAGGUCGAGGAGGAGGAGGCACAAGCGUCGAGGGAAGAUUCCGGCGGAGAGCGAGGGCAGGGGCUCCGGCGAGGGCGAGGGCGAGGGCAAGGGCUCCUGCGGAGGCGACGAGGGGGAGAAGAGAGAGUGGGGAAUUGGGGGAGGAAGCAGAGGAGGGAAGCCCGCACGGGGGGUUAUGUCAAAAUGGUUUUAGCAGUAGCGUGGGAAAAUAAAACGCGCUGCUGCUAAAAUACGUAGCAGUAGCGCGCUUCUCACAAACUCGCUACUACUAAGCUAGGCCCGUCCUGUGGACAAGUUCAAACUUAGCAGAAGCGCCCUACCCUAAAAGCGCGCUACUACUAAUUUGAUAGCAGUAGCGCGGUUUGUAGAAGGGCGCUACUACUAUACCUAGCAUGUCGGCAAUGGUGUGGCAAUUAUAGUAGUAGCGUGUUUUAUUCCUGCCACGCUACUACUAAGUGGAUAGCAGUAGCGCCCUUUCUGACCACGCACUACUGCUAAGUAGCAGUAGCGCCUCAUUUUAACACGCACUACUGGUAAGAUUCUGUGUAUAAGGUUUUCCCUAGUAGUGGAACCCAUGGCUAGGAUAGCUAUCGUCGUCCUCUUCUUCUUCAUUGUCUUCCAUCAUAACCCCUCUUUCUCCAUGCUUGGUCCAAACAUUAUAGUUGGGCAUGAAAUCAGACUCAAACAGGUGGACGUGAAUGGUUCUUGAGUUAGAGUAAUUGUGAUCAUUCUACAGCCAACACAUGGACAAGGCAUAAAACCAUCCGCCCGCUUGUUUGCCUGAGCCGCAAUCAGAAAAGUAUGCACACCUUCAACGAACUGGGGAGAGCAUCAGUCAUCGUACAUCCAUUGCCGGCUCAUCUUCAUUACACAGCACCGAAUAGACCAAAUUAAUACAAGUUCAUACAUAAAGUUCAUACAACACUUAUUCUCAUAAAUCAAACAUAUAAAUAACUCUCUAGCUAAAGCAUUUAAAUGCAACAACAAAUGCGAUCAAGAUCGCAACUAAGGUAACAAUUGAUCCAACAACAUAAUGAUACCAAGCCUCACUAUCAAUGGCAUAUUUUCUAAUCUUUCUAAUCUUCAAGCGCAUUUUCUCCAUCUUGAUCUUGUGAUCAUCGACGACAUCGGCAACAUGCAACUCCAAUUCCAUCUUCUCCCCCUCAAUUCUUUUUAAUUUUUCUUUCAAAUACUCGUUUUCUCUUUCAACUAAAUUUAACCUCUCGACAAUAGGGUCGGUUGGAAUUUCUGGUUCACAUACCUCCUAGAUAAAAAUAUCUAUGUCAACUUGAUGGGCAUAAUUUGUCAUAAACACGAAAUGCAACAAAAUAUUUAGAAAAGAAAAUAUACCACAUCCGAAUCAUAACCCGGAUGAGGGCCGACGGGGACGGAUAUCAAAACCAUGGCACUAUGAAUAACAAACAACAUACGAGUAAGAUAAUUAUACAAGUGACUAUAUUCUAAAUCACACAAAACAUGAUUUUUUAUAUAUAAAAAAGAUAAGAACAAGAGGCUCACCCCACAAGGUGGUGCCGGCGAUAGGACGGUGUGGACGAUCGACGAUGGUUAGGACGGAGACGGGAAGGCACUAAGUAAACCACACCUACAUAUGCAAACUAAGAGUUAUUUUGAGCUCAAAUUGCAUAUAAAUCAAAUAAACUACCACAUAUAUAAUUCCUCCAAAAUUACUAAAACCCACAAAUUAAUGACUAUAUAAAGCAUUGCAAGAGCUAGUCUAGCAAUGAGAGAUGAAAGGACAAAGUUGCUUACCUUUGUGAUCACUUGAAUGGAUGGGGGCCUUCAAAUCUUGACAAAAUUUGGGCAAAAUGUGUGAUGAGCUCGAGGUAGAGGGGAAGAACAGAGAGGAGAGGGGAAAGGGAAAAAACAGAGCGAGCUCGAUCGCGGGUGGACGAAGGGUUUAUAUAGGACGAACUUUAGUACCGGUUCGUGCCAUGAACCGGUACAAAAGGUGCUAGAGGGGCCCCAGACUGACAACAUCAUGCCACCACUCUCUUUAUUACCCGUUCAUGGCACGAACCGGUGCUAAAAGUUCGCCAUGAACUGGCACUAAUGAGAGUGAUAACCCACAAGUAUAGGGGAUCAAUUGUAGCCUCUUUCGAUAAGUAAGAGUGUCGAACCCAACGAGGAGCUAAAGGUAGAACAAAUAUUCCCUCAAGUUCGAUCGACCACCGAUACAACUCUACGCACACUUAACGUUCGCUUUACCUAGAACAAGUAUGAAACUAGAAGUGCUUUGUAGGUGUUGUUGGAUAGGUUUGCAAGAUUAUAAAGAGCGCGUAAAUAAAAAGUAGGGGCUGUUUAGAUGAAGACACAACUAAGUUAGUUUUAGUAGAGAGCUUUUUGUCAGACAAGAAAGUUAUUUGUCCCUAGGCAAUCGAUAACUAGACCGGUAAUCAUUAUUACAAUUUUAUUUGAGGGAGAGGCAUAAGCUAACAUACUUUCUCUUCUUGGAUCAUAUGCACUUAUGAUUGGAACUCUAGCAAGCAUCCGCACCUACUAAAGAUCAUUAAGGUAAAACCCAACCAUAGCAUUAUAAGGCAUCAAGUCCUCUUUAUUCCCAUACGCAAACAACCUACUUACUCGGGUCUGUGUUUCUAUCACUCACGCCACCCACCAUAAGCAAAUCAUGAACAUAUUGCAAACCCUACAGCGGGGAUCCCUCACGCUUGCGCGACAUGGAGAGCACCAUAGGACAGCACCAAUAAUAAAACAUGCAACUCAAACCAAUCACGAUCAUCAAUUAACCCAUAGGACAAAACGGAUCUACUCAAACAUCAUAGGAUAGCCAUACAUCAUUGGGAAAUAAUAUAUAGCAUAGAGCACCAUGUUUAAGUAGAGGUUACAGCGGGUAAAAGAGGGGUUACACCACUGCAUAGAGGGGGGGGGGAAGAGUUGGUGAUGAUGGCGAAGUUGUUGGUGUAGAUUGCGGUGAUGAUGAUGGCCCCGACGGUGUUCCAGCGCCACCGGAAGAGAGGGGGAGAGAGCCCCCUUCUUAUUCUUCUUCUUCCUUGACCCUCUCCCUAGAUGGGAGAAGGGUUUCCCCUCUGGUCCAUGGCCUCCAUGGCAUGGGAGGGGCGAGAGCCCCUCCGAGAUUGGAUCUGUCUCUCUGUCUCUCUCUGUUUCUGCGUUUCAGAUUCUGUCCUUUCACCGUUUCUUAAAUUCCCGGAGAUCCAUAACUCCGAUUGGGCUGAAUUUUGGACACGAUUUUUAUCCGGAUAUUAGCUUUCUUGCGGCAAAAGAAGGGCGCCAACCGCCUUACGGGGUGGCCACGAGGGCCCAGGGCGUGCCUGACCCCCUAGGGCGUGCCCCCUGCCUCGUGGCCCCCUCGGGCAUCGUCUCGCGUUGAUUCUUCUUCCCAAAAAUCACAUAAAUUCCAAAAAAUCUCCGUCAGUUUAUAUCCCGUUUGGACUCCGUUUGAUAUGGAUUUUCUGCGAAACAAAAAACAUGCAAUAAACAGGAACUGACACUGGGCAGUGGAUCAAUGUGUUAGUCCCAAAAAUAGUAUAAAAAGUUGCCAAAAGUAUAUGAAAGUUGUAGAAUAUUGGCAUGGAACAAUAAAAAAUUAUAGAUACGGCGGAGGUGUAUCAGCAUCCCCAAGCUUAAUUCCUGCUCGUCCUCGAGUAGGUAAAUGAUAAAUUUUUUUUUGAUGUGGAAUGCUAGCUACCUAGCAUAAUCUUGAUCACAUAGUCUAAUCAUGGCAUGAAUAUUAAGACACGAGUGAUUCAAAGCAAUAGUCUAUCAUUUGACAUUAAGAUAAUAAUACUUCAAGCAUACUAAUAAAGCAAUCAUGUCUUUUCAAAAUAGCAUGGCCAAAGAAAGUUAUCCCUACAAAAUCAUAUAGUCUGGCUAUGCUCCAUCUUCACCACACAAAAUAUUCAAAUCAUGUACAACCCCGAUAACAAGCCAAGCAAAUGGUUCAUACUUUUGACGUUCUCAAACCUUUUCAACUUUCACGAAAGACAUGAGCGUGAGCCAUGGACAUAGCACUAUAGGUGGAAUAGAAUAUGAUGGUGGAGGUUGUGUGGAGAAGACAAAAAGGGAGAAAGUCUCACAUCAACGCGACUAAUCACUACAAAAAAAAGACACAUCCGUGACAUUUUGGGCCGAACAAUUUUUUUUUCUGUCAUACAUAUGACACUUCUAUGAAGAUAAUUGUGACAAAACCCGGUAUCAUCAUAGAUGUGGUGGGCUCCUACUUCUAUGACAAAAAAUCAUGACAGAAAAUGGGCUUUUCGUCCUGGGCGGGCCGGAGACGCAGCUGCAUGACAUUCUUUGGGCCGUCCAUGACGGAAAAAACCGUGGUAGAAGCGAGGGCGAGGAAAAUUUCGGGGAGUUCCCGGUUACGGUGGGAGGUCGGGGGCCGAGCGAUGCACGUUUCUAUCGUACACGUACGCGCGUGUGUGCGAGGCGUUGGGCUCUAACUGAACCCGAGCGAUUGCACUGCAGGCUACGCGUUACUGAACCCGAGCGAUCGAUCGAUGGCUGUUAAUUGAACCCGAUCGAGCGAUUCCUUCGCUACUGCUGCGAACUGAAGCCGANNNNNNNNNNNNNNNNNNNNNNNNNNNNNNNNNNNNNNNNNNNNNNNNNNNNNNNNNNNNNNNNNNNNNNNNNNNNNNNNNNNNNNNNNNNNNNNNNNNNNNNNNNNNNNNNNNNNNNNNNNNNNNNNNNNNNNNNNNNNNNNNNNNNNNNNNNNNNNNNNNNNNNNNNNNNNNNNNNNNNNNNNNNNNNNNNNNNNNNNNNNNNNNNNNNNNNNNNNNNNNNNNNNNNNNNNNNNNNNNNNNNNNNNNNNNNNNNNNNNNNNNNNNNNNNNNNNNNNNNNNNNNNNNNNNNNNNNNNNNNNNNNNNNNNNNNNNNNNNNNNNNNNNNNNNNNNNNNNNNNNNNNNNNNNNNNNNNNNNNNNNNNNNNNNNNNNNNNNNNNNNNNNNNNNNNNNNNNNNNNNNNNNNNNNNNNNNNNNNNNNNNNNNNNNNNNNNNNNCGUUUCGACCGUAGGAGGUCCGUUUCGUCCGUUUUGCGGUACGCCACACCCCUCCCGAUCAACAGGACCCCCGUUUCGACCGUAGGAGGUCCGUUUCGUCCGUUUUGCGGUACGCCACACCCCUCCCGAUCAACAGGACCUCCGUUUCGACCGUAGGAGGUCCGUUUCCUCCGUUUUGCGGUAUGCCACCCCCCCGAUCAACAGGACCCCGUUCUGAACGUAGGAGGUCCGUUUCCUCCGUUGUGCGGUACNNNNNNNNNNNNNNNNNNNNNNNNNNNNNNNNNNNNNNNNNNNNNNNNNNNNNNNNNNNNNNNNNNNNNNNNNNNNNNNNNNNNNNNNNNNNNNNNNNNNNNNNNNNNNNNNNNNNNNNNNNNNNNNNNNNNNNNNNNNNNNNNNNNNNNNNNNNNNNNNNNNNNNNNNNNNNNNNNNNNNNNNNNNNNNNNNNNNNNNNNNNNNNNNNNNNNNNNNNNNNNNNNNNNNNNNNNNNNNNNNNNNNNNNNNNNNNNNNNNNNNNNNNNNNNNNCCCCCGUUUCGACCGUAGGAGGUCCGUUUCGUCCGUUUUGCGGUACGCCACACUCCUCCCGAUCAACAGGACCCCCGUUUCGACCGUAGGAGGUCCGUUUCCUCCGUUUUGCGGUACGCCACACCCCUCCCCAUGAACACGACGCAUUCCGUUGCCUCCCCAUGAACACGACGCAUUCCGUUGCCUCCCCAUGAACACGACGACGAUGCUGUUUCUCCGUUCCGACCCAGCCAUGUACACGAGCCCUGGCCGUAUGUAUGCGCGAGUAGGCGUUCGAGACCCCGCCCGUAUGUACACAUACGUGGCCGUAUUUUCUUUCUUGCACCCUGGCCGCUGUACGUACAUGUACAUGCAACGUGCGCGCCUCUACUACGACACGUACGCGCCUCUACCACGACACGUGCGCACCUCUACAUCCACCAGUAUAUAUGUACGUACACGUUCGCAACCAGAAUGACAAUGCUACGUACGCUUCGACCAGGUGGGUCCCGAUUGUCAGGCACUUCCUUGCCUGCGAAGAUGUAGCUGGUGGGUCCCAGCAGUCAGGGGGGCGAAUCGUUUUUUUGCCCGGACGCACUUCCUUGCGUGUGAAGAUGUAGCUGGUGGGUCCCAAUAGUCAGGGGCCAACGUUUUUUUCGCAAAAUACGGUGGCCCGUCAGGUGGGUCCCCGCUGUUAGGUGGAGGAAUAAUUAUUUUGCACGUAAUAAGGAGGCACUUCCUUGCUACGGCCGUGGACCCAGCUGUCAGCCUCUCCACGUACAGUCCACGUCCGAUGGAAGCCGUUCCUUGACCACGUUGACCACGCCGCGCCGAGAGCACCAGGGCGGUGGACGACGGGGAGGCCUAGGAAGGGGACGAGCGGAGCGGGGGAAGACGCGGCAGUGGAUGCCCACGCGUAGAGGAGUACGAGGGUUCACUGGUUCGCUACGGUGUGAGGCUGCCGUCGCCGCAGAAUAACAGGGGGUGUGGGUGAGUAGAGGGAUGGCCUGGCCAGCGGUGGGAGUAGUAGGGGCGGUGAGGCCUCCGCCGCAUCGCAGCUGGCCACGGGAGGCAGGAGCACGAGGCACGACCGGCGCUGGUUUGGGCGGCUGGAGCAAGAAGACCAGAGGUUGAAGAAGCACUACGGCCGUUGGAUGGACAUCGUACGGUCACUAGAGCUAGAAUCGUGCAUAUUGACUAAGUUGACAAAGCCCUCCGUCCCCGUCAACUUAGUAGGCCCACAAGUCAGCCUGCCACUAUACUGGGUCCCAUCUAACAGGGGGAGUAUUCAUUUUUUUGUGCGUAAUAAGGAGGCACUUCCUUGCGUGCGAAGAUAUAGCUGGUGUGUCCAAGCUGUCAGCGGCGGUAACGUUUUUUUCGCGAAAUACAGAGGCCCUUUCGGUGGGUUCCUGAUGUCAGGUGGAGGAAUCAUUAUUUUACGCGUAAUAAGGAGGCAUUUUCUUGCGUGCGGCCGUGGACCCAGCUGUCGGCCUCUCCACGUACAGUCCACUUCAGAUGCAUGUCGGUCGUUGACCACAUUGACCAGGCCGCGCCGAGAGCACCAGGGCGGUGGAUGACGGCGAGGCCUAGGAAGGGAAUAACACGGAGGCAAGGAAGACUCGGCAGUUGUUUCCCACACGGAGGGGAGUACGACUGUACGAGGGUUUACUGGUUCGUCUGCCGUCGCCGGAGAAUAACAGCAGGUGUGGGUGAGUAGAGGGAUGGCUAGGCCAGCGAUGGGAGUACGGUGGGGCGGUGAGGCCUGCGCGGCAGCAGAGCCGGCCGCGGGGAGGAGGGAGCAGGCAGUCCCGCCGGCGCUUGUUUGAGCGGCUGGAGCAGGAAGAGCAGAGAUUGAAGAAGCACGACGGCCGUUGGAUGGCCAUCCAACAGUCACUGCUUGUGCGUCAACCUUUUUUUUAGGAAAGCCUCAAAUCUGUGGAAAACAACAUACAACCCAUCUGCCAUUAUUUCUAAUAAUUUACAGCCCAUUUGCUAAUUAUUAAGGUUUUUUGGAGCCCAUAUUCUUUUUGUUAGCAUUAUAGCCCAUAUUGUGGCCACGGUUAAAAAAUUAUACGAAAUUUUGCAUAUUUCGGUGCGGUCCGAACUGUUUUUAAUCCCGAAAUUUCGACUCACAUUCAAACUGAUUUUAAAAAUAAAUGUAUAUCAAUAUAGAAUCCAACAAAUUCUCCACGCAUAAAAAUUAAUGUAAUUUAAAAUCUCGAAAUGCAAAAAAGAUAUUUGAAACUAAUUGCCGGUUUGAUGUGUUUUAAAAAUGUACAACCCAUUUCUCAUUACUGAUGGGCCAUUUUCUCGGCCAGCCGAAUGAAAGCUCUCCUCGUCUUGAAAGAUUUGCAGCCCAACUGGCCUGACAAAGCGACUUACUUGGCAAAUCACAAAAAAACUGGGCUGUGGCCGUGGACCUAGCUGUCAGCCUCUCCACGUACAGUACUCUUCCGAUGGAAGUCGUUCCUUGACCAUGUUGACCACGCCGCGCGGAGAGCACCACGGCGGUGGAUGACGACGAGGCCUAGGAAGGGGACGACGCGGAGCCGGGGAAGACGCGGCAGUGGAAGCCCGCGCGGAGAGGAGUACGAGGGUUCACUAGUUCGGCUGUGGUGUGAGGCUGCCGUCGCCGCAGGGCCUGGCCAGCGGUAGGAAUAGUAGGGGGCGGUGAGGCCUCCGCGGAAGCACAACCGGCCACGGGAGGCAGGAGCAUGCGGCACGAUCGGCGCUGCUUUGGGCGGCUGGAGCAAGAAGACCAGAGGUUGAAGAAGCACUACGGCUGUUGGAUGGACAUCGUACGGUCACUGGAGCUAGAAUCGUUCAUAUUGACUAAGUUGACAAAGCCCUUCGUCCCCGUCAACUUAGUAGGCCCACAAGUCAGCCUCCCACCAAGGUGGGUCCCAACUAGCCGGGGGAGUAUUCAUUUUUUUGUGCGUAAUAAGGAGGCACUUCCGGUGGGUCCGAGCUGACAGCGGGGGGAACAUUUUUUUCACGAAAUACGGUGGCCCGUCAGGUGGGUCCCAGCAGUCAGGGGGCAAACAUUUUUUUUGCAAAAUACAGUGGCCCGUCCAGUGGGUCCCUGCUGUUAGUUGGAGGAAUCAUUAUUUUCCGCGUAAUAAGGAGGCACUUACUUGCUGCGGCCGUGGACCCAGCUGAGACUCUCCACGUAUAGUAUACUUCCGAUGGAAGUCGUUCCUUGACCAUGUUGACCUCGCCGCGUUCCGUUGCAUGCAUGCGUCCAUGGGCGUGGUGCGUCCCCACUGUCAGCCUCUCACGUACAGUCAUCUUCCGAUGACUCUCGGUUGUUGACCACGUUGACCACACCGUGCCGAGCGCACCCAGACUGGAACGACCCGGAGAUGGGGAAGAUGGGGCAGUGGAGUCGCAUAUGGAGAGGAGUGGGAAACUUCACUGGUUCGGGUGCGCGGCAGCACAGCCGCGGUGCCGCCCACGGGAGACAGGAGCAAGAACAGAGGUUGAAGAAGGAGCACGGCUGUUGGAUUAACAUCCAACGGUCUAGCUGCUAGAAUCAUUUGUUGAUUAAGUUGACAAAGCCGUGCGUACACGUCCGCUUAGUAGGCCCACAAGUCAGUCACCAAAUCUGACGGGUCCCAGCUGUCAACGGGAUGAAUAUUUUUUUCGCAAAACAAGGAGGCACUUCCUUCCGUGCGAAGAUAUAGCCGAUGGGUCCCAGCUGUCAGGUGGAGAAAUAAUUUUUUUUGCAAAACAAGGAGGUCCCUCCUGUAGCUGGUUCGAAUCCAAACCUAGACUAUGACUAUAUAUGGUGCUAUGCUACUCUGCAAGUAAUGAAACUGACAUAUCCAAUGUUCGCUUCUCCUCUUCUCUACUUACUCUGCCUAGCAUCAGAAGCUCUGGCUGCAGCAACCAUGUCCGCUGGCUGCUCGUCCACCUGCUCUUCAGCAGGCAACAACCAGAUAUGCGCGAAGUCGGCACCCGUACCAUCGCCCGUGGGUCUCAUCACACCCCCGCUGGCACGCGCACCGCAGCUGAUUGCUCAUCGCAACCCGCUGCCGUUGGUGUGGUGCCACUGCUGCAAAUCACGCAGAGUCAUCCGUCGCGUCUCAACCACAAUCCGCAACCCUGGCCGAGUCUUCUACAAAUGCCCGAAUCAUGGGGUAAUAAUAUGUUUAAGUGUUGUUCUGCUGCUUUCAGUUGCUAAUUUUUUUAAUAGUUUGGUUGAUGAUCUUCCAAUUUGAUUCAUGCAGAAAAGGGAAGAUUCGUGUGAUUUGUAUUUCUGGGAAGUUGCUGAUGUGGGGGAAUGCAACUACGCUGAUUAUUUGGUUAGCCGAGGAAUCCCAAUACCAGCAGGUUGGGGUGUUGGACAAGUAACUGAAGGAACGGCAGAAGAGGAAGAUGCAGAGCAGAAAGUUAAAGAUGCAGUUCCUCUGAUAAUGGCCAAGCAAUAGCUGUUGAACGGCCUUGACAACAAUGAGGAGAUGAAAGAGCUUGUGAAGAUAAUGGGCAAAAUCGAUGUGCUCUGUAGGAUGAUUGUCUCUUUAUUUGCAGUGUAUGUAGCACUCGUGAUGUAUUCAGUGGCUACGACAUGAGCACUUUGCUGAAAGUAGUAAUGAAUGAAACCUAUGUAGCAGGCUGGGCGUAGUGUUGUGAACAUCUAAUGAUUUUUAUUAACGGAAAUCGGGGGUAUCCCCUUUUGCUCAUAUAAAUAAAUAAAUAGCAGAGGCCCUGUCGGGUCAGCUUUGUUCUCAUUCGAAGACGUCGAGCAAAUUGCAGUCCAACAGCAAACUAUGUCAUCAAAUUCAAGUUUCACAGCCAAAUAUGAGUACAACUAAACAACAAUGUCAUCAUGUUUUAGUGGUCAUACAAUCACCAAACACAAAUCAGCAUACAUAACAAGUGAUGUUCUCACAGCAAAAUACUAAACAACAUGUUCAUCAGGUUUCAGUUGUCAUAGCAAACACAAUUUCACAUAGUAGAUAAAAAACGUCUUCUGACAGGCAAAUACGACAAAAGCAAUGUAAUCAUCAUCCGCAGCAGCAGCGUCAACAUCUUCGCCAUGUGUAUCAGUCUGAAUCGUAAUUCCCCACGGUGUCAUCUUCUUCUUCGUCCUCAACGUCCUCGAACGUUGGCUUCUUCAUGAUCAACUGUUGUAUGUCCACAACACGACAGGCAAUCUUUUCGCCGGCGUCAUUGACGUGAUGGUUCUCAAAGACAUUAGGAACAUCUGUGUUAUCUUGUACAUCAGGAGCAGUGUAAGCAUCAUCUUGUUGUGCAACUUCAUUAAACGAAUUCCUCUGCUCAAACCUUUGCAAUACUCUCUAGUCAUCGCUACGUGCAAAUGUGUCUUCCAAGAAAAAUAUCUGUGUUGCUUGAUUUGCCAAAAUAAAAGGCUCGUUGGUCUGGUACGCCGCCUUGACAUUGAUGGAAUUGAAAUAAUCAUCAGCUCUCGGUUUUGCGAUCCUGGAAAACAGGUUAUACCAACGACAGCACAACAGAACCACACACCGAUGAUCCUCGAAACUGGAGAUAUACUGCAACUGAACAAUGUCUGUUAUGUUAGCAUACAUUUCAGUUGUCUCUUUGUCAUACGUAUCCGUGCUCAUGAUGGCACUAUUUUGUGUCUUCCUGCCUUCGUCUCAUGCAAGGGUGUUGUAGCGCACAUCUCCAACAACGUAAGAUUCAUAAUGUCUUACCCGAGUAUCAGGACCCAUUGCUAGUGAGUAAAGGGCAUCAUCAACUGCCUGCCCAUCCUCCCGCAUCUUCUUAACCUAUGGUUAGAAAAUAGACAAGCUGAUCAUCUUAUGUACUCAAUAUAUUAAAAAAACUGACAGUGCACUUCAAAAGCUUACAUGGUUCUUGAACCAUUUCGCAAAUCCUACCAUAACUAGUUUGUCAAUGUUUCUUGGAUUUUGCGGCAGUAACUCCUCUUUGUAGAUGCUACACAACAUAGUGAUUGCGUCAAACAUCUAAAUAUAUAAGAAUGUGCUGCAAGUUUAGUAGAUUAUGAUGUAUAAGCUGCAGUACUGCACUUACUUGAUAUAAGGUAGUAUCUCAGGACAGUUAUUCAACACAUACCAAACCAUUUUUUCCAAAUCUUUAGGUUUGUCCUCUUGUCGACUCUUCCCUGUAACUCGAACAGAAUAAUCGAAAACAUUGAGCCCGGGAUUGUCUUCACCCACCUCUUUGCUAAGCUGAUCAGCUGUUUCAAUGUAUUUUGAGCAGAAUGUCAACGCUUAUGUAGCAAUGUAGGCCUCUGCAAUGGAACCCUCGGGUCUAGCUCUGUUCCUAACAUAGCCCUUGAAAGUGCCUAGCCGCCUUUCAAUAGGGUACAUCCAGCCAUACUGUACUGGACCUCUAAGUAGUGCCUCAUCAGGUAGAUGAACAGCCAAAUGCACCAUCACAUCAAAGAAGGCUGGAGGAUAUAUCUUCUCAAGGUCGCAUAGGAUAGUUGGUAUCUUGUCUCUAAGACGCUCCAAGCUUCUAUCCUGAUAUUCCUACUGCGGAGUUCCCUGAAGAAUUGUCCCAACUCUGCAACUGCUCUGUAUAAGUCAGGACGGCCCAAUCCUCUAAGGAUAACAGGUAAAACCCUUUGAAGUAGGACGUGGCAGUCAUGAGUUUUCAACCCUUGUACCCUGUUUCCAUCUGCACCGACUCUCCUUUCAGGGUUGGAAGCAAAUCCAUGUGGGAAUCUCACACGUGACAGGACCUCGCAGAAUUCUUUUCUUUUUACCUUGUCCAAGACAUACACAGCUGGUGCCAUAUCCCGUGGUUUACCUUCAUCUUGCACCUGCAAAUCCUUUCUGAUACCCAGGUGUGUCAAAUCAAUCCUAGAUUUUAAGGUAUCUUUCGUCUUGCCUUCAAUAUUAAGAAGUGUGCCGAUAAUGCUGUCACAUAUAUUUUUCUCGAUGUGCAUCACAUCAAGAUUAUGCCGCAGAUCCAAAUCUUUCCAAUACUCCAAGUCCCACAAAGUGGACCUGCGGGUAAACAAUAAUCUCUCUUCUACCCUGGCACGCUUCCUUUUCCCGCUACCAUUACCAGGAUGGUUUCCUGGUGUAAUAUGCCUGACCUUCUCUAAUUCCACUUGCAACUCAUCGGCGGUGAGCCUCUUUGGCGCAUCACGGUUUUCAUGCUUUGCAUUGAACACAUGUCUUCGGUAUUUUCUAGGAUGCGGCUUGUCCUUGGCAAGGAAACGGCGGUGUCCAAUGUAACAGAUCUUGCUAAGUAUUGCGUAUGAUAGCGGAUUCCUAUCACAGCGAACACAUGCAUUGUAACCAUGUGUCGUUCGCCCUGACAUAGUGCCCAAAGCCGGAUAAUCAUGAAUGCACCAAAUUAUAACAGCGCGCAGAAAGAAAUCAGCUGGUGGGCUGCUAUAUAGGUCUCGAGUGAGAACACCCUUCCAUAGCUGUUGAAGUUCCUCCACAAGAGGCUCCAUGAACAAAUCAAAAUCCUUUCCAGGACUUUUUGGACCUGGGAUGAGCAAGGCCAUCAUGUAGUUUGAUUCUUUGGUGCAGACAUUUGGAGGCAUGUUGUAAGCAAUAACAAGCACUGGCCACAUGCUAUAUGUGGCGCUCUGGUGGCCAAAUGGGUUAAAUCCAUCUGAAGCUAAGCCAAGUCUAAUGUGUCCCAGGUCAGCAACAAACUCUUUGUGUUUAUCAUUGAAGCUUUUCCACUCACUACCAUGAGAUGGAUGGCUCAUUACAUUCUGAUCUUUGUACUCCUGGUUCCUAGAAUGCCACAGUACACCCUCUCUUGUUUCAGCAUCAUGAAACAACCUCUGCAAUCUUGGUAUAAUUGGAAAAUGUCUCAGAACAUUAUGAGGAAUCCUCUUCACAGCAUCGCCAUCUUUCCAUCUUGAUGAUUUGCAUUUCGGGCAUUCACUUAAGUUGGCAUAAUCCUUCCGGAAUAGAACACAAUUAUUCUUACAAACAUGGAUCAUAUCAUAUCCAAUUCCAACUGCACGAAGGAAAUUCUUCAUUUUACUGUAGGUGUGUGGCAGCUCAGACGCAUCUGGGAAAGAUUCGCGGAAAGCAGCCAACAUCGCAUCGAAUGAUUUGUUGGUCAUCCGCUCAGAUGUAUUCACCUGAAGAAAGGUGACCAUAGCUGAGAAUACUGACAGCUUAUUUCCUGGGGUGACAGCAACGUUGCAUUGUUCCAACAUGCGGGCCCACCGUUUUUCUUCUGCAGGUGAAAGUUCACGGAAUGCACGAGCAUUUCCUAGCAUUGUUUCAAUGUUGGUCAAACUCACUGGCUCCGCCACCACCACCACCUCCUCCUCUUCCACCUGAGCAUCAGGCAGAUCAAGAUGGUGAUCUGCUGCUUCCACGUAGCCAAUAACAUUGACGUUCACAGCUUCACCAUGAUGAACCCACCUAGUAUAUGUGACCGACAUCCCAUACAAGUGUAGAUGAUUUUGCACAGUUGACUGGGGUCUUGUAACUGAAUUCAUACAACUGCUACACGGGCAGAGCACAUCUGAUUUUGGACCACCGUACUCAGCUCUGAUAAAGUUCAUGAAGUUUUCAACCCCCUCGACAUAUGCAGUGGAGAAUCUUCAAGCAGAAGUUAUCCAAGCCCUGUCCAUCUGUUAGACAUACAAAUUAGUUUUUCUACUAGAUAUUACAGGAAACACAUAUAUGCUUUUUUAUGAAGUCCAGAAAAAAAAAUACCUAGGUCGAUGUCUAAAGCUAUGGUAAGAUAUUUGGACGAGCAGAUCUAAGUAACGAAAUAUAUGUAAAGCUAAUUCAGCAAACAGAUUUGAGUGCCAAAUUAUGGCAGGCUGUUCAGCAGUCAAUGAGGCCGAGCACACAGUCAUCGAACUAUCGAAGGCCAUCGCAACAACAAAGAUCGAGUAUAAAACGGUGUAGAGCUAUUUCACCUAACAGAUUGGCUACUAGACCAUGGCAAUCUACGUCACAAUAAAUAUAUGGCAGGAUAUUUUAGCAACUAAUCGGCCUUGGCAUGCCAUCUCAGCUAAGCAGAUUGAGUGCAGAACAUGGCAAGGAAGCUUCUUAAGCAGAGCAUAUUGACAGUAAACUACUUCGGCAAAUAGUGAGAUUAACAGCGUCUAUCAGCUAACAUUCAGCGCUACACCGACAUGAACGGGGCCUCAGUCUAGAAUGCGCGUACCGUGGGAGAAGCCGACCGCCGUGCGUCUCGACACGAACAUCGCCAGCGGUGGCGGCGCUGACCGCCGUGCGCCUCCACAAGAACGUAGCCAGAGGUGGCGGCGCGGCUAGUGGACGGCAGUCUACGAGAGCGUACUAGGGAGCGAGAGGAUCGCCGAACCGCGGCGCCGACGUAUUGGCACGGCGGGGAGGGCGGCUUUGGCGGAGCGAAUGGAGUGGAGGGGGACAAGGGGGGAGGGUGGUUUGGGGAAUAUUAUUGGCUAGUUGGCCGAAGGGCGGUUGAAUCGGAUUUGGGGGGAAUUUUUGGGUGUGUGGGGGGGGGGAGGAGUUUCGCGCGGUGGGCGGGGGGAGUUUGGCGCAUGGUCGGUUUCUCCAAGUGCAGUCUCACGUGUCAGUGAAGAGGCAAGCCGAAGCGCGUUCCGUUUGCGUGAGCCGUGUGCAGGACCGAACGUGUGUGGGGAGCAAUGCGACCGCGACAGGAGUGCUGUGAGUGUACCGCCUUUUUUCCUUUUAAACUAGGUGCUUCGCCCCCUCAAUUUUUUUUUGUUGCUUCGCGCGAUCCAUCGAUACUACUACUAGUAAUCCGGUAAUCCCGACUAAAACUGCGCGGCCGGGUCUUUUCCCGUGCGAUAUGCUGGGAGGUUGGCUUAGUUGGGGUUUUUAGGACGAGUAACACUACACCUACGUAAUCCCAGUUACGUAAUUAACGUAAUGUGAAACGUGUGAGAUGUUGAUUGUAGAUUGGGGGGAGGGAGGGGCCCACCACCAUGAAAAUCAGGGGAGGAGAGAGAGAGAGAGGCAAUUUACGUUAACCCUUUCGUAGGUUCCCGUAGAUGUAGAAAGAUGUGAAAUGCGUGAAUGUGUAGUGGACGUACUAUUGGAGUGCCUAAGAUAAUUUGUGUAUGUAUAGACCCUAUGUGUUUAUUUUACUUCGCAUGUUAGAUUUGUCUCGGUUCAAUAAAAAGCAGAGUUGGUGAUGAUGGUGUGCCUGUCAUCCUGCAAUAUAGGCCGUCCGAUCUAUAUCUAACGGAUAGGAAGGAAACUAUGACAAUUUACCCGCACUCCUCUCCACAUUUGCAGAUAAGGCGUUCCCUCGUUCAUCCUUUUCUCCCACAAGAUCUUGAUCUUCCGUGCAACGCACGGGCAUCUUGCUAGUACUCCUACAAUAUGUAUAUUAUUGUGAAAGUUCAUAUACACCGGCCGAGAUUAAUGCAAACACGGUAGAUUUUCAUUACAUUUCGAACUUUUAUAGGACAGAAAAAUAAAAGAAACCCGACCCUAAACCUAUUCUACGGCGGCGACCGACGUCCUCCAUCUGCGAUCUCUAUGUAUGGGGGCGGGGUUCAAGACCCGUGAAGUGAAGGUGCGGUCUCCGGAGAGGAAGAGUAGAACACGGGAUACGGACCAGCCAGUUGGCACACCAUGCCCUGCCGCCUCCCAUGCCCUACUCAUCCUCGGAGGAGUCCCCGACCUCGGCGGUGCCGGACGUUGGACGGCGGCAAGUAGGACGCGUGGCUGACGGUGCUCCCGUCGUCGGCCGCCAGCGUGGCCACCGCUUGUGCGGUCGCGUCCGCGUCCGGCUACGCCGCUAUUGCGUCGCGAGAGGCGACUUGAGCGAGGGCGGCGACCUCGAGCUUCAUCCCGAAGACAAGCUCUCCCGCAGAGCGUUCGCACUUGCGGUCAUGGCGGAUGUGGUGCCAGGUAGGAGGACGAUGUGCUAUGGUGUGGAGGUUAGCUGGGCGUUGCCGCUUUAAGUAGCGCAUUCUGGUGAGGCCAAGUGUCCGGGUGCGUCAUUAAGUCACCGGAGUUGGUUCCUCGGGCACCGAGCCUCUUAACGACGACAUACGAACGGACGUCAUGAAUGCGGGCAGCUGGCGCCGGCUGGGAACGCACCACGCGACGUCGCGAGGGACGAGGGUUUUGGUGUGCCAGGGUAGUCAGCUGCGGUCGUGGCAACGUUGGAGAUGCCCUUUGCUCACAUGCGAUCCCCGCAUGUCAUUGAAAAAGCAAGACGACCCGGCAUGGUCUCAGGUCCAGAGGAUACAGUUGGCCGCGCUACACCACUCCGCGGACGCGUCGCGGCGCCCCGUGCAUCCUCGACGAGCCGGGUGUUGGGGUGUGUUUGGAUUGUGGCCAAAGUGCACCUUACCAAAAUUUUGGUCAUGACCCAAAGAUUGGUCUUUGUUUGGAUGGUUGCCAUUUUUUUGGCAUGCCAAUGAACUCUAGCCAACUAUAGUUCAUUUUUCUUGCCAAUGUCGGCCAAAUCAUGGGCAACCAAUACCUCAACCAAAAUUUUGGUCAUGACCCAAAGAUUGGUCUUUGUUUGGAUGGUUGCCAUUUCUUUGGCAUGCCAAUGAACUCUAGCCAACUCUAGUUCAUUUUUCUUGCCAAUGUCGGCUAAAUCAUGGGCAACCAAUACCUCAACCAAAAUUUUGGCUACCCAAUGCUUUGAUGGGGCAACCUUGGGCACAAACCAAACAUACUGUUGGUCGUGCCACAGCACUAACGCCACCCUUGGCACACUGAAACCGACCGUGUCUUGCGACGAUAUGAGCGUGUCGCUCACCGCGGUCGCCGUGUCCAGAGGCGGUGCUGGAGCUGCACCCCAUUGUUGGCCCCAACGACCCACAUGAACGGUUGUCGAUGGCGAGGAGGUCGUGGGCCAGCUCCUCCAUUGGACUAGUCUGCGCUACGUCGUCCCGACGGGUGUGCCCCACAUGUCGGUUUCCCUGUUUUCCCGGCCAUAUUCGAGCGUCAGUGCUCCGCGUUGCGCAUUAGGCCUUUCACUAUGUAGGCCAAGCGAGACAACUUAUUGUUUAUUUGAGCCAUUCAAGUAUAAUCAUGUGGCGUUUGCUUAUUUCUCAUUCCUCUCCGACCCUCUUCUCCAUCGAUCAUGUCGCCCUCCAGUCGAGUCCAUCCUCCCGCAUGCCUCAUUUGAACGUUCCGCCGAGUAUCAUUCGCAUGUACCCACCCUAGUCCUCUUUCAAUAGAUGUCCAGACCCCGAGAUGAAAUCGAGAGGGAACGAGUGGGGGCACGUGAUACCUAAGGCGGAUUCAAAAUUUUGAACCGGUGAUCAUAGCAUCCGCAAAUCAUAUAUAAAGGGUAUUCAAUGGUCGUUUCAUUUUUGAACGUACAAUAUACUCCCCCUAUCCUUUCUAGUUUACAUAUAAGUUUUAUGUGUAGUCAAAGUAUCUCUACUUUGAUAAAAAAGGUAUCAACAUUCAACAACGCCCAAUCAAUAUUGUUAGAUUCGUACGUACUCCUAGAUUUGUACUCGAGAUGGUUUCCAAUUUGACUAUUGACAAGAUUAAUAGUACAUGAGAUGUAUAAUGUGAAAAUUAUAUCAUUGGAAACUCCUUUCACAUACGAAUUUGACCGUAUGCUUUGUGUAAGUUGCAUGUCAUAUAUUACUCUAACAUUUGGUCAAAGUUAGCCUCGAAAAACGCAUUAGACCCUGUAUGCUUUGUGUAAGUUGCAUGUCAUAUAUUAUUACUCUAACAUUUGUGUAAGUUGCAUGUCAUAUAUUGUUACUCUAACAUUUGGUCAAAGUAGUAUAGUGGAAGUGGAUCCUCUGACGUAGGUAUCCCUGCCUUACCCUCCCUUUCGGUCACUUACUGGCGGACCCCAUGCUUGCUAGGCCCCGCAUGUCAGUUACUCAAUGGGUUCGGCCACGUUAGGGGAUCCUCAUCCGUAGUAUACUCCCUCUGUUUUUAUUUACUCCGCAUAAAACGGAGGGAGUGGUGGUAUAAUAAAUGACGCGGGCGGGGGAGGGGGAGGGACGUCGGUUUGCUCUCAACUGCGGUCCCACAAGCGAGCGAAAACGCAAGAUGAAGCGCGUUCCAUUCAGUGAGCGACGUGGAGGGUCCAGCGUGCCGGGCUGCAACGCGAACGCGACAAGAGCAAUGUACAGUCAAAACCGAUUGACCGGUCGUCACCGGAACCACUAUUCACACCAGAACCUUCGCUGCUCGGCCUACGCCAGCAACUGCCCUAAAACAACACCAAAUCUCCAGCCCAUUCCCCCACCUUUCGAUCCCCUAGCCCGCAUCAAGCGCCCCCUAGUUCACCGGAAAGCCAUGGUGCGCCGCAAGAUCACUUACUACAAGAUGCUGACGCCGGAGCGCCGCGCAGAAAUCGCGGUGGCGGUCGGCGCCACAGACCUCCGUUCCCAAGCUCGCUUUGCGGCGGGCCAAUCCCCGAGUUCUCUGGAGCCAAGCUACGAGGAGGAGGAAGCCGAUCCAAUGUUCAUGGCGGAGGUCGCGGCGCAGAAGGCCCCCGAUGGGUAUGAGACGAUGGACGUCGACUUCGUGCCGGCGUCCGAGUCCCCCAUGGUGCAGGCGGACCAGCGGUUCAACAUGGCGAUACUAAAGGAGGACCGGGAGGCAGAGGCUCAACUCGACGCGGAGCACGCGCAUGCCGCUGCCAUCGAGGCUCUCCUGCAGGCGGAACCGGAUGUCGUGGAUGUGAACCGGGCGGCGGAGGCUCAACUUGAGGCGGAGCGCGCAGAUGCCGCUGCCAUCGAGGCCCUCCUGCAGGCGGAACCGGACGUCCUGGACUUGAACCGGGCCACAGAGGCUCGACUCGACGCAGAGCGCGCGGAUGCCGCUCUCAUCGACGCCCUCCUAUAGGCGGAACCGGACGUCCUGGACUUGAACCGGGCGGCGGAGGCUCGACUCGACGCGGAGCGCGCGGAUGCCGCUGCCAUCGAGGCCUUCCCGCAGGCGGAACCGGACGUCCUCGACUUGAACCGGGCUGUGCUCUCGUCCGUGCAGAGCGCCCGCACGCUCCGCUUGAACGAGUAGCUGGAGGCCGAGGACAACCACGGUGCGAAGACACACGUCGGCAGCGACGGCUGGUUCGCGCCGGCAGCCAAAGACGACGAGGCCGUCUCUUUCCGCAAGCAGUGAUAGUUUUUCUUUAUGUUGUUGUUUUUAUGGAUCUUUUGCUGUGUAAAAACAUAUAUUUGUUAUGUAAGUCGCCUGACUUGGGUCAGUCUACCAUUUCAGGCGGUUGGAUGAAUAUCCUACGUCUCCUAACCCUUCUUUCCUUCUUCCUCACCUCUUCUUCUUCCCCAACAGACCACCGCACGGGCCGUACGGAUACUCCCCAACAUGCGGUUGGAUAAACAUACUCUAUGAACGAAAAUUAUGUGUCAGCGAUAGGAUGGCUGAGUUUGGUUUGUUCACAUGCGACAGCACAUGUCAGUGAGGGUGCGUUCCCUUGGCUGGGUUUGCGGCGUGCAGGAGCGACUGUGGAGGGUGCGGUGCGACCGCGGAGUGCAGGAGCGACCGUGUGAGGGUGCGGUGCGACCGCGAUAGCCGUGCGCAAGUGUACCUCCUUCUCAUUUUGAAAACUUUAGGCAAGCUUGGCAAAAAUGUGUGGCGAAGUUUGGCAAUGCAAGGCCUAGACCCAAACAGGAUAAGUACGUACGUACUAGGAGUACUAGUGUUAAAAAAGAAAGGCGGGGUUUUCCUUCGCGGGAUUUAAUCGAUUCAAAUCCUCGUUUCACGUGUAAAUUAAUGCGUAUUUUUUCCUCCAAAGACCAAAGAGCUAACCAUCUCACUCCUCAUCGCUUGAUUAAUGCAGCGCCAUGCAAACCAACCUUCUCACUUCCGCAUGCAUGCAGGGGAUAUUAAUGUCCUUGGUUGCUAACCCCAUCAAUUUUGCCUCGAUUAGUGUUAGUGGCCCUUUCCAAAUUGUAAUUUUGAUAUACUGACCUUGUGGACAAAAAAAUGGAGGUAGUAACUAUAUUUGACUUCCUUCCCCAUUGCGGUGACAUCGACGAUAUCUUUUUUUGGUGGUUUGGCGAAGUGCGUUCGAUGGAGAACACCAUUGAGGGAGACCAUGGUAAGUCGUUCGCAAGUGCCGCCUGCAAGCUGAGACAACCGCCUUAUUUGCAUCCAGGAAGUCCUUUACUAGUACUACUAGGAGUACUAGUGUGGUGAGAUGGUUUCUCGAAGAAGACGAUGGAGAAGCGGAGUCAUCGAAGAGUGAAAUGAUGGUUGCUUCGUCCGUGCUUUUGUGAUUUGACACCUCACUGCUUUGUGAUUUGUGAUAGAAGGGACGGGGGAGUAGACUCUGUGCUCUAUACUGUACUACAUGCGUCCAAGCAUGGGAGAAAGAGGAGAGACGUUGCAUUUUUCUAUAGCUUCAAUCAAUCAAUCAGGGAGCUUCGGUUCCAUCUUUUUGGCUUUGGCAACACCGUCCACAAUGGUUCCCACGAUGCCAAAAGCUAUUUUCACAUUUGGCUACACAUUGUGGAUGCCCUUAACCGUACCACUUGGUUUUGCUCCUGUGUGCUAUCUGUACAAAUCUCAAUUAUAUUGAUCUAAAAAUUAUAGAAUCAAGAUUAGUAAAAAGGAGGUGAUUUUGCCACGCGGAUGGCGGGGGAGGUUUCUACUUUGAGCAAUGCUACAUCCACGUAAUGGUUUACGUAAAGUUACGAACUGAUAUGAUGUGGGACUAUUUGAUUGGAUUAAAGGAGAGGAUUAGGCCCACCCCACCUGAAAAUCAGGGGGGCAUAUAUAGAUUAGAUGGAAAGUAUACGUAGCAGCUACGUAGCCCUUUGUAAGUCUAGGAUUAGGCUUCUUAUUUUCGGAGGACGUUGUCCUGGCGGUUUGCUAACAUGCGGUCCCACGUGUCAGUGCUUUACCAAGCCGAUCCGCGUCCCACAUGAGGCAGAACAACGGCAGAAGCAACACGUGGUUAAGUUGAAGAAGAUGAGGGAGAAGCGGAGUCAGCAACGAGUGAAAUGAUGGUUGCUUCGUCCCUCCAACUUAACUGCGGGAAAGGUGCAGCUUGUGAUUUGAUGCCUCAUUGCUCAUUACUACGCCGGCGCCAUGACUGGGGUGCUUCACCCCGGCUGCUCUGCACUGUAUUCCGGUAUGGCACGUGGACCCGGUAGCUUGAUGUCCCACAUGUCGGCGAAAGGGACUAGAAGAUUUAUGAAAGCGAGCGCUCCACUCUUACGACGGAGGAGUAGACGACACGACGGCCCAGUGAACUGUCACUUGUAGUACUGUAUAGUACUAUAGUUUUGCUGUUUCGCACGAUCCAUCGAUACAAACCCGAUUAAACAGGAAAGGGCGGGAUUUUUCCCGCGCGGUAGAUGAUACUGGCCAUACAUUUCAAAGGCAAUUUUAAUGUAUGCAAACUGAAUAAUUAUAAGUAACAAUAUGAUAUCUAGUAAAACUAAAAACACAUAUGAUUUAUUGUGUUAGAGUGUAGUAGUAGUGCUGUAUUGCAUAGUUGUUAGAUGUAACAUGCGAGAAGGUGUAGAGAUGUAGUUUUGGAGGGCCUAUAGAGAGAAAAGCGUAAUACGGUCACCGAACUUCAGAAUAAGCUGAUUACGGUCACUAUAUACGUUUUGCGGUGAUUAUACGGUCACUUGCUCACAGUUCAGCAUCGGAUUGCAUUCUGUUGACCGGCCAAAUAGUCUGCGUGGCGCCAUGUUGACUAGUUAAAUUGACCACGUUCCUUGUGGGUCCCACCUGUCAGUUCGCAUAGGCAAAAGGUCAGAUAAACACAAAUUUACGCAGGCGCGACAAGGCUCCAACCCGUGCGCGGGAAUCACCUGGUUGUGUAUGUGUCUGUCAGGGCCUGAUGUGUGCGCAUGCACAUGUAGGUUGAGCACUUGAGCGUGAGAGUGUGUGUUGGUCGUGUGGUGUACUGGUGUGUGCAUGCAUGCGUGCGUGUGUGCGUGUGAGUGUUUCGUGCGUGCGUGUGAGUGUUGCGUGCGUGCGUGGCUGCAUGUGUACGUGUGAGUGUUGCGUGCGUGCGUGGGUGCAUGUGUUUGUGUGAGUGUUGCGUGGAUGCAGUUCGUGUGCAUGCGUGCGUGUGUGUAUAAUCACCACACCAGCUCCUGUGUGUUACAACCGACGGCUCAGCAUACCAAUACAAGGCCACCUUGUCCGCUGUGCCCGCGGUCAUGACUUCGAACCACCGUCCAAAUAUUUUUUAGUCGUUUGUUUUCAUUCUUACUAGCAAGAUGCCCGUGCGUUGCACGUAACAUCAAGAUGCAUUUGUAUGACUUGUUUAUCUUGUGAGAGAAAAGGAUGAACGAGGGAAGGCCUUAUUUGCAAAUGUGGAGAGGUGUGUGGGUACCUUUUUGCAAAAUUGCCAUAGUUUCUUUCCUAUCCGUCAGAUAUAAAUCGAACGGCCUAUAUUGCAGGAUGGCAGGCACACCAUCAUCACCAACUUUGUUUUUCAUAAGAGUGUAUUUUAUGUAUUUUAUAAGAGUGUAGAUGUAGAGUAGAUACAAGUCGACAGGUGGGCACGAUGGUAGUGAGAUAAUGUGAUGCAACACUAGAGGUGCCACGUGGAGCGUUUAACUGGUCAACUAGUCAUGUCAUGAGCAAAUACAGAGUUGUACCGUGAGCCCGUGACUGUAUAAUAACCACUAAACGUAAAUGGUGACCGUAAUGAGUGGAUUCUGAAGUCCAAUGUAUGUAUCGUGCUUUCGCUUCAAAUACAAUGAUCGUCAUUGCAUAUAUCGCGAGAGAAAGAUGAAACAUGCGUGAAUUUUCUAGGGGCUUACUUUUAGAGGACCUGGAGAUAGUUUUGUGUGCAUACGUGAAAGGGGCGUACAGGGGGGGUAUGCGAUGAAGAGAGAGAUGCUCUUCGUUUCUCUUUAUUAUGACUAACUUUGUAUAUAGUAUAAAAAUAUACAAAUUCACAGUGCGGAAUAAAUAUCAUUGUGGGCACCAUGCAAUGCAAAUUAGCGUUCGUACUCCUCCAUAUAACUUUGUAAUGUUGUAUAUAUGUAGAAACUCUAAAAUAAUUUUUUGGCCACACUUUAUUUAAAAGGAAUGUUGUAUGCGAAAGAAACGUGAAGAGAGGGCUUUUUAGAUCAAUGGGGCACGUGAUGUAACACGUGUGAAUGUGUAGUUGAUGCAUUUGGCGGGGCCUAGAGAGGUAUGUGUGUGUAUUACGUAUUCGAGAGAGGCAUGGAUAGAGGGNNNNNNNNNNNNNNNNNNNNNNNNNNNNNNNNNNNNNNNNNNNNNNNNNNNNNNNNNNNNNNNNNNNNNNNNNNNNNNNNNNNNNNNNNNNNNNNNNNNNNNNNNNNNNNNNNNNNNNNNNNNNNNNNNNNNNNNNNNNNNNNNNNNNNNNNNNNNNNNNNNNNNNNNNNNNNNNNNNGGGGGGGCGUGGGAGAGAUAGCACGAGAAAUGAGAGUCGUCUAGAGAGAGAGAGAGACGAAUAUGACGUCACGACAAGAGAUUCCAUUCCCUUGAGUGUGUAUAUGCAAGGGGGAGGGAAUAGAGGCACCAGGAGAAAUUUUCUGUGUGUGUGGUGUUUGUGUUGGUAUGUGUGGGUGUGAGAAGAUAAUGAGACGUGGGGGCAGAGGGUGUGUCACCGCGUGAGGUCCGGUGGGUCGAGGUGAGGCCCUUCGUUCGGUUCCAACCUACGCCACAUUGGUCGGCCCGUGACGCAUUUAGGAAGACCCAUGGAUGACUAGUCGUACAAGACAAAGAUAGCAGAAUUGUGAAGGACUCUAUGUCCACUGACAAAGCCGGCUAGGAUUUGUAACCCUAGGUUCUCGGACUAAGGUAACCCCUUUAUCUCUGAUAUUACUAUUCAUCCAACCUAACUUUAAGGGGCAUCCUACAGAAUGCUCUGCUAGAAUCAUACUCGUCGAUUAGGAAGAGAGGUGUGAGACAAUGCGUGAGAGACAGGCGUAAAGAUAAUGUGCGUACAUGAGACACGUAGGCAGGUCCAUGUAUAUAGAAAGGGUCGAUGAGGAUUGUGCGUGUGUAUGUUUGCGAGAGGAAGAGUGCUUGUGAUAAAGGUUAGUGAAAACCGUUGUAAAUGGUUACGAGAGGGAGGGAGGGUUAUAUCUAGAGCAUGUGUGCGAGAAAGACACCUCGGGAGAGAGUGUGUGAGCAUGUGUGAGAGACCACCGAUGGAGAGUGAAACUACACGUAAAAGACUGCUCUACACAUUGAUUAAAGAUAUAAAUUGUAUCCAAAUAUUAGGAUGGGAUCAUGAUAUUUGCAAUUCGCGUAAGGAGCGGUCAUUGAUCCAUCAGACAUCUAGAUUCUAUCGAAUUUGAGCAUGUCUAUGUUAUUAUUCGACACAAUUGAUCCACAUAGUUAGUAUUUUGAACUCCAGACAAUGCAUCGCUUUAGCAAUCGAAUAUAAACGUGAGUAUAGUUCAUGUUGUGUGUGUAAAGCACAUUAUACAUACGAAAGUUACACAAUGGACAUUAUAAAUAGCUACCUAUGAACUAGCAUACAUUUGAAUUCAACUUAAGGUGGUUUAAAAAAAUCGAAUUCAACAUGAAGUCCAUUCAAUUAUUUGAAUUUGAUAUCAUGGCAUUUGUAAACCAUACCUAAAUUAUGGGGGCACCAAUCUUUGCUCUGAUUUUGUACAUAAUAGCAUAUGUAGUCGUGUACAAAAUAGAUUCAAAUUUAGCUCCUCCAUUCCAAAAUAAUCGUAGUUAUAGGAUUUUCAAGUGUCAAAAUUUCAAAAAGAAGCGGAUAAUUUAAUGAGGUUUUCAAACAUACAAGGUCAAAUAUAACGUUGUCUAUUUAGGUCAAUCCUCAUAGUUCAAGAGUACUCUAAACGUGAAUGCUUGUGUUUCAAAAUUUCGAACGAAGCGCCAAAAGAGCCUCUACUCGCCCGAAACCGCGUGAUACCAAUGUUUGGUAGUACAAGGAAAUUACUUUUCUAAUAACUCCGACCCGUGAAACCUAUCGGCCCGACAUCCAAAGGUCUAAACCGGGGUAGGUUUGUAGCUUCAUCUAGACGCCACACAACCGCAUCCGAAAAACAUUCAUACACAAUGGCCGCCUAAGCACACAUGCGCGUGGCCGAAAUCGCUCCCGCCCACUAUUUGGGACACCUGGGAUUACCAUCCUACCCCCGACCCGCAGUAGGUCCGAAAUUUAAGAGGGGGGCAAAGUUUGUACUUCCCCAAAUUUCAAACAAGCGCGUCCCAUCUUCUGUUCAAAAAAGCCAAAAACAAGCACGUCCCAGACCGAAACAUGGUUCCCCCCACCCGUCCGAUUCCCCAUUCGUACUCCGUGGGCGCCAAAACUACCUCUCCACCAGCCGUGAAACCCCGGCGUCCUCCGUCCGCCACCCCAUCCCACCCAUCAGCCGUCGCCCUCCUCCAUCACGCCGGAGCCGAUACCCCGACGUCGUCGUCCACCGCAAUCUCAACCGCAACACCCUCCACGGCUAGUAGUUGCAGCCGAGGCCGAGCCGUCCGUACCCGAGCCAGUUCAACCACGCCGUCCUGCGCCUCACCGCUGCUGCUCCAACUUCGCCACCCUCCACCGCACCGGAGUUGUUCCUGCUACGCCGUCCUUCGCCGCCUCGGAUCUGCUUCCCCUCCGCCGACAUACGGCCACGGCAACACAGUCAACAAUUUGGCCAUGGGUUCGUCCAAGCCUGCACCCUGCAGAACAUCGGUUUCCCCGGUAAAAGGAAGAAGAUCAGCGCGACAUGUGGAGGUGACCACACCGGCAACCGAAAAAGGUACUCCUCUUCCCUUAUUCGUGCAAAUCUUACGUCUCUGCUUGCACGGUAUUCAUCCCACAGAAGACACUAGUUGACCGCUUCUUCUUGAUACUAGAUGUUCCUAGUAACUCGCGAUGCACAAGGUUUCUCCUCAUAUACUAUUUCACCUUAGCUAGAGGUCCGUCGCCCCCCUGAAUUUGAAUUUCUGGCCAGUUGAUUCCCAAUUAACGGAAGCAUUCCCCGGCAUAACAGGCGCUAGUACGCCUAUUACGUCGGGGAAGCAGCGCCUUGGUGUUUAUCUUAGGGGCGUGUGCGGCCUAGAGCUACUGGCGCCCGAUCUGGAGGUCGACCGGGAUUAAAGGGAUGGCCUGGGGGCGCUGCCAAGCACGGCGGUGGUAUGAGGUCGAUGGGAGGGCGGGGCGGCGGAGGCAGGGGUCUGGGCCGGUGGUCGCUGGCGGUUUGAGAAAGGUCGUCAACAGUGACUGGUGGGAGGUAGACGAAGGCCAUCCCGUUCCUUAUAGAUCGGACGGUUCAUUAAAAAAAUCGACUGACCUAUUUAUUUUCAGUCGACCAUUAUCUUAGAUAUGACCACAUGUGGUGGUGUGCUGGAGGAGUACCUGCAUUUCCUAUGCUCAUAUAUUACAAAAUCAUAUGGAGUAGAAUCUAAUUUUGUUUGCCAUGCAAUGUUGUAGAGCUAUCAUAUGUCUCCUGUCAUUUAUUUUUCAGCCACCUGCUAUCUGCUACUUUUACAGUGCACUAGUUCUGUACACACUUCACCCUUACUCUCACUAUUGUGUUUUUAUGCAAGGGUAUUUCAGACUCUGCUGCCAUGAGAGAAGCCAAAAAUAAAAGAGAGAAGUCGCUCCAGCUUUGUGUGCGGUUAGGCAAGACACGUUACAACGCUAUAAAGGGUGCAGUGUCAGCAGAUGGAGACGGUAAACGUAGCUCUGGAGUUGAUGACCUCGCUCGCAAUGAACCACCAUCCCAGGUGCUUGCUUUAACUUCGCGGUGUCAUAUGUGGUUGCAUGUUCCAUAUGGUGUCUAGCUUGUAUUCGAAAGGCCGAAGUCGGUAAGAUAAGGAAAUAUAUUUUUUACAUGAACCACCAUCCCGUGAGCACCAGAAGACAAAUAGCUAGUCAGGGCACUGGCCGAGCCAGUGACAAGCCCAGCAAAGAUAGGCAUCACCUGGAAGCCAACUAAAAAGCUGCGAUGGUGGCGAAGCAGCCCGCCUCCCACCAGGCUCUCAGGUCCUAGAUGAUCAUGCUCACGACUCCAGCCGGAUGUCUAGCUUGUAUUGCUUCCAAUUUGGUUAAAUUGCAUCUGCUUAGCUUACACAUUAUACCUUUGAAUAUGACAUGCUUUUCUGUUUUUGGUACAUACUAGUACAUCUGUGUAUUAACCAUGUUCUUACAUCAAACUAAUGUUCUUGUGUAUCCCUCAUCAAUCACUUAUGACGAGGCAGGCAGGCAAGGGGACUACUCCUCAUUUAAAGAAUGCAGCGUCAGCCUCCCGACAUGAUUCUCAAGAAAAAGAAAUGCUAGAUGAAGAUAGUGAACGUAGCUCUGUAGUUGAUUACAGCAUUUCCCCUACACUAGCAUCGCAGGUGCUUGCUCUAACUUGGCAGCGUGAUAUGUGGUUGCAUGUUGCAUAUGGUGUCUAGAUUGUAAUUCUUCCAAUCUGGUUAAACUGCAUGUGCUAGUCUGCUUAGCUUAUACAUUAUACCUGUUAAUGUGACAUGCCUUCCUGUAUUUAGUACAUAGUACAUCUGUCUAUUAAGCAUGUCCUUACAUAAAACUAUUUUUUUGUAUCCCGCAUCAAUCAACAUGACGAGACACCUUUAGUAUAUGUAGUGCGAUAUUAGUUGCAUCUUUCAUAUGAUUUAUAGCAUGUGCUGCUUCUAAUUUGUUGAAAUUCCAUUUAUGAUGGGACGCUUUUAACUUGGCAGAGUCAUAUUGGUUGCAUCUUUCAUGUGGUGUCUAGCUUGCAUUGCUUCUUAUUUGCUGGAAUGGUUUCUGCUUAGUUUACACAAACAGUUGUGAACAUGCCAUGCCGUCCUGUUUUUCAUACAUAUUCCAUCCUGGUAUCAUGUGUUUGCCUUACAUCAAAGUAGUGAUUGUCAGUAUCAUGCAUGAAUGAGUUCUGAAGAGAGAAUUUUAUUGCUUUUUCUUGUCGGUUUUACUUGACAAUUCAAAAUCAAUAAAGCGGAAGGAGGUUAGCAAGGCAGCGGAUAAAGGUGCUCCUUCCGAACGGAGGGCCUCUACAGUUUCUACUCCUCCACACCCAAGAUGAUUUCCAAGACAACACAUGCAUAGACACUCAACAAAGCUGUGUUUAUGAUGAGCACGUGUCCCCUAGUGCAGCAUCACUGGUGCUCCCUCUAACUUGGCACUGUUAUAUGUGGUUGCAUGUUAUGUGUGAUGUCUAGCUUGUAUUGCUUCUAAUUUUGUUGAAUUCCAUUUGCUUACUUUACACAUUAUACUUGAAUAAGACAUGUGUUCUUGUUUCUAGAACAUACAAUAUCUGUCUAUCACACCAUGUUCUUACAUCAAAUUACUACUGUUGUGUAACCUGCAACAAUCACUUAUCAUAAGACACGUUUGACUUCGGAGUGUGAUAUAGGUUACAUCUCACAUUCUUUUCUAGCUUGUACUACUAAUUUUUUUAAAUGGCACUUAUGACGAGACAGUUUUAACUUGGUAGAGUGAUAUUCGUUGCAUCUUUCAUAUGGUGUCUAGCUUUCAUUGCUUCUAAUUUGUUGAAAUGCCUUCUCCUUAGUUUACACAUCAUAAGCUGUGAAUAUGCAAUGCUAUGAAUAUGCAAUGGCACUAAUGACGAGAGACCUCUAACAUGGUAGUGUGAUGUUGUUUGCAUCUUGCAUAUGAUUUAUUUCUUGUACUGCUUCACAUUUGUUUAAAUGCCAUUUAUGAUGAGACACUGUUAACUUGGCAGAGCAAUAUUUGUAGCAUCUUUCAUAUGGUGUAUACCUUCCAUUGCAUUGCUUCUAAUUUGGUGAAAUGUCUUCUUCUUAGUUUACACAUCAUAGUUCUGGUUAUCUGUUCCGUCCUGUUUUUCAUACAUAUUACAUCCUCCUAUCAUGUGGUUGUCUAACAUCAAAGUUCAGUUCGUCUGCAUCACGCAUCAAUUUGUUCUGAAGAACUAAAUUGUUAUUCAUUUUUCUUGUCGGCUUGACUUAACAUGGCACAGAGAAAGAGGAAGAAACACAGAAUGGCAGGGAAUGAGAAGCGGAUGAAUCCUGCAGAUUCUGCUGGUACUGAUGGUGCAAUAGAAGGUCAAAGUCUAGCGGAAAAUUCUACAAACACGGCAUCCCAUGCUACACGAGUUGCAAAAAAAGCCAAACAGAAACAAAUAGCUGCCACCAAACAAGCAGAGACAGCCCUAGUUCUUGCAACACCUACCACAGUACUACCAGCUGCACGACUUACUCGUGCGUCAACUGAGCUAGCAGCACAUUCCCAAGCUCCCUUGCCACCUGACACUACUUCCCAAGCACUCUUGAAACAAGACGAGUUGGCAAUAUCAGAUGAACCUUGUGAGCUUCAACAACAAGAAGGUAGUUGCUGGAGUCAAGUUACAGUUGCAUGCUUCUUUAUAUGUAGUCUCACAGUUUGAUGUACACUAACACUUCCUAUGUUCGUUGUUGGACUAGCACCUAGGCGCAAGAGGAAACAAACAUCAGGGAUAAUGCUCGAUAGGUUAACUAAAUCUAGAGAAGGAAGAAUGGAGAUCCAUUUUGAGGCAGGUUUAAAAAGGCCACGUGAUGCUACAGAGUCAGCCAAGUUAGUAUCAGAGGCAGCGGUUGCCGUUAGGUGUCAUGUACGUAUCCUCCCAACAUGGAUUCAGUACAGGAAUGACAAAGACGAAACCCAGUUCAACACCUUCCUUGACCAUUUAUCUGUAAGUAUGGUUAUGUAUGAAAACUAGUAAUAUCGUCUUGCUCUGUCCCAUACUUUCUAGGUUGCUGAUAAUGAGACUCCCAUAAUUUUCAACAGAUGAGGUUCAAGUUGGAUAGCCAAGAUGAUGCAACCAGACAAGCUUGCACCCAUGUUUUCAAGUCUGCUCUGCGGCAGUAUCAGUAUAACUUGAGGAAAACUCACUUUGAAGGCAAGGCUAACAGUGAACUUUCCCAAACAUCUCCAGUGGAAAAUAUAUCGGAUGAAGACUAGAGGGGCCUUGUUAAACACUGGUCUGAUCCGAAGUAUCAGGUACAUUAUAUAUAUCUGAUCAGAUCACAUGUUGAAGUCCUAUUUACGCAUGUGCCACACAAAUAUAUCUUCUUGUAGGUGAACUGUUCAAAGAACAAGGCCAACCGUACGAAAGUGAAAUUCCAACAUAUGACAGGAUCUCGUAGCUAUAUUGCACACUGCGAGGCUCUUGUAAUUAGCUGCUAUUUCACUCUUUUCGCCGUACCAUAUUAUCAGAUCUAUAUUGACUUGUUCGAAAUGCAGAGGAAAGCCCGCAAGGACCAAAAAGCACCUGAACCAAAUGCUGUGGAAAUCUUCAAGGACUGUCACACCAGCAAGAAGAAGGGCAUGACUACACCAGUCAAAGCCGCUGUUGUAAGUCCUUAAUCCUCAUGCCUUUUAACUACUACUUACUCUGACUUGUGCCUUGAACUGCAUGGUUUGCAGCCAAUGUCUAUUACUCUUUUCAAUUUUAUACACAAUUGUCUUAGCGUAUUAUUGCACCUUACAAGGUUUAAAAGAGAGGAGUGAUGUUCCUUUGAUCUUGACCCGUAAUCUAGUUCCGUGCUGGACUUGCCCACACAAUGUUACAAUUGCCUGUUUGUCUGUUCUCAGUUGUUUUGUGAUAUGAAUGAUGUCAUACUAUGCUUACCGUAUUAUAAACUUCGUCUCUUUAUCCUUAGCCCUCAAUACAACGUGAAGAAAUAGACAAUACAUUAGCGAUGGUACAUGGUCAUAUGUUUGGAACCUGGUUUUAUUAUGUACUUUGCAAUAAUAUACAACUAAUAUUUUACAUGGGUUCACCAGAAUAAGUUCGGUAUAUAGACCAAAGCUAUUUUGUUUGGUUUUGCUGCCUCCUUAAUAUCUUCUGUUCUGGUACUACUAAUGUAAAACCUCAACUUUUCAGCAAGCUAUGGAAAAAAUGUGGAACCGCCACCUUCUGAAGGUGGCGAGGCAACUAUAACCGCAAUGUUAGCUCUUGCUACAGUGGGUCAGUACCUGUCCACUAACAGUGCCAAAAGCACGUUCCUGCGUAAUACUGGGUUGGUUGUUAAGGCAAUAUCAUCCAAACUGCCUCAUGAUCAAGAUAUGCAAGCUCAAAGCAAUGUUGUAUCUGCGCUCCAGACACAACUCCAUUCCCUAACAGAGACCCUUUGUGAAACAAGGAGAAACAUUGCUCAAUGUCGUCAAGAUAUGCAUGGUUUUGAAUCCAGACUAUCAGACAUUUGCUAUGUUGUUCAGGAGCCUAGGGGAAAUGACUGAGGGUUAUGGUGCUCCAUCGGAUAAUACAGCAUGAAAACGUAACAGUCAGGUCAAAUGAACUAAGCUUCUGAACUUCUGGUGGUGCAUUUAUCUGCUAGACUGUUAAGUUUUAUGCCAACCUUCCUUUUGUUAUAUAGUUGUAAUUUGUUUUGGUGCGAUACAAAAUUUAUUCUUAACGUGCAGCCACCGGCUGAAGAAAACAUCAAGCCAUUUUUGUAUAGUGUAGGGUGUUCCCUAUAUUUGCACUGGUGGCGAUCUUUGAUGCCGAGUGGAUGUAAUAUGUGCAAUCGCCUUAAUAGCCUAGCGUUAGUUUCGGCCUUAUUUAUUUCCUAGUCUUCUUUUUCCCUGGUUUGCUAGUGGCCGCAACUACCAUGGGCCAUAUACGGGCCGUAGGAUCCAUGGGUCUCCUACGGGCCGUCGAUAAAUGGGCCUGUAAUCGGUGGGCCUCGGGCCAUCGGAUAAAUGGGUCUACAUGGGCCGUAAUCAGGCGUAAUUGGUAUCGGCCCAGCACGGUAACAGGCCGUAGGACAGCAAAGGCUUAAUCCUGUCACAGGCAUAACGGGUCAUUAAUGGGCCAGAAUAUAGGACGGGCUGGAAACGGCGCAACGGGUUAACAGGCCAGAAACAGGCCGACUCUUGCCAUGGGCCGAAUUUGGCCCAUUAGGGUAACAGGCUAGUAGCGGGCCGACUCUUGCCAUGGGCCGAAUUUGGCCCAUUAGGGGAACAUGCCAGUAACGGGCCGACUCUUGCCAUGGGCCGAAUUUGGCCCAUUAGGGGAACAGGCCAGUAACGGGCCGGAAGUAAUCGAGGGCCGAAAAGGAGCCCAAGAACGUAUGGGCCAUCAAUAGGCCGAAACCUAACACGGGCUGGAAACGGUCCAUGUAAAUCACGGGCCGUUAACGGGUAUAAAGAAAAUUACUGUUCAUUAUGGGCUAGAGUCACCGUGGGCCUGUAAAGGGCCGAAAGAUACGAAGGCCUCAUAUGGGCCGAAAGACGUCAUGGGCCAUACAUGGGCCGAAAGUGAAAUGGGCUGGUGUUAUAUUCGACGGCCCACAUGAAGUUGUUGGGCCGAUUUCCUUUAGGGCCUAACGGGCCGUGAGUUAACGGGCCGUAAAAUGGGCUAUUUGCGAAGAGACCACUACUAGGAAAAGGGCUAUAGAUGGAAUGGCCACUAAUGGCGCACCAGACAUGUGGUGCGCCAUUGCUAUAUAGCAGUGGCGCACCAUGUGCUGGUGCGCCAUUAGUGUGAAAGACACUAAUGGCGCACCAGACACACGGUGUGCCAUUAGUAACAAUUUUUUUCCAAACAUACUAAUGGCGCACCAGGGCACAGUGCGCCAUUACUAGUUCUAACUAGUAAUGGCGCACCAGCCACAUAGUGCGCCACUACUAUAUUUUUNNNNNNNNNNNNNNNNNNNNNNNNNNNNNNNNNNNNNNNNNNNNNNNNNNNNNNNNNNNNNNNNNNNNNNNNNNNNNNNNNNNNNNNNNNNNNNNNNNNNNNNNNNNNNNNNNNNNNNNNNNNNNNNNNNNNNNNNNNNNNNNNNNNNNNNNNNNNNNNNNNNNNNNNNNNNNNNNNGAACAGUGCGCCAUUACUAGUUUAAACUAGUAAUGGCGCACUGUUCCCUGGUGCGCCAUUAGUGUCUUUUUUUUUUGCAAAACUACUAAUGGCGCACCACCAGCAGGUGCGCCAUUAGUAACCAGGGUUACUAAUGGCGCAUUAGGCGGUGGUGCGCCAUUAGUAACCUGGGACGAGCUAGAUAUUUUGGACAGCCACACCUACCCACUCACUUUCCCCACUUCAUCCUCUCCACCUCCUCCUCCAAGCUUGUCUCGGCUGCCUCCUCCUCCUCACCUCAUUUGCACCAUAAAUUCAUCCAAAUUAAGUGGUUAAAUUACCUUUUUUGAUAGGUAAGUAAGGGGGAAGCUAUCUUUAUGUUGUACUCCCUCUCGAACAACGUGCACAUGCACUUUUUAUGGCCUAGCUAGAUCUAUGUAUGUUAGUGGUGUUGCAUAUGUUUGUGGUGUUGCAUAUAUGUUUGUGUUUGCAGGUACCGGUAUUUGAAAUGCGAUAGUUGCCAAUAUUUUGCCGGAAUGUUGAUUCAUUUCCGUUUCGGCGAGAAUUUUGGCACUAUGCAUUCUUUUUGGUCCUAUUUUUAGGGAAAGUCAUGCCAAAUUUUUUCUUGGUUCUAAAAUAUCGUUUUGCUCUACCCCGCAGGCGACCAUGGUCAGCACGAUGACCGAAGGCAUCGUGAAUAGGUUUUUGAGCUCCGCGAAGGCCGAGAUGCUUGAAAAGAACGAGACGGAGAUAAGAUGUCCGUGUCGAAGAUGCAAGCUGAAGAGCCUUAUUGCGGACCCGGAUUCUGGGCAGGUGCGGGACCACCUGCUCUUGCGUGGUUUCAUGGAUGGCUAUCGGUGGCAAGGUGAUGAAGAUGACUAUGAAGUCGUCCAUGGGGGUCGGGCAAGAAAUGAGGAUGGGCAGCAAGACAACCACCGCGGCUCGGGCGGGCGAGAAGACGAAGAAUCUCCAGGACAUGAUCACGACGGUGAUGCUGUACACAGUCAUCAUGUAGAAGAUGCCGGACAUGAUGAUGAGGAAGAUGCGGGAGCAGACGAAGGGCAUGAUCAUGAAGAUGAAGAUGCCAGCGGAGCAGACGACGAUGGACCAUCGAUGGGCUGGGUGCAGGACCCUCAUAUUCAAGAGCUGCUUCUCAAGCAGACGGAUAACGCAAGAGCUGCCGCCCGAGAGAAAGCCAAGCUGGAUCAACUGGAGAUAGACGCGGUUACUCCAUUGUAUGAAGGAUGCAGGCCCGAGGAUACCCGCCUGAAAGUAACGCUCAUGGCUCUGGAGAUGAAGGUAAAACACAAAAUGACCGACGCAUGCUUCGACGAGAACAUGUCAUUCUGGCACGAACAUCUUCCCAAGGGGAACAAGUGCCCGACCAGUUUCGAGGAGGCGAAGAAAAUCGUGUGUCCUCUGGAUUUACCGCACGUGAAAUACCAUGUGUGCAUGAACAAUUGCAUCAUUUAUCGAGACGAGCACGCGGAGUCUACCAUAUGUCCGGUGUGCGGCGUCACUCGAUACAAGAAGAGGAAGAAAGCUCCUCGAAAAGUGGUGUGGUACUUUCCGAUCACUCCUCGUCUGCAGCGGUAUUUCGUGGACCCUAAGGUAGCAAAGCUCCUGCGUUGGCACACGGAUAGGGAGGAGAAGAAGCGAGAAGAUGACGCAAAUGAUCCGGAGAUAAAUAAAAAAGACAAGAUGCUGAGUCACCCUAAGGAUGGGAGCCAGUGGCAAGCGUUGAACUUUGAACACCCAGAAUUUGGGAACGAUCCAAGGAACAUCGUGUUGGGCGCGAGCACUGAUGGAGUCAAUCCGUUUGGCAGCCAGAGAAGCACACAUAGCACCUGGCCUGUGUUUGUGUGGAUGUACAACCUUCCCCCCUGGUUGUGCAUGAAGAGGAAGUACAUUCACAUGAGUAUGCUAAUUGAAGGGCCGAAACAACCAGGGAACGACAUCAAUCUGUAUCUGGGGCUGCUGAAAGAGGAGCUAGACACACUGUGGAAAACGCCAGCCAAUACGUGGGACGCCGCAGAGAAAGAAUAUUUCCCUAUGAGAGCCGCACUGCUGACGACGGUGCACGACUAUCUCGGUUACGGAUAUCUCGCGGGGCAGGUGGUCCACGGAUUUUCUGGAUGCGUUAGGUGCAUGGAUGACACAACGUAUCGCCAGCUAGAUAGAGAUCCCGGGUCUUCGAAAACCGUGUUCAUGGGACAUCGAAGGUGGCUUCGCGACGAUGACCCGUGGAGGAAACGCAAGGAUCUGUUCGAUGGUGAAACCGAACCCCGAAGACGCCCGCGUACGAGGAGCGGCGAGGAAAUAGACGAGCUGUUGAAAAAUUGGAAAGAUUGCCCACUGCCGGGAAAGAAGCAAAAGGCGCCAGAGCCGGGAAAGAAGCAAAAGGCGCCAGAGCCACUGCUGAAGGUAUGGAAAACGAGGUCUGUUUUCUGGGACUUGCCGUACUGGAAGAUCCACCGUGUGCCUCACAGCCUUGAUGUCAUGCAUAUCACGAAGAACGUGUGCGAGAGUCUGCUUGGUACCCUGCUCAACAUGCCAGAGAGGACCAAAGAUGGGCCGAAAGCAAGGGUAGACUUGAAAUCAAUGGGCAUCAGGGAGGAGCUUCACGCUAAUGAUGAUGAUGAUGAUGAUGAGGCGAAGCAGGACACGGAAAGUCGUCGCAAAGGCAAAAAGGCCAAGAAGACCAGAAAUGACUUCCCUCCCGCGUGCUUCACUCUAAGUCAGGAGGAGAUUGAUCAGUUUUUCACCUGCCUCGUAGGAGUAAAACUUCCUUACGGUUACGCGGGGAAGAUAAGCAGAUACCUAGACUCAGCGAAGCAGAAGUUCAGCGGGAUGAAGUCUCACGACUGUCACGUGCUGAUGACGCGGAUACUUCCAGUUGCAAUCCGUGGGAUCAUGGACGCGCACGUCCGUGAAACGCUAUUUGGCCUAUGCAACUUUUUCGACGUCAUCUCUCGGAAGUCGGUUGGCGUGAGGCAACUCAGAAGGCUACAGGAAGAGAUCAUGGUGAUACUAUGCGAGCUUGAGAUGUACUUCCCGCCCGCAUUCUUCGACGUUAUGGUGCAUCUGCUGGUCCAUAUCAUGGAGGAUAUCAUCCAACUCGGGCCGACGUUCCUGCACAGCAUGAUGCCGUUCGAAAGGAUGAAUGGUGUCAUCAAAGGAUACGUUCGCAACAUGUCACGUCCAGAGGGAAGCAUAGCCAGGGGCUUUCUGACUGAAGAGUGCAUCUCCUACUGCAUGAAUUAUCUAGGCAUCGAGAACCCCGUUGGUCUGCCCGUCAAUAGGCACCUCGGCAAGCUCGCUGGAUGGGGUCACCGUGAGGGUCGCCGCGAAAUGCAUGUCGACUUCGAUGGUCGACUCACCGACUUUGAAAGAGCAAACCUAGUCGCGCUACAACACAUAGACAUGGUCGAUCCUUGGGUGGUAGAGCACAAAACAUUUAUUGAGAAGACGUACAAUGACCGAGGCCAACAGAGGACGGACGGAGAUAUAAUCAAAGAGCACAACUCAUGUUUCACGCGUUGGUUCAAGCAGAAGCUUCUGUCGUACCCUUUACAUGAGGAUUCUUCCGCGGAAGAACAACUCAUAUUCGCCUUGUCACAGGGCGCCGAGCACAACCUGAUGACGUAUGAGGCAUACGAUAUCAACGGCUACACAUUCUACACCGAGGACAAGGACAUGAAGAGCGAUGGUUAUCAGAACUCCGGGGUAACGAUGGAAUCCUACACCGGUAACGACAAGGACAGAUACUACAGAAGGAUCGAGGAGAUCUGGGAGCUGAGCUACGCUGGAGAGAAGGUCCCGAUGUUCCGUGUCAGAUGGGCCAAGAGCGUCAUAAAAGAAGACCGGUAUUUCACCACCAUGGUUAUACCCGAAGCCAAAUCCAAGACCGCAGGCGCGAACGUCACCGCGAAAAAUGAGCCAUGGGUACUGGCUUCCCAAGUGGACAAAUGCUUCUUCAUUACCGACCCGUCAAAGCCCAGUCGUGUUGUCGUGAGGAGAGGCAAAAGGAAGAUCAUCGGAAUGGAUGGAGUUUCCAAUGAGCAAGACUUCGACAAGUACGGCGACCCGAAGAUGGAACAUGACGACAACGAUGAAGUAUCAGCAUACACCACAAGAAGAAGCAGGACCACCCUACCUAAAGGACGUCCGUUCGAGAGAAGAACUCCAUUUACGAAAAAUAAGGGCAAGAAGAUUGUGAACAGAUAGCUAGCUAAGAUCGAUUGUAUUUAAAUUGUAGCCUUCAUUUCUCGAUUGUAUUUCAUGGGCACUUUUUGAACUCAUGAAUAUUUAUAAAUUUCAUGGACACUCGAUCUCGAUCCCCCUCCAUCUCGAUCGCUAUCCCACCUCGCCAGAUCUGGUCCCCCUCGCCGCCGAGCACCCCCCGCACCCUCUACCCCGCUCCAUCGGCCGCCGUCGCCGACCCCCCCACCCUCCCCCGCUCCACCGCCGCCGCCNNNNNNNNNNNNNNNNNNNNNNNNNNNNNNNNNNNNNNNNNNNNNNNNNNNNNNNNNNNNNNNNNNNNNNNNNNNNNNNNNNNNNNNNNNNNNNNNNNNNNNNNNNNNNNNNNNNNNNNNNNNNNNNNNNNNNNNNNNNNNNNNNNNNNNNNNNNNNNNNNNNNNNNNNNNNNNNAUUACUAUUUCAUAUUCAUAUUCAUUUUCUAAAAAAUUAUUAGAUGCAACAAAAAAUAAUAAUAAUAAAAAGAUUACUAAUGGCGCACCUCUGGCUGGUGCGCCAUUGCUAUAUAAACAAAGUUUACUAAUGGUGCACCGAUCGUGGGUGCGCCAUUGCUAUAUAAAAAAACUUCUAAUGGCGCACCGCUUCGUGGUGCGCCAUUAGUAAGCUUCCCCCACACUAAAAUCCCCAAUCUCUCACAUUUCUCUCUAAUCCCUCCCUGCCUCAUCUCACCCGCGCCCGACCACCAUCGACCACCACCGCCCCCGUGCUCGCCGUCCCCUUUUCGGCUGAGUAGGAUUCGACAAUUGCUGAGUAGGAUUCGACAAUGGGCCUGAGUCAGUUGACUGGAGACUUUAUUAUUGGUAUAUCGAUCGGUCCAGCACGGAUUGAAAUACUCUUGCCAAGAUACUUGUCCCAUAUUCACUAAGAAACUGUUGUACCAGCUUUUGCAUGAACUAACCAAGCAUAUUGGUUUCGAUCACGUCUAUCCGAAGUCACUCAACUAUUCCGAUUCCAGCAAACGGAGGCCGUUAGGUCAAAGCCGUAGAUCGAUCAGUCUAGAAUCUGUAACCAAUUGGCUAAGUCGCUAAGUCAUUGCCGGCCGUGCUCGCUGCCCCCGCCGCACCAGACCACCACCGCCCCCAACGCCCCCUCCCCGAGCCGAGCGUCGCCUCCCUCACCGUCCCCCCUCCGCCCGCGCCCGCGCCCUCGACGUCCUCCCGCCGAACCGCCCCCUCCCCNNNNNNNNNNNNNNNNNNNNNNNNNNNNNNNNGGCCCCACCUGCGUCAACCUCGUGCUCGCCGUCCAACACCGCGCGGCCUGCCCAGGAGGACCUCCGCCAUCUUCCUCUUCUUCACCCAGCGGCGUGAGCUCGGCGGCGACAAGGAGUGGCGACCGCAACGACCCCGUCGCCGGCGUGAUUCUCCCCCGACGCUGGACUGGUCAGGCCCCGCUCCUCCCCCUCUUCUUCACCCCCCGCUUGUCCUCUUAAUUUCUAUUCUCUUUGGUUCAUUAAUUUGUAGUACUGUUCUUGGUCUGGUUCUCUGGAUAAUUUCUAGGGUUCUUGGUCUGGUGCCAAGAUUGGUCGUGUUUGUCAAUAGUACAACUUAGCUCACAUGUCUUCCAGAGAGAUCCCUGUUCUAGGAUCUGAGCUCUCUCUUCUCUGAAUUCAACUAAGGCAUGAGGAACAAGGGGGGAGAUAGCUACUGUCAAAAUUUUUAACACUUCCUUACUUGUUUGUCAAAUACAGUUAGCUACUGUAAAAAAAUUUAAAACUAGGUCUGAAUUUUUAACACUGCCUUAACAAAUUACUAACUGUCCAAAAAUACAGUUAGCUACUGUCAAAAAAUUCAGUUAGGUACAAUUAGCAUCAUGUAAGAAAAUGGCCAUAAUGUGCCCUGAUAAUGAUUUAUUUUGUCAUAAAAAUAAAUAGUGUACUGCCAUGAUAAUGACAUGGUCCUGUGUUUGCAAGCUGUCAUAAUGUUUUCAUUCAAAAACCAUAGAGUGAAAGAAGAAGCAUAGGCUUAAUUGAGCUGUGGAGUUCUUGUUACCUUGUCUGUCCGUCCUCGUUAGUUACAUGUAUCUCUCUGUUUGUGUUUCUGCGUAACAGGUUCGAUCGCAGUUGGAGAAAAAUUGAGGCGUUUGUUGGCUCGAAGACAGUGUGAUACAGGUAUAUACAUGUGCUUUGCUUACUUGUUUGGUUUGCAAUAGUUAUCAUGUGACAAAGUAUGCUUAGUUGUUUGGUUUGCAACCCAUAUUUUAUAGUUGAUAAUACAUUUCCCAGAUCUGCUUGGUUGCAAUCUUUUAUCUGAACGCGAUCAUUAUAAGUUUAUAGCUUUCCCACUGUCAGGCUUGUUCCAAUAAGUAGAUGCACUUGCUCCUUUCUUACAUAUUUGUGCCUGACAAACGCGGUCAUCAAGUCUACUUCCAUGUUGCUGCUAGUAGUAACCUGACAGCACAGCCAUACUUAGCCACUGUUCAUUAACAGCAAGUCAACAACAACAUCAGUAAAAUUCAGUUAACAACAACAUCAGUAAAAUUCAGUUAAUUAACUGAAGAAGAGAAGAGAGAAAGUAGAGAGCAAGAGGAGUACUUGCAUUAACUGAAACGUUUUACAUUAAACUUGCAAAAUUGCAGUACUCCCUGAAACUACUGCAAGCAAGAACUACUGUUGGAGGGCACUACUGUAGGAAUAUUCUCUGGUCUACUGAAACUUGCUGGAUGUAUGUUCAGAAAUGUGUUAACAGGUGUAUUAUUUAUAGUAGUUGUUGCAGAUGGUUUCUCUUGUCUUAACUGAAUAAUCAUGUAUUACAUAGUGUUCUUGUUUUUCUUCAUAGUUUGCAGCAUUUUCAGAUGUACACUGUUUUCCUAUGUGUCAAAAUGUUCCUAAUUUGAUAUUUGAAAGUAAGUGUGUGGUUUGAAAUUUUGAUCUGAUUAUGGCAUCUAGAAUUAUGUCAGUUUUGUUUUGUAACUAGAAGACCAAAGUGUGUUACUCACCUGGGAUCUUAACUGUUAAGUUUGUAAUAUUCCUUAUAUUGAAAUCGAACAUGAUGGUGCUACUUGAUAUUUUUGAGACAUGGCAUCUCCCAUGACCGAAUCAGCAACAAGGGGAGUUGAUUCCAUUUCUUGGUUUCUGUAAGAAUUUAAUGGACCUGGGCCUAGUUAAGUAUAGGCUUGGGCUUGUGGUUGAAUGCUACCGUUGUCCUAGCCAUGUAUUUUCAGAAUUGAGCUAAAGAUUUGGGGGUAGUAUUUCUGAUUUUAGAGCACCUUUGCUGGAUGUAUUUUACAGCAGCUGUCGGAAUCAAAACAAUGCUUGUGGGUUGUCCUGUUAAGUUGAGUGAGUCAUUAGAGGGCAGAUAGGGUCACCCACACCAAUUAAUGUUUAUGAAGAAGAAGAAUAAACCUGCUGCUGCUGCUGUUAUGCUUGUAUUCACUGCUGCUGCUGCUGCUGUACUUGUGAUGAUGCUACUUGUGAUCUUCUGAAAUGACCCAUUGGCGACUUCAUUACGCGGGGAUAACGAUUUUGCAGGUACCCCGAGAGGCCCUUGAGUUUGCCGGAAUGUCGAUUAACUUCCGUUCCGGCAAAUUCGGGUACUCCAUAUGUCCUAUUUUCAGCAAAGGUCAUGCUGAAAUUUUCCGUGAAUUUUAGCAUGACUUUGCUAAAAAUAGGACAUAUGGGGUACUUGCGACUAAUGCAUGGGCCGGGGUAUCUUAGUACUUAAUUAAGUAGGAUCAACUGUCUCUUGUGUUAUACAUAUAGAAGUGUGAUAUGUUUACUGUCUCUUGGUGUUUGUCCUUAAUUAAGUAGGGUAUAUUAUUAGAAGAUACCCAUAUAUAUCAGUCAACCUAGGGUGCCUCGGCAUCGAUAAACCCUAAAUGAUGAAAACUUAACUUAGCAUUUAGGGUGCCUCGGCGUCGAAAAACCCUAAAUGAUAAAACCUUGGCUUUUAGGGUGCCUCAGUGUCGAUGAGAACCUAAAUGAUGUACGCUUAGGCUUUUAGGGUGCCUCGGCGUCGACAAACCCUAAAUGAUAAAAGCUUAGCUUUUAGGAUGCCUCGGUGUCAACAAACCCUAAAUGAUGAGACCAUGAUCUUGUUCCUUGACAAUAACCAACUUUUUGACCAAACUUUUUUCCUAUUUAGAGCGAAACAUGGUCCACAACGAUGAGGCCGGCGGUUCGGGCGGCAAGCAAUUCUGGGAGCUGUCCCAGGAGAUGGAGGAAGAACCUCACCGCUAUGAGGACGCCGCCGCGGAAGACACCGAUCCUGACUACACAACCCCUAGUGGCGUCGGGGAUGACACCACUGAUGGUGCCGCCGACGAUGCCACCACUGAUGAUGGCGGCGCAUGCACAGAUGGCAGCCAACCGAAGAGGCAACGGAAGGACCGGCGCCCGAACGUGCUCGGCACCGUCAAGGAGGAAUUUACUGAAGUGAACUCCGACGGGCAUCCAACGGCGCCCAAACAUGUAGUCAAGGGGUACUCGGUUCAGCUCGGGUGCAUUCUCCGAAGCACCGUCUCGAUCAACACCGAGAACCUAAGGCAUAAGGACCGAGGGAAUUUGCGCAGCCUCCUCUUCACGAAGCUGCACGAACGAUACAAGUUCCCCGCUGAGUUUGCAAACACACGCCUCUCAGGGAAUAAAGUGAACAGUGCCGCCCUCACGAGGAUGAGCACGACCCUGUCUACAUGGAGAAGCACGGUGAAGGCAAUGAUUGAAAAAGGUGAUAGUUAUGAGAAGAUCAAGGCGAAAUAUCCUUUGAUGAGCGAAGAUGACUACAAGGAGUUCAAGAUCAAGUGCGAGAGCAGCGCAACCUCCGAAUCAAGUCAGUGGGGGAAAGAAAUGCGGGAGUUGAACUUAGGGGUCCACCAACUCGGUCCCGGCGGUUACAGAGUGGCGGAGCCUAUAUGGGACAAGGAGGACGCGGAGCGUGCCGAGCAAGGCCUACCGCCCCGCUUCGAGAAAUUACGUGACAAGUAGACCAGGAACUUUGUCAGGGCCCGGUACAAGGAGGACCCGGUAACAAAGGAGCUUACCACGGAUCCGAAGACCAGGGCACUUGAGCUUGUUCUGGUAAGGAAUACACCCCCGCGUAAUUAGCUCCAUAUGGUUGCAUUCUAAUUAAUGAAGCCAAAUUUCUAAAUGGUUAACAUUCCUUCCGCAGGAGGCUGAAAGCAGUAGCGCGGGGUCAUCUCAGAGCUCCCCUUUUGACACCCCUUUAAAUAGGGCGUUGAACGUAAUGAAAAACAAGGAUAAGCUCAGUAAGCCAUCGUCAGCUGGUCGUGUGGCCGGCAAAGGCUUGUCCACAAAAUGGUCGUCAUACUAUACCGCUGGUGGGCGAUAGGAGAAAAAGACCAGCUCGGAAAGCCAGUCACGUGAGGUUCAAGAACUCAAGGCACAAGUGGCGCGGAUUCCGGAGAUUGUCCAAGAGCAAGUGCAACAACAACUGGGAACGACGCUCACCGCCAUUGUGCCUACCUUGAUUCAGGGGCUGACGACGUGGAUUGCGGGCGGCCAACAAGGGCCUCCCCCGGUUCCCAGCUUCACGGCCAGCAACUCGCACAACGCGCAGGCGGUGCCAUUGGUGUCUCCGGCGAAGGCGGUAUUCGUGUCUCCGGCGUCGGCACGGGCAUUGGAGCUUAAUGCACCCGGGUGUACGCCGGCCGGCACCUCGCCAGCAAGCGGCCCCUCCGUCAGUUGCACGCGCACGCCCGCCGUUGGCGGUGCCUCGACAUUAGCCGAGCUCGACGGCAUCACGGUAACUAAGCCUCUCGGCCGAUGACUUCAUCUCCUUGCCUUUGACUGUGCAUCCCUGACGCCCUACAUGUUUUUGCAGGGCGCCACCGAUGUUCCUUGCACUCUCCUACACUUCGCGGGCGGCGAGUUGGUCGAUGUCGCCAAGGGCAGAAUCGUUCAACUGGGCAACCGCGUGUUCCACGGUAAUCCGAUGCCACCCACCUUGUAUAGGGUUGAACUGGUUCGGGUGCUGCCAGGCUGCGACGAGUUGUUACCUCCGAUUCGACCCGCUGGGGCCGAUGAAGAUGAUGUGAUGACCCUCAGCGCCUGUGUAAGCUGGCCCCUGCUUUGGCCGAAGAGCCAGAUUCGUUUGGGGGCGGGGGACACCACCCCACAGACAAGACCGCCAGUCGUGCCAGCGCCAAGCCAUGGCAAGAACGCCGCAACGCUACCGGACAUGCCGGACAUCCCUAUGGCACAGGAUCCGGACAUGGAUAUGGCACAGGAUCCGGACGACGACGACAACGACGGCGGUACAUUUUCCAACGUCGAUAAGUACUUUGCCGAACAUGGGUACGGUGACGAGUUCUGCGGGCCUCCUUCUCAAGAACCCAACCCUGAAAAAGACGACCCCGAUCUAGCUGGUACGGCGGAGAAACCCAAUUGCAACAGGCGUCGUCUGGCGUUCAGUUCUCAGGAGACGCCUCCAGCUGCCGCCUUCACCGAGCCUCAGAUAGCUGAGGUGCCAAAUAUUAUCAGCCCCAACACGCUCAAGAAGGCGGUCUGUGAGCAGAACUCGAUCCCAUUACAGCAGAUCAGGAAGAAGGGACGGAAACGAAAGACUAACAAGGGCGCCAGUGUGAGCCAGCCGGCACCGAGUAUGAUCCGUGCUCAGGACGGGCCACCUGCACCUAAGGAUAUCUCGAGGAGGGUGCAUGUGGCGGGUAGGCCGAUGCUACCGACAAAUAUGCUCAAUGCUGCAACCGGUGCUAUGCGGAGUCUCCAUGACAGUGUUCUUUCUUUGGAGAAGCGGCGUCUCAGAGAGAAUGAUGUGGCAUACCCGGUUUUCGUGGCCAAGGUGCCAGAGGGCAAGGGCUUUGUGGAUAGCGCCGUCGGGGGUACGAUCGUCCUGUGGUUUGAUGACAUCUUUCCUAUGCUUAACCUUCAUCCGCUGCACUACACCUUCGUUCGGCUGUUUUCGCUGAGUAUGGAGAUGCGGAUCAUUAGAGACAAGACCCCGGACAUUGUGAUAGUCGACCCCUUCUACAUGCGUGCCAAGAUCUUGGGCAGCGCUGGGGACCGGCAAGUCACGAGUUCACACCUCGAAGGCGUCAUUCUGGCAAACCCAGAUAAGGAUAACUUCCUCGUGCCUUACUUUCCCGAGUAAGUCAUCUCCUAACCGCCCCGUAACAUAUGAUUUCUUAGAUUUCGAUUGUUCAUUUUUUUCUAACAUUCCGUGUUCUGUGCGGUGACACACAUUGCACACUCAUCCUCUUAAGCCCGAAAUAUUCCAUGGCCACGUAUUUCGACCUGGACCGUGACUCCAAGAUAGACUACACAAAUAUCAAGAAAGUUCUUGAUGAUGCUCUCCCCGGCUACGCCGCAUCUGGAGGCACCUUUAAGAGGCCAUCUCGUAGGUACGGCAGGCACGUGUUCACCCACAAUACGACGUUCCCCUGCGUCAAGCAGCCGCCUGGCGGUCCGAAGGAUGCCUACUACGCCCUCCAUCACAUGUGGCCGAUCGUACGGGACCAUAAUCACCUUCUGCUACCAAAUAAUCUCAAAGAUUGGGCCGCAAGCUUGGCGGCAAUCCAGGACGCGGACAUCCGACAAGAAUUCUUUCGCAUCCAAUCGGAGUUUGCAGAAAUCAUCCAUCAAGAUGUCCUUCGUACCUCGGGGCAGUUCUACCUCAAAUUUCAACCGUCCAACAGUGAGAUAGACACAACGCUACAAAUGCAGGCUGACAACGCCCGCGACUUCAUGACCAUCACGACAGACGGCGGCUUCAUCCAUGCUCCGGUCCCAUGAGUCGAGUCGAAAGUAGUGAUGCUAUGUGUAGUUCUGAAACAUUGAUUAGCUCAUGUUGUAAUUAAACUUUAAUGAACUUGUAUGUCUCUUUGGUUUGGACAGUCGUUCAACUUAGAUGUAAUCGAUGCUAUUUAUUAGUAGGACCAUGAAUCGUGCUAUUAAUGUCUUGCUUUUCUCUUCCGAUCCUUUUGUUGCAUACUUAUAUAUUGCUUAUGUAUUGUCUGUUGUUUGGCUAGUGCAUAGAGAUGCCGUCGUAUGUCGUGUACAAGGGUAAGGUUCCCGGAGUCUACGACGACUGGGAGGAGUGUCGGAGACAGGUUCACCGUUUCAGCGGUAACAGUUACAAAGGGUACACCACUAGGGCGGAGGCGGAAUCUAGAUACGCGCGCUAUCUAGCGGGAGAGAGGACGGAGCGUUGGAGGAACCGGAUGAAGACCAGUUUCAUCGCGACGAUGCUCAUCGUGAUGACCGCAGCUCUCUUCUAUGUGAUGGUAGUUUAGAUGAUCGAUAUCGACUUGUAAUGUGAAGACAAACUCGCUACUCGCGGUCUCGAGACUUGUAAUGUUCUAUCUUUGUUCGGUCUUUUGAAUUCGGAGACUAAUAUGAUGAAUUGUAUUCGGAGACUAAUCUUCUAUUGUAUUCGAUGAAUCUGCUGUUGCUGUGUGGUGCUGCUUAUAUUCUGUCCAAUAAUAUAUUUUGUAAUCUGUGCAAAAAUCAGAAAAGAAAAAAAUAAUCCCUAAUAUACAUACUAAUGGCGCAUCAUCCCAAGGUGCGCCAUUAGUAUGCCAAAGGAUACUAAUGGCGCAUCACAACGCAGUGCGCCAUUAGUAUGCCAAAGGAUACUAAUGGCGCAUCACCCCGCAGUGCGCCAUUUGUAUGCCAAAGGAUACUAAUGGCGCAUCACCCCGCGGUGCGCCAUUAGUAUGGCUAGGCACAUGGGUAAAUAUGGCCCCCUGGGAGGCAUACUAAUGGCGCACCGUGGCCUAUACUAAUGGCGCACUGCCUGGUGCGCCAUUAGUAAAAAAUACUAGUGGCGUGGUACUAGUGGCGCACCAGUAGUGCGCCAUUAGUAGGCAAAACUGGGGCGCCACUAGUAGGCCUUUUCCUAGUAGUGGACUGUUAAUAGGCUUUUCAUGGGCCAGCCUGUUAACUUUUGACCAAGUCAAACGGGUCGGCUUUGUAAGCUAAAUGGGCCAGUGGUGGGCCGUGGCACGUGUCGACAUAUCAUAGGCGCCUAUCUGACCCACUGACGAGCUGACACGUGUUUCGUCCGACCAUAGGAAUUUUACACGUCGAAAUUUCCCAUUGGUCGGGGCUGUUAACGGGUUAUCGGAUCCAAAACCCGACCCGAUAGCUUAACGGCGUUCUGUUACGGUGGAUGCCACGUGUCGGUCACCCUUGACGAAAGCACUUCUGUGACGCGCGAUUUAUCGUCAUGGAAGUGGACACUUCCGUGAUGAUAAUUUUGGUAAUGUCAUGGAACACUUCUACGACAGCACAGUUAUGACUAUUUUGAUUCGGUCAUAAAAUCAUCAUGGAUGUACAUGCAUGACAAAAAAGCGACCUACUGUGACAAAGACAUAUCAUCACGGAAGUGUAUUUUUUUUGUAGUGAAUCAACGGGCUAUGGAGAUGCCCAUCAAUUGAUGUCAAUGCGAGGAGUAGGGAUUGCCAUGCAACGGAUGCACUAGAGCUAUAAGUGUAUGAAAGCUCAAACUAAAAACUAAGUGGGUGUGCAUCCAACUUGCUUGCUCAUGAAGACCUCGGGCAUUUGAGGAAGCCCAUCAUCGGAAUAUACAAGCCAAGUUCUAUAAUGAAAAUUCCCACUAGUAUAUGAAAGUGAUAACUCAAGAGACUCUCUAUAUGAAGAACAUGGUGCUACUCUAAAGCACAAGUGUGGUAAAAGGAUAGUAACAUUGUCCCUUCUCUCUUUUUUAUUUUUUUCUCUUUUUUUAUUUUUUUGUAGGCUUCUUUGGCCUCUUUUUUGGGGCUUCUUUGGCCACUUUUAUUUUGACAACCUCACAUGGGACAAUGUUCUAAUAAUGAUGAUCAUCACACUUUUAUUUACUUACAACUCAAUAUUACAACUCGAUACUAGAACAAAGAUAUGACUCUAUAUGAAUGCCUCUGGCAGUGUACCAGGAUGUGCGAUGAUCUAGCAUAGCAAAGAUAUCAAAAAACGGACAAGCCAUGAAAAUAUCAUGCUAGCUAUCUUACGAUCAUGCAAAUCAAUAUGACAAUGAAUGCUCAAGUCAUGUAUAUGAUGAUGAUGGAAGUUGCAUGGCAAUAUAUCUCGGAAUGGCUAUGGAAAUGCCAUAAUAGGUAGGUAUGGUGGCUGUUUUGAGGAAGAUAUAAGGAGGCUUAUGUGUGAUAGAGCGUAUCAUAUCACGGGGUUUGGAUGCACCGGCAAAGUUUGCACCAACUCUCGAGGUGAGAAAGGGCAAUGCACGGUACCGAAGAGGCUAGCAAUGAUGGAAGGGUGAGAGUGCGUAUAAUCCAUGGACUCAACAUUAGUCAUAAAGAACUCACAUACUUAUUGGAAAAAUCUAUUAGUCAUCGAAACAAAGUACUAUGCGCAUGCUCCUAGGGGGAUAGAUUGGUAGGAAAAGACCAUCGCUCGUCCCCGACUGCCACUCAUAAGGAAGACAAUCAGUAAAUACCUCAUGCUCCAACUUCGUUACAUAACGGUUCACCAGACGUGCAUGCUAUGGGAAUCACAAACUUCAAGACAAGUAUUUCAACAAUCCACAACUACCCACUAGCAUGACUCUAAUAUCACCAUCUUUAUAUCGCAAAACUAUUGCAAGGAAUCAAACAUAUCAUAUUCAGUGAUCUACAAGUUUUAUGUUGGAUUUAAUGACUAACCAUGUGAAUGACCAGUUUUUGUCAUCUCUCUAAAUAGAUAUAAGUGAAGCAAGAGAGUUUUAAUUCUUUCUACAAAAGAUAUGCCCAUUUUCUAACAAAUAUAAUUGAAGCAAAAGAGCAUUCUACAAAUGGCGGUUUUCUAUGUGAAGAGAAACGGGCAAUCCAAACUUCAAAAGAUAUAAGUGAAGCACAUGAAGCAUUCUAUAAAGCCAUACUCAAAAGAUAUAAGUGAAGUCCGAUGAGCAUUCUAUAAAUCAACCAAGGACUAUCUCAUACCAGCAUGGUGCAUUAAAGAAAAGUGAAAACUAAAUGCAAAAGACUCUCCAAGAUUUACACAUAUCAUAUGACGAAUAAAAAUAUAGCUCCAAGUAAAAUUACCGAUGAUUGUUAGAAGAAAGAGGGGAUGCCUUCCGGGGCAUCCCCAAGCUUGGUUGCUUGGGAUUCCUUGAAUAUUUCCUUGGGGUGCCUCGGGCAUCCCCAAGCUUAGGCUCUUGCCACUCCUUAUUCCUUUAUCCAUCGUGAUCUCUCCCAAAACUUGAAAACUUCAAUCACACAAAACUUAACAGAAAGUUCGGUAAGAUCCGUUAGUAUAAUAAAGCAAAUUACUACUCUAAGUACUGUUGCAAACCAAUUCAUAUUUUUUUUGCAUUGUAGCUACUGUAAUAUAACUUUUCCAUGGCUUAAUCCACUGAUAGAAAUCAAUAGUUUCAUCAAAACAAGCAAACUAUGCAUCAAAAACAGAAUGUGUCCUAAACAGGAUAGUCUGUAGUAAUCUGAACAUUCACCAUACAAAAAUUCUGAAAAAAUUAGGAAAAAUAAACAAUUUGUAUAGAAAGACAGUGCAAAAAGUUUCAGAACCGUUUGACGUUCCAUUAAAAAAAUGUAAAAUCGCGCACUACAGCCAAAGUAUCUGUCUUGCACCGCACAAACCAACAAGCAAUGUAAACAUCCUAAAGGCAAAUCUUGGCACAUUAUUUUUAUUUUUAAACUUUAUAAAAGCACACAACAGAAAUAAAUGUCUCUAUAAAACUUCCGGGUUGUCUCCCUGGCAGCGCUUUCUUUAAAGCCAUUAAGCUAGGCAUACAGUGCUCAAGUAAUGGAUCCAGCCGGAUCCCAAGGUAUAUCAAAGCCAAUUUUAAUUAACAAUGAUUUGUGAUUUAGUAGUGAGCACAAAGUAACAUAAAUCAUGCAACAACGAAGUCUAACUCCCUUCCUAUGCAUCGGCAUGUCAGAAAAGAACAAUUCAUGCACACAUAGUAAAGGCCAAUGCAUAGUAUAAACAGUUUCUUGCAAUUUUAUCAUAUUGGAAACAUGGAGAGGCGGAGAUGUAGUUCCUCUCUCAUAAUAAUUGCAAGUAGGAGCAGCAAGCACAUACAUAUUAUAUAUAUCAAAAUCAUCAUGUGUAGUAGUAAAACGCAACCCAUCAAUAUAAUCCUUAAUAAGGGCAAAAUUCUCCGAUAUAGUGUAGUCGGGAGAAUUCCAAAAGAUAAUAGGACUAUCAUGCGUGGGUGCAAUAGCAACAAUUUCAUGUUUAACAUAAGGAACUAUAGCAAGUUCAUCUCCAUAAGCAUAAUUCAUAUUGGCAUCUUGGCCACAAGCAUAGCAAGCAUCAUCAAAAAGGGAUAUUUCAAAAGAAUCAACGGGAUCAUAACAAUGAUCAUAGCAUUCAUCCUUCGGUAAGCAUUCAUUAGAAGGUGAGCACGGGUAGCUAAUCCGCUCUUCCUCCUUUUGUUCUUCGCUCUCAUCAUCAUCUUUUUCAUCCAAUGAGCUCACAGUUUCAUCAAUUUCUUCUUCCAUAGACUCCUGCAAAAUAUUAGUCUCUUCUCGGACAACGGAGACUUUCUCAAUAAAUUCAUCAAUAUCAUAAUUGUAUUUAUAGUUCUCAUAGCAAUAUUUAAGGAUAGCUAAAUUUUUAGGUCUAUAAACUGAAUCAUCAAAAUCUUCAAACUCUUUAAACAAUGAUUCAAUUUCACAAGCACCCUUAAAAGCACCAAAUUCUUCUAUUCGUUCCACAUCAUAGUAAUCAUAUAUACCAUUAGCAUAAGAAGCUAAGGUUUCAUUAUCAUUAAAUUCGCAUGAAAAGGGAAGGUGUGGAGCCUACAUCCUAGAGCAACAAGUAUAAUCAUAUCUCAAGCAUAGUUGCCGAGCAUACCAAUGCAACAUAUAAAUUGGAUCCCAUAAUAGUUUCCCUUUCUGAGUCAAGCGAUAAUCCCUAAGUAUUCACAUUGAUCCAACGUGUCUCCCAUUACAUAAUUGAAUGGGGUUUUCUCGGGAUUAUUAAAGUAGUGCAUAAUAUCUUUCACAUAAUGAGCAUCGAGGGUUUUAGGAGGUUCCCCAUCUCCAUGAGUAGCAAGUAAACCUAUUUUUUUUGUUAUUUCGUGUUUCAUAUCCAUAACUAAAUAUACAGAACAACUUAGAACAUCAAAUAAAAAUUACUUAAUGAUAAAGCAAACAAGCACACACGAGAAUAUUCACCCCACGCUAUUGCUCCCCGGCAACGGCGCCAAAAAAGGUCUUGAUAACCCACAAGUAUAGGGGAUCAAUUGUAGCCUCUUUCGAUAAGUAAGAGUGUCGAACCCAACGAGGAGCUAAAGGUAGAACAAAUAUUCCCUCAAGUUGUAUCGACCGCCGAUACAACUCUACGCACGCUUAACGUUCGCUUUACCUAGAACAAGUAUGAAACUAGAAGUGCUUUGUAGGUGUUGUUGGAUAGGUUUGCAAGAUAAUAAAGAGUGCGUAAAUAAAAAGUAGGGGCUGUUUAGAUGAAGACACAACUAAGUUAGUUUUAGUAGAGAGCUUUUUGUCACACAAGAAAGUUAUUUGUCCCUAGGCAAUCAAUCACUAGACCGGUAAUCAUUAUUGCAAUUUUAUUUGAGGGAGAGGCAUAAGCUAACAUACUUUCUCUUCUUGGAUCAUAUGCACUUAUGAUUGGAACUCUAGCAAGCAUCCGCAACUACUAAAGAUCAUUAAGGUAAAACCCAACCAUAGAAUUAUAAGGCAUCAAGUCCUCUUUAUUCCCAUAGGAAAACAACCUACUUACUCGGGUCUGUGUUUCUAUCACUCACGCCACCCACCAUAAGAAAAUCAUGAACAUAUUGCAAACCCUACAGUGGGGAUCCCUCACGCUUGCACGACACGGAGAGCACCAUAGACAGCACCAAUAAUAAAACAUGCAACUCAAACCAAUCACGAUCAUCAAUUAACCCAUAGGGCAAAACAGAUCUACUCAAACAUCAUAGGAUAGCCAUACAUCAUUGGGAAAUAAUAUAUAGCGUUGAGCACCAUGUUUAAGUAGAGAUUACAGCGGGUAAAAGAGGGGUUACACCGCUGUAUAGAGGGGGGAAGAGUUGGUGAUGAUGGCUGUGAAGUUGUUGGUGUAGAUUGCGGUGAUGAUUAUGGCCCCGGCGGUGUUCCGGCGCCACUGGAAGAGAGGGGGAGAGAGCCCCCCUUCUUAUUCUUCUUCUUCCUUGACCCUCUCCCUAGAUGGGAGAAGGGUUUCCCCUCUGGUCCAUGGCCUCCAUGGCAUGGGAGGGGCAAGAGCCCCUCCGAGAUUGCAUCUGUCUCUCUGUCUCUCUCUGUUUCUGCGUUUCAGAUUCUGUCCUUUCACCGUUUCUUAAAUUCCCGGAGAUUGGUAACUCCAAUUGGGCUGAAUUUUGGACACGAUUUUUAUCCGGAUAUUAGCUUUCUUGUGGCGAAAGAAGGGCACCAACCGCCUUACGGGGUGGCCACGAGGGCCCAGGGUGCGCCCCCUGCCUCGUGGCCCCCUCGGGCAUCGUCUCGCGUUGAUUCUUCUUCCCAAAAAUCAGAUAUAUUCCAAAAAAUUCUCCGUUAGUUUUUAUCCCGUUUGGACUCCGUUUGAUAUGGAUUUUCUGCGAAACAAAAAAACAUGCAAUAAACAGGAACUGGCACUGGGCACCGGAUCAAUAUGUUAGUCCCAAAAAUAGUAUAAAAAGUUGCCAAAAGUAUAUGAAAGUUGUAGAAUAUUGGCAUGGAACAAUAAAAAAAUUAUAGAUACGACGAAGACGUAUCAGAGAGCGGCCCGCCUAGCCGUUGGAACCGGCACUAAUGGUCACAUUAGUGCCGGCUCAAAUACAAACCGGGACUAAUGAGCUGAACAUUUGACCCUUUUUCUACUAGUGGAGGUACCACUUAAGCCACAACAUUGAAAUUAUCUUAAUUAAUGGAUCUAAAAUAUACAAAGAGCGAAUAUGGGUACCAAAGAGGUACCACAUUAAGCUACAUCAUCCAAAUAAUCUAAUCAUUGGAUUCAAAAUUUGUGGUUAGAUUUUAACACAAGAUUAGUAGUCAACUAACCAUGUCCAUAUAUCAGUGUUCAAAAUUUAUAUUGAGAAGGAUACAUUUCAAAUACGAAUCUGGCCGACCAGACAUGGAACCUGAUUACAUUUUUGUGCAAAAGGACCUAGAUCUAGUAUAAAAGUUCAUAAGAAAUACAAAGCACCCUAAACAUAAUCAAAAUUUCAUUGAGAACCCUACACCACCAAAUGACCACUACCUCCGCCAGUAUGAGCCACUGACGCACCUUUGUCGCCGCUCCAGUAUUGAAGCCGGCUUCACCUGAUCGAUGAUAAUCGGGAAGGCUUCGUGCGGGUGCCCCUAAGGAUCAGUGCCCGAUAGCCGCAGUCGUCGCCUUUGACUCCUCUUGACAUAUCUUCCUAGAACAAUAGUUGCGUUCUGAAAAAUGAGAGAGAAGGAAACUACAUACCUCAGCUAGCUAGAACAUAGUGCCGUCGAUAAAGAUGUGUCAGGAUAUGAACUGAUCAAUACAUGUAUGUAGCCAAGUAUGCUGAUAUACACAUAUGUGUGGCCAAAUAUACACCUCUAUUAAAGGGAACAAUUUCGCUAAAGCUCAUUGAUAACCCACAAGUAUAGGGGAUCAAUUGUAGCCUCUUUCGAUAAGUAAGAGUGUCGAACCCAACGAGGAGCCAAAGGUAGAACAAAUAUUUCCUCAAGUUCUAUCAACCACCGAUACAAAUCUAUGCACGCUUGACGUUCGCUUUACUUAGAACAAGUAUGAAACUAGAAGUACUUUGUAGGUGUGAUAGGAUAGGUUUGCAAGAUAAUAAAUAGCACGUAAAUAAAAUCUAGGCGCUGUUUAGAUAAAGACAAGACUAAGUUAGUUUAAGUAGAGAGCUUUUGUCAACAAGAAAGUUAUUUGUCCCUAGGCAAUCGAUAACAAGUACCGGUAAUCAUUCUUGUAAUUUUAUAUGAGGGAGAGGCAUGAGCUAACAUACUUUCUCUACUUGGAUCAUAUGCACUUAUGAUUGGAACUCUAGCAAGCAUCCGCAACUACUAAAGAUCAUUAAGGUCAUGAAACCCAACCAUAGCAGUAAGUAUCAAGUCCUCUUUACUCCCAUACGUCAUACCCCAGUUACUCGGGUUUAAGUUUCUGUCACUCUCGCAACCCACCAUAAGCGAACCAUGAACAUAUUGCAACACCCUACAGCAAAGGCCCCUCACAUUUGCGCGAGAACGGAGGGCACCGUAGGACAGCACCAUAAAUAAAAUAUACAAUCAUACCAACCAAGAUCACGAUUAACCCAUAGGACAAAACGGAUCUACUCAAACAUCAUAGGAUAAUCAUAGAUCAUUGGGAAAUAAUAUAUGAAGUUGAGCACCAUGUUUAAGUAGAGAUUACAGAGGGGGGAAGAGGCGCUACACCGCUGCAUAGAGGGGGAGAAAGUUGGUGUUGACGGUAGCAAGAUUGUUGAUGUAGAUCACCGUCACGAUCCUUGCCGCGGCGGCACUCCGGCGCCACCGGAAGCGAGGGGGAGAGAGCCCCCCCUCCUUCUUCUUCUUCCUUGGCCUCCCCCCUAGAUGGGAGGAGAGUUCCCCCUCUGGUCCUUGGUCUCCAUGGUGCCGGAGGGGCGGUAGCCCCUCCGAGAUUGGAUCUCCCUCUCUGUCCUCUUCUGUUUUGCGUUUCCCAGAUCUAGCCGAAAACCGUUUCUUAUAUUCCUGGAGAUCCGUAACUCCGAUUGUGCUGAGAUUUUUACACUAUUUUUUUCCGGAUAUAAGCUUCCUUGCGCUCGACGUAGAGCUCCAACCGACGUUCGAGGAGGGAACAACCCACCACCGCGUGCCAGGGCCUCUGGCGCGCCCUGGUGUCUUGUGGGCUGUGUGGGCCUCCGUUUGCGGUGAUUCCAACUCUGAAAAAUCACAUAUAUUCCAAAAUAGUUCUCCGUGAAAUUUUAUUGCAUUUGGAGUUCGUUUGAUAUGGAUACUCUGCAAUACAAAAAACAUGCAAAAAACAAGAACUGGCACUGGGCACUGGAUCAAUAGGUUAGUCCAAUAAAUCAUAUAAAAAGUUGCCAAAAGUAUGUGAAAGUGAUAUAAUAUUGGCAUGAAACAAUAAAAAAUUAUAGAUACGACAGAGACGUAUCAGCAUCCCCAAGCUUAAUUCCUACUCGUCCUCGAGCAGGUAAAUGAUAAAAAAGAUAAUUUUUGAUGUGGAAUGCUACCUAGCAUAAACUUGAUCAUAUAUCUAGUCAUGGCAUGAAUAUUAAGACAUAAGUGAUUCAAAGCAAUAGUCUAUAAUUUGACAUAAAGACAUCAAUACUCAGGCAUCCCAACAAACAGUCAUGUCUUCCAAAAUAUCAAUGCUAAAGAAAUUUAUCCCUACAAAAUCAUAUAGUCUUGUCAUGCUCUGUCUUCUUAACAGAAAGUAUUUAUCAUGCACAACCCCGAUGACAAGCCGAGCAAUUGGUUCAUACUUUUUAACGCGCUUCAGCUUUUUCAACCCUCAUGCAAUACAUGAGCGCAAGCCAUGGAUAUAGCACUAUAGGUGGAAUAGAGUAUGAUGAUAGGGGUAAAUAUAGAGAAGACAAAAAAGUAAGAAAGUCUCACAUCGACGCGGCUAACCAACGGGCUAUGGAGAAGCCCAUCAAUCGAUAUCAACGUGAGGAGUAGGGAUUGCCAUGCAACGAAUGCACUAAAAGCUAUAAGUGUAUGAAAGCUCAAUAUCAAAACUAAGUGGGUGUGCAUCUAAUCCUAUAAUGAAAAAUUCCCACUAGUAUAUGAAAGUGACAACAUAGGAGAAUCUCCAUAUGAAAAACAUGGUGCUACUUUGAAGCACAAGUGUGGUAAAGGAUACUAACAAUGCCCCUUCUCUCUUUGUUUAUUUUUCUUUUUCUUUUCUUUAUUUUUUUUUCUCUCAUUGUCCGGAGUCUCAUCCUGACUUGUGGGGGAAUAAUAGUCUCCAUCAGCCUUUCCUCACUGGGGCACUGCUCUAAAAAUGAAUAAUGAUGAUCAUCACACUUCUAUUUACUUAUAACUCAAAAGAAAUAAAAAUUACAAUUCGAUACCUGUCGGGGAUAUACCCCGCGGCGUAAACCGGCCGGAAGUAUAACCCGGCCGGACUUGGCGGUUUACUUGAGACCCGUCUGAGAAUUGACGAUCCACUGGCGACCCGUUUGGACCUGGCGGUUUACGAUUCAUUGGUAAUCCGGCAGGCGGGUUAGAGGAGCGACAAGACCCGGUGGCCCAACGGGCGAUUCAUGAAGGCCGGCUCAUACUAUGGUGGGCCGGUUUAAGAGGAAAGGCGUGAGGAAUAUUUGUCUUACAAGGAGUUAAGACCUGGACUUGUAUCCGGUUUGUAUUAGAGAUAGACUAGUCCUAAUCCUAAUAGGACUCCACAUGUAACCCGCCCCUUCAACAUAUAUAUAAGGAGGGGCAGGGCUCCCCAAAGAGGGACAUGCAACAAUCAAUAAACUCUAGGGUAGACACAAUUAGAGGAGAGCCGGUUUACGGCGACUCCCUCAUGAGCGUAAUGAGAUCUAGCCUCAAACAACAUGUAGGGUUAUUACCGAAUGAUGUUUCCCGGGGCCCGAAGCUGUCUAAAUCCUCGUCUUGUGUUGCGUCUCUCGAUUCCGCUCAACCCCUCUCAAGCUACUACAUAGAUGCGCUGACCUCACGACUAAGUCCUCACCCUAGGACAUCUGACAUGACAAUUCCACGACAGUUGGCGCCCACCGUGGGGCUCGCGCUCGGUGGUGUUGAGUUCUUGGAGGGAUUUUUCCCAGGGAUCGAGGAGUUCAUAAUGUUCCAGAUGAGGAAGAGCCGGUUGGAGAGGAUCUACUUCAGCUUCGAAUUCAUCGGUUCUGAUUCAUCGCUUGUGAGAUUUAAGGUUCAAGAAAAUCGAGGUUGCGAGAUGUAUGCUGCCGCAAUUCGCCAAGUCAACAGGAGCCAUCGACCUGAACCAGAUCGAUUUUCCUUUGCGUAAACUAGUCAUCAUCAAGACCGUUUGGAUACCCUGCAAGUCCAGAGGCCUCCCAUCGAAGGUACUGUUCACUCCAGGAGGAGAUCAAAGACAAGCCAACUACUCCCGUCAAGAUCAAUCGAGUAGUACUAUUAUUCAUCGGGAAGCAACACUGGCGUUCGGAUCCGCACGCGCGCAGCCAAAACGCAAAGGUCAAAACUCAACACGACUCGGACAGGUUUGUUCAAAUCGGCCAUGACCUGGAGAAGGACCCAGGCGUAAACCCGGACUUGGAUGAUUCUGCAACGGCAACCUCGCCCUGAGCCGCCGUACGCUGCGUCAGGAUAAGACUAUGCUAGAGGAGACUUGGCAUCCACUCCCACGUGAAGUUAAGGAAGAAUAAAAAAGGGGAUCACAUGAUUAAGGAUCCAAUCCGGAUUGACAGAUAGCAAUUCUAAUACUAGUCAAAAGAUCAACCAAAAAAUCAAAUGGCCACACGGAUGCCAAGCGAUCCAUCGCUCUGAGCAGCCGUUUUCAGACCGGCCAGGCCUCAGUUGAGCCGUCGUGGCCUGUCUCUAUUGAGACCUGCCGUCGAGACUGCCUUCACUAUCAUUUUGGUUCAAUGCGCCCGCCUGGGUUGACCCGACUGCCUUCGUCACGGCUGCAGCAUGGUUUGUUUUAAGCUGCCCUCACCAACGCGCACGGAGCCGCUGAAAGGUUGACCCGCUGCCCUUCUGAUGGUUUGCUGGGCCUGACUGCUGGCUCGCCGCGCCUGGUUCUUUUUGGAUGCAUCCCGUGAGUGUGUUGACUGAUCAAAAGACUCCUGCGGUGGCGAGGGUCAGUGGCAGCCUCUUUUUAUCUGGUCUGCAUUCAUAUGGUAUGGAAGAUAUUGAACCACAUGCAUACGGUUACACGAAGUGCACCCGAAGGCAGACUGCAAAACACUGGUGUUGUGGAUACAUUACAUAGUACUGCUAGUACUACAUGGAGAUUAAAAGCUACUGCCGUUUCUUCAUUUCAUCAAGACAAAUGAGUUUUUUAUAGACGGAAUAAAAAAGCAAUGAAUCAUUGCGGCAGUCGCGAAGACCACAUGGGGUGCUACUGCUACAUCAGCUACACGUACAUGCAGGCGGUUUAUUUUCUGACCAACUACGUCCAGCAUUAUCCACCAUCAGUGAGAAUUAUUCAUUACAAAGUGGCAUUAUACAACGGAGAUGAAGGCGUGCCAACAUUAUUCGGCACAGGUGGUCGUCCUUACUCAACAGACUCUCGCACCGGCUUACAAUGCUGUGGCUGACUCGCCCGUCCGCACCAUCUUACAACGCCACGGACGAUUCGCCCGUCCGCCUUAGCCGCCGGUUCACGCGUCCGCGCCGGCUUACAACGCGGAGGACAACUUGCUCGUCCGCACCGGCUUACAAAUGUCGUGGCUGAUUGAUCUGUCUGCUCCCGCGGCCGAUUCACCUGUGAGGGAUUUCAGUUUCACCUAGUGAUCAUCAACUUCAUGGCGGAUUAUUUUUCGGUCUAAACACAUCAGGUGAUGCCCAUCUAAAAAAUAUAUUUUAUUAGCACAUAUUAUUUUUUGUCAAAGAUCAGUUUAUCUUUGCCUUGGUCUGCAAUAUUGUUUAUGCAGGACAAUUAUUCACUACAGAAGCUAUGGUUGUGUCAUGGAUAUAUAACUCGCGCCACCAUUAUAAGGUGCUAGUAUCUUACCAUGCCAUCAAGAUCGAUGUAUAUAUGUGCAAACCACCAUUUUUGCAGACCGGUUUACAUCAAUAUAAUGUGGCUAACUCGCCCGUCCACGCCGGUUUACAACGCCGCGGCCGACUCAUGUGUCUAUGCUGCCUCUGAAGCCGCGGUCGUCUUUGUCGUCCGUCUCUCGCGGCCUGGUCUACAUCAACACACUGGGCCGCACCUGUCUGCAUGAGCUGUUUAUUGAGCAUGAGCAAGUCACAGCUUCGGUAGCCCGGUUUUCUUUCAACAAAAUGGAGGCAAAUUAUCAUAUACUAUCAACCGCCGUCUGCACUGGGUGGCUCAAUGGGCAGGCGCACAAGUCGCCGCCACUAUAGUUUGGUUAACUUCAAAUCGCCAGUUGGAAGGAACCAUUGGCCGAGUUGCUGACACGGCUCAUACGGGAUCAUUUACAACCCGCCGCAAUCACCUCAACCUUCUGUGGAUUCACAUCGUGCUAUCAACACCAAUGAUAUAUAAGUUAUGCCGGUUUAUAUCACGGUCAAAAUAUGGAGAAUCUCAAGCCAACUCCUCGAGUCACCUUUGAGACUCGGGGGCUACGAUGACAUGAUUCAUCAAAUCUUGCCAGUUUCAGCAAAUUUAAGAACCCCAGGACGAUGGAGGGACAGAUAACCCGGUCCCGUUGGCUACUGUUAUAUUGAUGAAAAUUUAAAGGCCGUCAGAAAAUUUCCGGCUUAGAAAGUAUAUGACAGUUACAAAAUCCCGGCUCAAUGAAGAAGUUCCGGGUCAUCAGAAAGCAUUCCGGUUUAAAAUCUGGCUUAAAGGAAGUCAGUCUCACUGAAGCUCUCAAUAUCCGGUUUACAAUCCGGUUCAAGGGAAAUCUAUUCUCCCACAAAGCUCUGAAGCGCUCAAAUCCGGUUUAACAAUGCCCGGUUCAAAAAAGAAUUAAUCUCUCGCAAGUUCGAGUUUAAAUGCCGUCAUAAAAUUUCCGGCUGAAAAUGAAGAUUCCGGUUUAAAAUCCGGUUCAAGAGAAAGAUGUCUCCCACAAAGCUUUGAAGCUCUCAAUAUCCGGUUUAAAAUCCUGGUUCAAGAAGAAUUUAUUUCUUGUAAAAAGUUAAAGGUUGCCGAAGAGGACCUGCUGCCAUGAUGCGCGGUUCAAACAUGGGUAUCCUGCCUUAUUGGCUUAUCAUAUUAUUGAUCACUUGGGGGCUUGGUCGUAUCCGAACCAUAGCUACACCUCUUGAUCGCCGCAAUGCCACGGCAUCACUUGGGGGCUUGGUCGUAUCCGUACCAUAGCUACACCUCUUGAUCGACGCAAUACCACAUCAUCACUUGGGGGCUUGGUCGUAUCCGAACCAUAGCUACGCCUCUUGAUCGGCGUAAUGCCACAGCAUCACUUGGGGGCUUGGUCGAACCCGAACCAUAGCAACGCCUCUUGAUCGGCGUAAUGCCACAGCAUCACUGGGGGGCUUGGUCGAACCCGAACCAUAGCAACACCUCUUGAUCGGUGUAAUGCCACAGCAUCACUUGGGGGCUUGGUCGAACCCGAACCAUAGCUACGCCUCUUGAUCCAAUUUGGGGCCUGGCAGCCACUACUAGGAAAAGGCCUACUAGUGGCGCACCAGUUUUGCCUGGGUGCGCCAUUAGUAACAAUUUUUUUUAAAAAAAAUUCAGAAUUUUUUUUUCAUUUUUUUUAAAGUUUUUCUUAAUCUCAGGUCAAUAUGCUUAAUCUCAAGUCAAAUCGCACUCUGUGGUCAAACUUCCCGGAAGGUCACCCAUCUUCACACUACAAUUUUUUUAAAAAAAAAUUCAGAAUUUUUUUUUCAUUUUUUUAAAAGUUUUUCUUAAUCUCAGGUCAAUAUGCUUAAUCUCAAGUCAAAUCGCACUCUGUGGUCAAACUUCCCGGAAGGUCACCCAUCUUCACACUACUCCAGCCCGAGCACGCUUAACUUUGUAGUUCUAUCCAACCCCAGCACCAACUCACUUCACAGGCACUUGUUGAUAUAUCUAUCAUAUCAAUCCUAUUAAACCUUGUUGAUGUCUAGGACUUUGUUCAUGUUCAUGAGUAUGAUGAAAUUUUGAAAAAAUAUUUCAAACUUCCCGGUCAUAUUACGUAUCAUAUUUUGAAAAAAAAUUCCAAUUUUUUUUUCGAAACCAAUUUUUUUUCUGUUACUAGUGGAAGCCCCGUCACACAUUUCACUGUUUGAGUUUGAAACUAUUGUUUUAAAAAACAAUAAUUAUUUAGUAACACUAAUAUUUCUUGAAUAAUUAGUUUGACCAUUGUUUGACCACAGUUUGACCAGAUUUGACCAAAAUUCAAAAAAACUAAAAUAAUUAUUUAGUAACACUAAUAUUCUAGAAUAAUUAGUUUGACCACAGUUUGACUAGAUUUGACCAGAUUUGACCAAGUUUGAAUUUUUUUCCACUUUUUUCCACUCUAGAUCUUAAAAGCCCCGUAACUUUUUUUUCUGUUAGGUUUUUGAGGAUUUUGAAAAUGUUUAACGAGGUUCCCUUGGUUAAAUUCAGAUUAACUUUUCAAGUAGAUGAUUUUUCAUAUAAAAAACUUUUUAAUCCGAGUUCGUAUGCAAAAGUUAUGCCCAUUUUACAAAUUCCAGAGAGAUUUUGCAAAUAAAGUCGAAAUUCAUAUUUGUAAAUUUUCCCAACAAGUAGACCACAUAUCACAUGGGAAACUUAUUUUCUUUUAUUUUUUUGACAUUUCCAUCAUUUUAUUUUAUUUUUUUAAACUGAAAAGGCGGUCCGGGGGGGUGCAUUCGGUGGAAUUUUUGGGCCAAGUUAGUAAUGGCGCGCCGUGGGAGUGGUGCGCCAUUACUAGUUCAACUAGUAAUGGCGCACCACACACACAGUGCGCCAUUACUAGUUUGAAAAAAAAUUGAAAAAAAAUACUAGUGGCGCAUCGUGGAUGUGGUGCGCCAUUACUAGUUUAACUAGUAAUGGUGCACUAUCCACUGGUGCGCCAUUACUAGUUUUGAAAAAAAAAUUGAAAAAAAAUUACUAGUGGCGCACCGUGGAUGUGGUGCGCCAUUACUAGUUUAACUAGUAAUGGCGCACUAUCCACUGGUGCGCCAUUACUAGUUUUGAAAAAAAAAUGAAAAAAAAUUGUUACUAAUGGCGCACCGUGGAUGUGGUGCGCCAUUAGUAUUUGGACACCAAUGGCGCACCGACACAUGGUGCGCCAUUAGUAUAUAGUAGUGGCGGACCACAUGUCUGGUGCGCCAUUAGUGGCCAUAUCAUCUAUAGCCCUUUUCCUAGUAGUGAGCCCGUGAAAAGCCUCGACUACAACGGUUUUAUUUGCCUUUUGCUAUGUUUCUCUUUAUUUUGAUAAGAUUUGUGAUGUUUUCAAACCGGUGUUUAUCAACCCGGUUAGGCUGUCAACUACAAGUUGUCAGUACAUGAUCAAAUUAUAAUCCGGAGACUAUCAGCCCAGUCUGGUUUGACUACAAGUCGCCAGUAUUAUAUAUGGUUAAUCCGAUGUUUAUCACAACCCGGCACGGUUUUAUCAUAAACCGGCACAAUAUGGAAGGAGUUAUCAGUACUCAAGAUUGGGUUAUCACCUUUAGUACAAUAAAGUUGGCCAACCAAUGAUGUGAUUUAAUGUCACAGGUAUGAUAUAUUUCAUAUUUGAUUAUACUUAAGUGCAGCCUUGGUUAUCAACCCAGGUUAUAUGUUGGGCAUUAUGACCCGUCCGGCGGUAAACCGCCAGGACACUUUAAACUUGUUAUAUGCAGAAACAGGUUGAAUAAAGCGUGAUUAUAAAUCACCGGAGUUUAUUAACCCGGCCUGGCUUUCGACUAUAAGUCGCCAGUAUGAUGAUAAAUUAUCCGGUGUUUAUUAAACCGGCCUGGCUUUAAGACGAUAAGUCGCCAGUAUAUGAUGAGAAAUUAUCCGGUGUUUGUUAACCCGGCCUGGCUUUGGACUAUAAGUUGCCAGUAUAUAUUUGGAUUGCGCCAUUGGAAUCAUGCGCUUAUAAAUCAUUGGGUUAUAUUAUUCAAAUAGCCAAACUUGGCUGAAUUUUCAUUAUGAUAUUGAAUGAAUAAGGUUUUCAUACCGGAUUAUAUUAUCUGGAAUAGCCAACAUGGCUGGAUUUUUAUUAUGGUUAUUAGUAACCGGUAUUAUUGAGGUUUUCAAAGUGGCUUUAGCGCAAUGGCUAUUAUUUUAUCAAAGGAUAUGAUUUAUUCUACAAUGGAAGGAAUAGUCCCGAGUCGCUGCAGGCUUACGACUCGGCACUUGGGGGCUACGUUAUUCAAAUUGAGAUUACAUGCAAGUCUCAUGUCGCUGCAAGCAUGCACCAUGACACUUGGGGGCUAAUGCAAAGUCUUUUUUACUAGUCUUAUUGAAAAUCCGACUCAUCACAUUGUAUGGAGCCGGCCCUUGGGGGCUACCAAUUGCUCCUGUCAACAAUUCAAGGUACACAAGUCUUAAUUCAUUAUAUUGAAAGGUUCAUUGCUCAGUUGGUAAAGCACAAAGCUCUUAACCUUGUGGACGUGGGUUCAGGCCCUACGAUAGAAGCUACAGUAUAAGAUAUUAUUUUUGAAGUAUAUAUCAAGUCCUGGUUCAUUAUUAUCUUACUAAGCCGGCCCUUGGGGGCUACACAUCACUGCUCAAGUCUACAUGAUUAUAUUUACAAAGUCCCUGCUCAUUAUUGCAUAAUGACCCGGCCCUUGGGGGCUACACUGAUUGAAGUUUUUAUAAGCAAUACAAGUCCCAGGUUGCUGCAAGCAUGACAACCCGGUACUUGGGGGCUACAUAUAUGGAGUAUUCAUUUGUGACUAGUAACUGGGAUGAACAACAUGGAUAUCUUUGAAAGUGGCAGUAUUUAUAUUGAAGCAAGUCUUAAUCCAUCACUUUGUUCUGCUCAAGACUUGGGGGCUACAGGUAUUAUAUUAUUAUCGGAGAAAUAUUUUCAAAUUAUCUGUUUUGAGCAAACCAGAUUGACCCGGCGUCACCAAUCAUUAUGACCCUGUGUCUGCAACCCGGCAUCAUCAAUAAUCAUGAUCCGGCAUUGGCAACAAUCAUGAACCGGCGUUGGCAACAAUCAUGACCCGGAAUUAUCAGUUUUAAUAACCCGGCAAUGCUGGUAAUCAUAAACCGGCAAGUUCUACAUUUUCAAACCGGUUGGAUAUCAGUUGAAUAUUUGAAAGACCAACGUUUUGGUUAAAGUCAGAGCAUUGAAGGCCGAUUCAAGUGGAUUUUUUAUUUACAAUACUUAUUAUACAAGUAAAUUGAUUAUGAAGCUGGUCUAUUGACCCGGAUUUUCUAGAAGGAGGAAAUGACAAGGACUUAAGGAGGAUCACGUGCCGGUUUACAAGAAUUCUUAACCCAGAGCACAACCUGUCAAAUUUGUCCUUGUGUUUAUUUUACAGGUCAGUUUAACAUGGAUAAAUCCAAAUUAAACUUGGGGCUAAUGUCGAGGAUAUACCCCGCGGCGUAAACCGGCCGGAAGUAUAACCCGGACGGACUUGGCGGUUUACUUGAGACCCGGCUGAGAAUUGACGAUCCACUGGCGACCCGUUUGGACCUGGCGGUUUACGAUUCAUGAGUAAUCCGGCAGGCGGGUCAGAGGAGCGACAAGACCCGGUGGCCCAACGGGCGGUUCAUGAAGGCCGGCUCAUACUAUGGUGGGCCGGUUAAGAGGAAAGGCGUGAGGAAUAUUUGUCUUACAAGGAGUUAAGACCUGGACUUGUAUCCGGUUUGUAUUAGAGAUAGACUAGUCCUAAUCCUAAUAGGACUCCACAUGUAACCCGCCCCGUCAACAUAUAUAAGGAGGGGCAGGGCUCCCCAAAGAAGGACAGGCAACAAUCAAUAAACUCUAGGGCUAGACACAAUUAGAGGAGAGCCGGUUUAUGGCGACUCCCUCAUUAGCGUAAUGAGAUCUAGCCUCAAACAGCAUGUAGGGUUAUUACCGGAUGAUGACGGGCCCGAAGCUGUCUAAAUCCUCGUCUUGUGUUGCGUCUCUUGAUUCCGCUCAACCCCUCUCAAGCUACUACGUAGAUGCACUGGCCUCACGACUAAGUCCUCACCCUAGGACAUCUGACGUGACAAUUCCACGGCAAUACCUAUGACAAAAUAUGACUCUAUAUGAAUGCCUCUGGCAUGUAGCAGGAUGUGCAAUGAUCUAGCGUAACAUGUAUGAAAAAUGAUGAACGGUGGCUGAGCCACAACUACUAUGUCAGCUAUAUGAUCAUGCAAAGCAAUAUGACAAUGAAUGCUCAAGUCAUCAAACAAAAGUGGUGGAAGUGGCAUGGCAAUAUAUCUCGGCAUGACCAUGGAAAAGCCAUAAUAGGUAGGUAUGGUGGCUGUUUUGAGGAAGAUAUAAUAAGCUUUUGUGUGAUAGAGCGUAUCAUAUCACGGGGUUUGGAUGCGCCUGCGAAGUUUGCACCACAUCUCGAGGUGCGAAAGGGCAAUGCACGGUACCGUAGAGGCUAGCAAAUUGCGGAAAGGUAAGAGUGCGUAAAAUCCAUGGACUCACAUUAGUCAUAAAUAACUCAUAUACUUAUUGCAAAAGUUUAUUAGCCCUCGAAGCAAAGUACUACUAUGCAUGCUCCUAGGGGGAUAGAUUGGUAGGAAAAGACCAUCGCUCGUCCCCGACCGCCACUCAUAAGGAAGACAAUCAAUAAUAAAUCAUGCUCCAACUUCAUAGCAUAACGAGAGACUAUACGUGCAUGCUUCGGGAAUCACAAACCGUAACACCAAUAUUCCUACUAAACACAACCAUUUACUAGUACCUCCCACAUAUUCCAUCUCUAUAUCGCAAAACUAUUGCAAGGAAUCAAACAUAUCAUAUUCAGUGAUCCGUAAGUUUUAUGUAGGAUUUUAUGACUAACCAUGCAAUUGACCAAUUCCUUUUGACUCUCUAAAUAGGUAUAAGUGAAGCAUGAGAGUUUAAUUCUUUCUACAAAAGACCAUGCUCUAAUAAAUACAAGUGAAGCAAAAGAGCAUUCUAUAAAGGCCAUACUCAAAAGAUAUAAGUGAAGUGCAAUGAGCAUUCUAUAAAUCAACCAUGGACUAUCUCAUACCAUAAUGGUGCAUAAAAGAAAAAGGGGAAAACUAAAUGCAAAAGACGCUCCAAGAUUUGCACAUAUCACGCGAACGAAACGAGAACGAAAACAUACCGAUACUUGUUGAAGAAAGAAUAUGGGAUGCCUUCCGGGGCAUCCCCAAGCUUAGACGCUUGAGUAUCCUUGAAUAUUUACUUGGGGUGCCUUGGGCAUCCCCAAGCUAGAGAUCUUUCCUCUCCUCCUUCUCCUCAUAUCGAGACCUCCUCGAUCUUUGAUCACUUAAUCCACACAAAACUCAACAGAAAGUUCGGUAAGAUUCAUUAGUAUAAUAAAGCAAAUCACUACUUUAAGUACUGCUGCAAACCAAUUCAUAUUUUGUUUUUGAAUUUUAGCUAUUGUAAUAUAAUCUUUUCAUGGCUUAAUCCACUAAUAGAAUCAAUAGUUUCAUCAAAACAAGCAAAACAAUGCAUAAAAAACAGAAUCUGUCUUAAACAGGACCGUCUGUAGUAAUCUGAACAUUCACCAUACCUCUGGUACUCCAAAAAUUCUGAAAAAUUAGGAAAAAAAUUUGUAUGGAAAGACAGUGCAAAAAGUUUCAGAACCGUUUGACAUUCCAGUAAAAAAUGUAAAAUCGCCCACUACAGCCAAAGUUUCUGUUUUGCACCGCACAAACCAACAAGCAAUGUACACAUCCUAGAGGCAAAUCUUGGCACAUUAUUUUUAUAAUACAAUGGAAUUGUACAAGGGGAUAAUUAUUUUUGUUGAAAAGUUUCUAUAGUUAAGAUUCACAAAGUUUCCAAGGGGAUGAACAAAGUUCAAGGCUAGCUCCCGCUUCCACGGUGCUCGUCUAUCUCGCUUUCACUUUUCUUUUUGUGAAGUUUUAAGUUCCCCUCUAUUUUUGUGUUUUUAAACUUUAUAAAAGCACUCAACAGAAAUAAAUGACUCUCUAAAACUUCUGGGUGGUCUCCCUGGCAGCGCUUUCUUUAAAGCCAUUAAGCUAGGCAUAAAGUGCUCAAGUAACGGAUCCACCCGGAUCCCAAAGUAUAUCAAAGCCAAUUUGAAUCAACAAUGAUUUGGCAUUUAGUAGUGAGCACAAAGCAACAUAUAUCAUGCAAUGACGAAGUCUAACUCUCUUCCUAUGCAUCGGCAUGUCUUACAAGAACAAUUCAUGCACAUCAAGUAAAGUCCAAUGCAUAGUAUAAACAGUUUCUUGCAAUUUUUUCGUGUCGGAAACAUAGAGAGGUGGAGAUAUAGUUCCUCUCUCAUAAUAAUUGCAAGUAGGAGCAGCAAACACAUGCAUAUUAUAUUCAUCAAAAUCAUCAUGUGCAAUGGUAAAAGGCAACCCAUCAAUAUAAUCCUUAACAAGAGCAAACUUCUCCGAUAUAGUGUAGUUUGGAGAAUUCAAAAAGAUAAUAGGACUAUCAUGUGUGGGUGCAAUAGGAACACUUUCAUUCUUAACAUAAGGAACUAUAGCAAGUUCAUCUCCAUAAGCAUAAUUCAUAUUGGCGUCAUGGCCACAAGCAUAGCAAGCAUCAUCAAAAAGGGAUAUUUCAAACGAAUCAAUGGGAUCAUAGCAAUUAUCAUGGCAAUCAUCCUUCGGUAAGCACGAGGGGAAAUUAAAUAAUGUAUGAGUUGAAGAGUUACUCUCAUUAGAAGGUGGGCACAGGUAGCUAAUCCAAUAUUCCUCCUUUUGUUCUUCGCUCUCCUCAUCAUCUUCUUCAUCCAAUGAGCUCACAGUUUCAUCAAUUUCUUCUUCCAUAGACUCCUGCAAAAAAUUAGUCUCUUCUUGGACAGCGGAGACUUUCUCAAUAAAAGCAUCAAUACCGGAAUUGUAUUUAUAAUUAUCAUAGCAAUAUUUAAGGAUGGAAUUUUUUUUAGGUCUAUAAACAUCAUCAUCAAAAGCUUCUUAUUUUUCAAACAAAGAUUCAAUUUCAUAAGCACCCUCAAAAGCAACAAAUUCUUCUAUUCGUUCCACAUCAUAAUAAUCACAUAUACCAUUAGCGUAAGAAGCCAAGGUUUCAUUAUCAUUAAAUUCACAUGAAAAGGGAAGAUGUGGAGCAUUCAGACUAGAGUAACAAGUAAAAUCAUAUCUCUGACAUAAAUUCCAAGCAUACCGAUGCAACAUAUGAAUUUGAUCCCAUAAAAGUUUCCCUUUUUGUGUCAACCGAUAAUCCCUAAAGUAUUCACGUUGAUCCAACGUUACUCUCAUUAUCAAGUUGAAUGGGGUUUUCUCAGGAUUAUCAAAAUAGUGCAAAAUGUUUUUCACAUAACUAGCAUCGGGGUUUUUAGGAGGUUCCCCAUCUCCAUGAGUAGGAAGUACCACUAAUGUUUUUGGUGUUUCGAAUUCCACAUCCAUAACUAAAGAUAGCGAAAAACUUAGAACUGGAAAUAAAAACUACUUAGUGAUAAAGCAAACAAGCACACACGAGAAUAUUCACCCCACGCUAUUGCUCCCCGGCAACGGCACCAGAAAAAGGUCUUGAUAACCCACAAGUAUAGGGGAUCAAUUGUAGCCUCUUUAGAUAAGUAAGAGUGUCGAACCCAACGAGGAGCUAAAGGUAGAACAAAUGUUCCCUCAAGUUCUAUCGACCACCGAUACAACUCUAUGCACGCUUGACGUUCGCUUUACUUAGAACAAGUAUGAAACUAGAAGUACUUUGUAGGUGUGAUAUGAUAGGUUUGCAAGAUAAUAAAGAGCACGUAAAUAAAAUCUAGGGGCUGUUUAGAUAAAGACAUGACUAAGUUAGUUUUAGUAGAGAGCUUUUGUCAACAAGAAAGUUAUUUGUCCCUAGGCAAUCGAUAACAAGUAACGAUAAUCAUUCUUGUAAUUUUAUAUGAGGGAGAGGCAUGAGCUAACAUACAUUCUCUACUUGGAUCAUAUGCACUUAUGAUUGGAACUCUAGCAAGCAUCCGCAACUACUAAAGAUCAUUAAGGUCGUGAAACCCAACCAUAGCAGUAAGUAUCAAGUCCUCUUUACUCCCAUAUGUCAUACCCCAGUUACUCGGGUUUAAGUUUCUGUCACUCUCGCAACCCACCAUAAGAGAACCAUGAACAUAUUGCAACACCCUACAGCGAGGGCCCCUCGCGUUUCCGUGAGAACGGAGGGCACCGUAGGACGGCACCAUAAAUAAAAUAUACAAUCAUACCAACCAAGAUCACGGGUAACCCAGAGGACAAAACGAUCUACUCAAACAUCAUAGGAUAACCAUAGAUCAUUGGGAAAUAAUAUAUGGAGUUAAGCACCAUGUUUAAGUAGAGAUUAUAGUGGGGGGAAGAGGUGUUACACUGCUGCAUAGAGGGGGAGAAAGUUGGUGUUGAUGGUAGCAAGAUUGUUGAUGUAGAUCGCCUUCACGAUCCUUGCCCCGGCGGCACUCCGGCGCCACCGGAAGCGAGGGAGAGAGAGACCCCCUCCUUCUUCUUCUUCCUUGGCCUCCCCCUAGAUGGGAGGAGAGUUCCCCCUCUGGUCAUUGGUCUCCAUGGCGCCGGAGGGGCGGGAGCCCCUCCGAGAUUGGAUCUCCCUCUCUGUCCUCUUCUGUUUCGCAUUUCCCAUAUCUGGCCAAAUACCGUUUCUUAUAUUCCCGGAGAUCCGUAACUUCGAUUGCGCUGAGAUUUUUACAUGAUUUUUUUCCGGAUAUAAGCUUCCUUGCGCCCGAAGUAGAGCUCCAACCGACGUUCGAGGAGGGCACAACCCACCACCGCGCGCCAGAGGACUCUAGCGCGCCUUGGUGUGUUGUGGGCUAUGUGGGCCUCCGUUUGCGGUGAUUCCAACUCCGAAAAAUCACAUAUAUUCCAAAAUAAUUCUCCGUGAAAUUUUAUUGCAUUUGGACUUCGUUUGAUAUGGAUACUUCGCGAUACAAAAAACAUGCAGAAAACAAGAACUGGCACUGGGCACUGGAUCAAUAGGUUAGUCCAAUAAAUCAUAUAAAAAGUUGCCAAAAAUAUGUGAAAGUGAUAUAAUAUUGGCAUGAAACAAUAAAAAAUUAUAGAUACGACGAAGUAUUGCACAUCUAAGUCAUAUCUCACUGAUUUUAUACUAAGAUUCGUGCAAUCAUUUCUUUUAUCUUUAUCUUUUUAAUCUGAUUGAGUCACUUAGAUGUGCAAUAAUUAGGGCACAUCUAGAUAUGCCCUAGACACACCCCGGAACCACAUAUCAAAUUUAUGGUUUAGACAUAAGAAUGUACUAGCCAUGCCACGCAUGGCGGCACACCGCCUUCAGCUGAAACAUUAUGUGAGAAAUCAUGUUUGCGGUGAUGUUAAAGUAAAGAUCGAUUUUGCAAGCUGACCUUUUUUUUGUUUUUGCGAGGGGAUUUUGUAAACUGAUCUAAUGGCCCAUCUUUGUCUUCUUCCUUUGCUCACUUUUGUUUAUCAUUUUUUCUUCUAUCUCCCUCGCUUCUUUUUACCUCUCGCCUUUAAAGUUUAAACUAUCAUCUCCUAUACCAUCCUCGCCUUCGUUGCUGUCACCACCGCGACAGAUCCUAUUUGGCCACUGCCUGCACUGGAUCAAGCGUUCGUCCUAAGCUCCAUUGGCUCCGAUAAACCGCUUAACCCCGGCGCCUAAUCACACCAACCUUGAUCCUAAUCGAUCCAGUGUGGUUUCUUUCCCAUGCCAACCUUCGAUUGGCCGUCGCUACGUUCACCACCGACCAGGAGGUUGAACUUGAUUGCACUCUAAAAAGUAGGCUACCAUGUUUUAACAAAUGUGAAAGAGGUGGGGUAAUGUAUAAACAUGAAAAGCAACACCAUGCUUCAGAUCUAUUCAUCAAACAUAAUGUUAUUACAAAAAAACAUAAAAAGUAAUAGAAAUUGCACCAAAGUCCAGAGAGCAUCUAGCGAGGAUUAGAGUCAUUUUGGAGCAAGACGAAGGCGCACCGCCAUCAUCGCCCCCACCCCCCACCAGAGCCGGACAAACCUUGUUGUAGUAGAAUUAUUUAUUCAAAAUAAAAGAAAGGACAUGUGGCUCUCUCUCUCUCUCGCAUGGUUCAAAUAAAAAAUAAUUGUUUGCUCAAGGCAAGAUAUAGCCUACCAAAACGUUAUAUAUUUAUAGGAAGGGGAGGGAGUAGUAUAGGGCGUGUUUGGUUUCAGUUUGCAACAGUUCCUGCAUAGCAUGUCCAUCUCCAGCCAGCCAGGUUCUUGAAAUGCAGCCUCACAUGCAGCAGAUGCAACCUGUUUGGUUGCCUGUAUCGCAUGAAGGGGCACUUACCCCCCUGCUGUUUGGUUGCCGUUUUUGUGCUUAGGGUGUGAGCAGAUGCAAAUUUCAGCUGUUUGUUGCAAACAACGUUUGUGUUCUGCUCACCCCAUUCAAAUGUGGUGGCCUUACCACCACAUGAUCAGCACAACAACAAGCACAUAUGAGAUCAAACAAAGCAAGCAACCAAAUGAAAUCAAACAAAGCAAGCAAGGAAAUGACAGCAAACUACUUAAGAUUAACAGCAGGGGCAUCCUCCUUCCCUGCUCCACGCCAGGGUGCUGCUCCCGGCCAAAAUAUGAACAAGUUCCCAGCACAAGUACCAUAAGUCUACCCACACACCAUAAAAGUUCAACACUAACACCUUACUUAACUUAACUACAUAGCAUGCUCAAUAUCACCAACGCAGUUGUGCUUGCUACGAUGAAACCUGCACAUGACCGAGGAGUGGUCGUUGUAGAUUUGAACCUUCAGUCCGAGUCCUGAGAUGCGCACAACGACGAGGUCGCUGGGGACUAUCUGGUGGCGGCGGCAGAAGUAGUUCCAGCCCCGGCCAAGCACCAUGUGCCCCUCGAAGUUCUGGACCUGCACCCAGAACAUGCACCGCUUGUUCGCCGACAGCCUGACCACGCAUGGAAGACGCUUGAUGACCAGCCAGGUGUUCAUCACCUCCACGAAUUUGCGAGGGCGACGAGCAUGGCGAGGUCCUCGUUGUCCUUGAUCUGCUGGUAGAAGCGCAUCGGCUCCCGGGCUCCUCCUCAUGGCCCUGCCUUGGAGAGCGUCCCCUUGAACGAGGCAGGCUCAUGAAGGCGAUCCUGCCAGGCAGGUCCAUCGUCCUGAGCCACCUGUUCGUGGGGAUGAAAUCCUCGGUGCCCUCAGCUCCGACCACCACCUGAGCUCCUCCACCAGCCACAUCCCAGUCACUCUUAAAUAUCUUGUCAGGCAAGAUGACAAGUAUUAGUGCACAAACUCUUUGCCAAAUGCCACUUAUCAAAUGCCACCGAUUAGUUGCACUAGCACUAUAACAAAUGGCACUGAUCAGAAACAUUUGCCCAAGAGCAAAUGCCACUGAUCAGUGCACAAACUCUUUGCCAAAUGCCACUUAUCAAUGGCCCUUGCUCUUGGGAAAAUUCCACUGAUCGGUGUCACUGAUCAGGAGACUUGCCCAACAGCAAGUGCCACUGAUCAGGAGACUUGCCCAACAGCAAGUGCCACUGAUCAGUGGCACUUGCCCAUGAGCAAAUGGCACUGAUCAGUGCACUAUCCUAAGCAUGGAAACAUCUAAAAAGAGCACUCAUCAGUGCACUAUCCUAAGCAUGGAAACAUAUAUCUGUCUGUCUUAUUAGUGAAGCCUCAUCCGCCCGGGCGGGUCACCCGGUCACGAUUUUUUGACCCAGACGGGCCUCUCAAACGGCCCUCAUACGCCCGGGCUGACCGGCACCCCCCAUAUCCAGCCCAAACAUGGGGCGGAUAUGGGGGCGCCCGAGCGCGCCCGCCACAUCGGACUAGGGUCCCAACUGGAAACGCCCUCAAACCCGGCGGUCCGAAGCUCAUCUCCUCCGUCGGACCGGUGGCGCCACGUGGCGCCGCUUCGGUGGGCCGCGUAAUGCAUUGCCCGGCUAUUUAAGUCGUCCAGCGACACCGAAACCCUACCAUCGAUCGACAUUUCCCCCCUCCUAUCCGUUGCCGCUGCCACUUUCCACCCCACCUGUCUGCCUUGUAGCCACGCCCCCACGCCGCCAGGUAUGGAGCGAUCCCUUUCUGACGCUGGAGCGCUGGCUUGAGCUUUGAGCACAACCGGGCUAGGCGCAAAGCCUGGAAUCGCCGCGGGACUACCUGUGGAUGCAGUUGAUCCGGAGGAGGAGUUGGAGGAGGAGGACGAGGAGGAAGACGUGGGGGACGCUGGCGACGGGGAUCUGUAGGCGGAGCAGCGGGCCAUCCUCAAUUCCCUCCGGUCGGAGUCGGUUGCGGAGGCAAGACGCCGCGGAGGAGGCGGAGAUGUUCGCCUGCAUGGAUGAUUGUGAAUAGNNNNNNNNNNNNNNNNNNNNNNNNNNNNNNNNNNNNNNNNNNNNNNNNNNNNNNNNNNNNNNNNNNNNNNNNNNNNNNNNNNNNNNNNNNNNNNNNNNNNNNNNNNNNNNNNNNNNNNNNNNNNNNNNNNNNNNNNNNNNNNNNNNNNNNNNNNNNNNNNNNNNNNNNNNNNNNNNNNNNNNNNNNNNNNNNNNNNNNNNNNNNNNNNNNNNNNNNNNNNNNNNNNNNNNNNNNNNNNNNNNNNNNNNNNNNNNNNNNNNNNNNNNNNNNNNNNNNNNNNNNNNNNNNNNNNNNNNNNNNNNNNNNNNNNNNNNNNNNNNNNNNNACAAUGGGGAAGACGACGCCUCCCGCUGUGGUCGGAAGGGCCCGAAAACUCCCGCCGCUCUGGCCAAAAUAUUGGCCGAACUAUAUAAAGGGGAGCAGGAGGAGUUCACCCAUCUCCAAAAUCGAGACGGGUUUUCCAUGUAAAAUUCUCCUAGCUGGGUAAGCUCUAACUCCACUAUUCGACUCCUCUCCUUGAAUUAAUUUUGAAGGGCGGUAUCUUAUUCAUUCAUGACAGGAAUGGCGAAAGGCUGUCGAGGGGAUCCAUGACCCUGCCCCUCAGUCGGAGAAUCACAAUCGGGAUCUUGACCCCGGAUAUGAGGAAGAUCCGGACAUAUUCGUGGAGCUCAAAGAUGGAGUUUUCUAUCAGACGAGCUAUGACGACACAGAUGUACCCAUCAUCGCCGAUUACCCCAGCCUCCUUCAUGUUUCGCACGUAAGUAAUCAGGAGACACUUUGUCUGAGAGGGUUUUCUCAUUCUUCCUCACUCACUGCACCAUCCUGUGCUCAGAAGGGGAGGCGUUUGGCACGUCGUGCUGCCCCGGGGGCAUCUCCAGAGAGAGCGGCUCCCGCGUCGGGCAGGCCUUCAAAGAGGAAGGCAAACAGAGAUACGGUCGGGCCUUCCUUGAAGAGGUAUGGGUUUGCAACUAUGCUCUUUUUAGCAGUCGUGUCCAAAUGUGAUUUAUAUGUUCAUUUUGUAUUAGGGAAAAGGUUCGACGGGCUGUGUCCGGGGACCCGACCAGUCGUAUUCCUGAUCACCAAGAUUCGGUCCCAGCCGAAAAGACGAGGCCUGAUAUGGGAGUGGCGCCGGACUGUCCUUCUGCCGAGGGUUCGGAAAAUAUGUCCGUCACCAAUUCAGAAGUGGAGAGCGCCAUGAAUCCCUGGCGCUGGAGGGCCGUUUUACGAAAUCCCCGCUUCUCAAAAGAGGCGUUUGGUGCCUUCAGCUCGGCUGAUGCAUACAUACGAGCUGCUUGAGAUGGGCUUAACAGAGCCACCGAGCAACAUUUGAAAGAUGUGCAGGUAAGUUUACCUCACUACUACAAAAACAGCUAUAGCCAAUAUGGACACUAAUGGCGCAGUAUGCAUGUGGUGCGCCAUUACUAAAUAGUAAUGGCGCACCAUGUGUUGGUGCGCCAUUAGUGUGCAAAUACUAAUGGCGCACCACAUCCACGGUGCGCCAUUAGUAAAAAAAACUUUUUAUUUAUUUUUUCAAAACUAGUAAUGGCGCACCAGGGGAUAAUGAGCCAUUACUAGUUAAACUAGUAAUGGCGCACCACUCCAACGGUGCGCCAUUAGUAAAUAUGUUUCAAUUUUUUUUCAAAUUUUUAUUUUAUUUUAUUUUUUAAACUACUAAUGGCGCACCGUGGGAGUGGUGCGCCAUUACUAGUUGAACUAGUAAUGGCGCACCACUCCCACGGUGCGCCAUUAGUAGUUUGGCCCAAACUUUCCCCCGAAUGCACACCCCCUGGACCGCCUUUUCAGUUUAAAAAAUGAAAGAAAAUGAUAGAAAUGUCAAAAAAUAAAAGAAAGUAAGAUUUCCAUGUGAUAUGUGGUCUAGUUGUUAGCAAAAUUUACAAACAUGAAUUUUCGACUUUUUUGCAAAAUCUCUCGAGAAUUUGUAAAAUGGGCAUAACUUUUGCAUACGAACUCGGAUGAAGAAGUUUUUUAUAUGAAAAAUCAUCUACUCGAAAAGUUACAUCCGAAUUUAAUCGGGGAACCCCGUUAAACAUUUGCAAAAUCCUCAAAAACCUAACAGAAAAAAAGAUACGGGGCUUUUAAGAUCUGGAGAGGCAAAAAAAUUAAAAAAAACAAAUUCAAACUUACUAAUGGCGCACCUGCCCAUGGUGCGCCAUUACUAUCUUCCCGCCUUCAAAAUUCAAAAAAAAAAAAAAUUUAAAAAAAAGUUAGUAAUGGCGCACCUGCCCAUGGUGCGCCAUUACUAUGCCGUAUAUAUGGCUGGGCGUGGUCCUCUCCUCCUUGCCUCUUCAUUCUUCUCCUCCACUCCACCUCUCCUCCACUCCAUCUCCUCCUCUCCUCCACUCCAUCUCCCCGUCUCUCCUCCACCAUACUACCCNNNNNNNNNNNNNNNNNNNNNNNNNNNNNNNNNNNNNNNNNNNNNNNNNNNNNNNNNNNNNNNNNNNNNNNNNNNNNNNNNNNNNNNNNNNNNNNNNNNNNNNNNNNNNNNNNNNNNNNNNNNNNNNNNNNNNNNNNNNNNNNNNNNNNNNNNNNNNNNNNNNNNNNNNNNNNNNNNNNNNNNNNNNNNNNNNNNNNNNNNNNNNNNNNNNNNNNNNNNNNNNNNNNNNNNNNNNNNNNNNNNNNNNNNNNNNNNNNNNNNNNNNNNNNNNNNNNNNNNNNNNNNNNNNNNNNNNNNNNNNNNNNNNNNNNNNNNNNNNNNNNNNNNNNNNNNNNNNNNNNNNNNNNNNNNNNNNNNNNNNNNNNNNNNNNNNNNNNNNNNNNNNNNNNNNNNNNNNNNNNNNNNNNNNNNNNNNNNNNNNNNNNNNNNNNNNNNNNNNNNNNNNNNNNNNNNNNNNNNNNNNNNNNNNNNNNNNNNNNNNNNNNNNNNNNNNNNNNNNNNNNNNCCUCCUCCCUCCUCUCCUCCCCUCCCCUCACGGUUUCUCCUUCCUCCUCUCCGGUGCUCCGGUGAACUCCUCUCCGGCGACCUCCUCCUCCUCUCCGGCGAUGUAGGCGAGCGCCUCUCCGGUGACCUCCUCCUCCUCCUCUCCGGUGACCUCGGCCCUCCUCUCCGGUGAACUCCUCUCCGGCAAAAGAACACGGCAAAAGAACGUACAAGAUCCAAAAACGAGAACAAAAUUUGAAAAAAAUUCAUAAAAAAAAAGAAAAAAAACGAGCAAAAAAUGGGCAAAAAAAUCGCGAUCCAGAUCCAAAUUCAAAAUUCAAAAAUAGCAAUGGCGCACGGUGGGGUUAGACGGUGCGCCACUACUAUUUUCCCGCCUUCAAAAUUCAAAAAUACUAAUGGCGCACCGCGGCCUAUACUAAUGGUGCACCAGUGGCCUAUACUAAUGGCGCACCGUGGCCUAUACUAAUGGCGCACCAGUGGUGCGCCAUUAGUAUUUAAUUCUAGUGGCGUGGUACUAGUUGCGCACCAGUAGUGCGCCAUUAGUAGGCAAAACUGGUGCGCCACUAGUAGGCCUUUUCCUAGUAGUGCCUUGUCCGAAUUUGAUAACCAUGUGCCCGUAGCCCCCGAGACUUGAAGUAGUUGGGACAAAUGUUUUAAGGAUCGUUGUAUAACUAGGUUCUUAUGGAGAAGAAUGACCUGCUAGCCCAAGAGCUGGAGCAGUGCCGGACAAAGCUAACUGCUGCUACCGCCGAACUGGAAAAGUUCAAGAAGGCGUCCUCUGGUAAUAUUUCCCUCCACCGAGAAACAAAAAAAAUAUACACCAGCUGUAUUCCACCUUCUGAUUGUCUCAUAACAGGGUCAUCGGACCAACUGGGACAGGAACUGAAGGCCGGUCAAACGAGCGAAAAAGAGGCGAAGAGACAACAUGCCGCAGGCGAGCGCGUUCUGACCCAAGUCAGAGAGGAGAAAAAUAAACUCCAGGAUUCGUACACCAAACUGCGCGAAGAACUGAAAGUUGUGCGAGCCCAGCUAGCCAAAAAGCUGCGAGGUGGCAUAUUCAGUAUGUGGCCGAAUUUAUCUUAUAACAGUUUGGGGGUACAAUUAGCUGAUAUAGCUGUGAUUGCAGGUAUGUUGACGGGCCGUCCCGAAGAGGAGGUGUCCGGAUCAUCAAGUGUUCUUCUGCAAGGGCUGUCGCAGUUACACGAGCAAGCUCGACAGGCAAUGCGGAGUGUAGCCACGGCCUUAUGGCCAUCCGCCUCCCCUCCAGGGAGUAUGGAGAAGCUUGUAGAGCUGUUCAAGGGAGCAUGGCAGCGUAUCCGAUUAUGGAAGAUAUCUGCCUGCCGAGAGGGUGCGCGAGAGGCCUGGGCCAUGGUAAAAACGUGGUAUACCAAGCUGGAUCCGAAUCACAUGGCCCGGGUCGGACCGCUAGGGUCAAAUGGGGAAGAAAUUCCCGUUAGUUUAGUAUCUAAACAAUGACCCAUCUUUGUUUUUGCGAGGGGAUUUUGUAAACUGGUCUAAUGGCCCAUCUUUGUCUUCUUUCUUUGCUCACUUUUGUUUAUCAUUUUUUUUCUAUCUCCCUCGCUUCUUUUUACCUCUCUCCUUUAAAUUUUAAACUAUCAUCUCCUAUACCAUCCUCGCCUUCGUUGAUGUAACCACCUCGACACAUCCUAUUCGGCCACUGCCUGCACUGGAUCAAGCGUUCGUCCUAAGCUCCCUUGGCUCCGAUAAACCGCUUAACCCCGACGCCUAAUCACACCAACCUUGAUCCUAAUCGAUCCAGUGUGGUUUCUUUCCCAUGCCAACCUUUGAUUGGCCAUCGCUACGUGUCAUCAAGGGCUCCACCUUAGCUAUGUUCACCACCAACCAGGAGGUUGAACUUGAUUGCACUCUAAAAAGUAGGCUACCAUGUUUUAACAAAUGUGAAAGAGGUGGGGUAAUGUAUAAACAUGAAAAGCAACACCAUGCUUCAGAUCUAUUCAUCAAACAUAAUGUUAUUACAAACAAAAACAUAAAAAGUAAUAGAAAUUGCACCAAUGUACAGAGAGCAUCUAGCGAGGAUUAGAGUCAUUUUGGAGCAAGACGAAGGCGCACCGCCAUCAUCGCCCCCACCCCCCACUAGAGCCGGACAAACCUUGUUGUAGUAGAAUUAUUUAUUCAAAAUAAAAGAAAGGACAUGUGGCUCUCUCUCUCUCUCGCAUGGUUCAAAUAAAAAAUAAUUGUUUGCUCAAGGCAAGAUAUAGCCUACCAAAACGUUAUAUAUUUAUAGGAAGGGGAGGGAGUAGUAUAGGGCGUGUUUGGUUUCAGUUUGCAACAGUUCCUGCAUAGCAUGUCCAUCUCCAGCCAGCCAGGUUCUUGAAAUGCAGCCUCACAUGCAGCAGAUGCAACCUGUUUGGUUGCCUGUAUCGCAUGAAGGGGCACUUACCCCCCUGCUGUUUGGUUGCCGUUUUUGUGCUUAGGGUGUGAGCAGAUGCAAAUUUCAGCUGUUUGUUGCAAACAACGUUUGUGUUCUGCUCACCCCAUUCAAAUGUGGUGGCCUUACCACCACAUGAUCAGCACAACAACAAGCACAUAUGAGAUCAAACAAAGCAAGCAACCAAAUGAAAUCAAACAAAGCAAGCAAGGAAAUGACAGCAAACUACUUAAGAUUAACAGCAGGGGCAUCCUCCUUCCCUGCUCCACGCCAGGGUGCUGCUCCCGGCCAAAAUAUGAACAAGUUCCCAGCACAAGUACCAUAAGUCUACCCACACACCAUAAAAGUUCAACACUAACACCUUACUUAACUUAACUACAUAGCAUGCUCAAUAUCACCAACGCAGUUGUGCUUGCUACAAUGAAACCUGCACAUGACCGAGGAGUGGUCGUUGUAGAUUUGAACCUUCAGUCCGAGUCCUGAGAUGCGCACAACGACGAGGUCGCUGGGGACUAUCCGGUGGCGGCGGCAGAAGUAGUUCCAGCCCCGGCCAAGCACCAUGUGCCCCUCGAAGUUCUGGACCUGCACCCAGAACACGCACCGCUUGUUCGCCGACAGCCUGACCACGCAUGGAAGACGCUUGAUGACUAGCCAGGUGUUCAUCACCUCCACGAAUUUGCGAGGGCGACGAGCAUGGCGAGGUCCUCGUUGUCCUUGAUCUGCUGGUAGAAGCGCAUCGGCUCCCGGGCUCCUCCUCAUGGCCCUGCCUUGGAGAGCGUCCCCUUGAACGAGGCAGGCUCAUGAAGGCGAUCCUGCCAGGCAGGUCCAUCGUCCUGAGCCACCUGUUCGUGGGGAUGAAAUCCUCGGCGCCCUCAGCUCCAGCCACCACCUGAGCUCCUCCACCAGCCACAUCCCAGUCACUCUUAAAUAUCUUGUCAGGUAAGAUGACAAGUAUUAGUGCACAAACUCUUUGCCAAAUGCCACUUAUCAAAUGCCACUGAUUAGUUGCACUAGCACUACAGCAAAUGGCACUGAUCAGAAACAUUUGCCAAGAGCAAAUGCCACUGAUCAGUGCACAAACUCUUUGCCAAAUGCCACUUAUCAAUGGCACUUGCUCUUGGGAAAAUUCCACUGAUCAGUGUCACUGAUCAGGAGACUUGCCCAACAGCAAGUGCCACUGAUCAGGAGACUUGCCCAACAACAAGUACCACUGAUCAGUGGCACUUGCACAUGAGCAAAUGGCACUGAUCAGUGCACUAUUCUAAGCAUGGAAACAUCUAAAAAGAGCACUCAUCAGUGCACUAUCCUAAGCAUGGAAACAUCUAUCUGUCUGUCUUAUUAGUGAAGCCUCAUACACCCAGGCGGGUCACCCGGUCAUGAUCUUUUGACCCAGACGGGCCUCUCAAACGACCCUCAUACGCCCCGGCUAACCGGCACCCCCCAUAUCCAGCCCAAACAUGGGGCGGAUAUGGGGGCGCCCGGGCGCGCCCGCCACAUCGGACUGGGGUCCCAACUGGAAACGCCGUCAAACCCCGGCGGUCCGAAGCCCAUCUCCUCCGUCGGACCGGUGGCGCCGCGUGGCGCCGCUUCGGUGGGCCGCGUAAUGCAUUGCCCGGAUAUUUAAGUCAUUCAGCGACACCGAAACCCUACCAUCGAUCCACAUUCCCCCCUCCUAUCCGUUGCCGCUGCCACUUUCCACUCCACCUAUCCGCCUAGUAGCCACACCCCCACGCCGCCAGGUAAGGAGCGAUCCCUUUCUGACGCCGGAGCGCCGGCUCGAGCUCCUUGAGCAGAACCGGGCUAGGCGCGAAGCCUGGAAUCGCCGCGGGGCUACCUCUGGAUGCAGUUGAUCCGGAGGAGGAGUUGGAGGAGGAGGACGUGGGGGACGCUGGCGACGGGGAUCUGUAGGCGGAGCAGCGGGCCAUUCUCAAUUCCCUCCGGUCGGAGUCGGUUGCGGAGGCAAGACGCCGCGGAGGAGGCGGAGAUGUUCGCCUACAUGGAUGAGGUCGAGCAGGAGGAGGAUGAGCCGGAGCCCUCCUACCCGCCCGUCCAGCCGGCGCCCCGCACCGUCGUCGUGGACAUCUCCGACGACGAAGAGUAGGUCGGGUAGUACGUCGAUGUAGUACGUAGGAUUUCUUUUGCAUGCUUUGUAUGAAUUUAGGGGAUGAAAUAUGAGUGAGACGGAUGCAAAGUCGCUAAUUUGAGGCAUGCCCGGUCAGUGCCCGCGGACGCACCCGGUCGCGUCCACGGGCGUUUGAGGGGCCGGAUUUACCAAGUCCGGCUGUAGAUACUUUAACAUAACUAAUAAAAACACCUAAAAAGUAGCCCUCCCGCCGGCUAGAAUUAUUGGGGUGCAGUACCGAUUAACCUUAUCCACUAGAUUACGAUGAAUUGACCUUGUGUAUGCAACUUGGUGGACAGUUCUUGGUCACUGAGAAAUAGCUAGCAGUUCCAACAAAUUACAAGAACGGUUCUUUUUGCCAUCAAUAGGCAGGCACGCACACGGUCGAAAUGAGAUUUAUUUAUUUCAGCAACCAUGCAUGCACGCAUCCAUACUACUAGUACAUGGCAUGUACACUAAUAAUGUAGACUAUUAUCCGCACACGAAGCUGCUCCUGCGUGGCUGCAGAG
rnacentral:lncRNA from 1 species